rnacentral:lncRNA from 1 species
CACACACCCCCACCUCACAUGAUGCCGCCUCCACCUGCACCUAAAAAGGACGCCAAAGAUGGAAAGGAUGUAAAAGAAGCGAAAACUGAAAAAGAUGCCAAAGAAGGAGUAAAGGAGCCUGCUUCAUCUGCUAAAGAUGCCACUUCAAUUGGUUCAUCACAGCCUCCCAAAGAAGAGCUUCCUCCUACUGGCGAGCAAGCCGCCACAGAUCCCGAGUCAACACCAACUGCCUAAUUGCGUUACCUCUGUUGCACUAGCUUUUUCAACUUUGUAUUUUCAACUUAGUAUUUUCUAUAAUCUUUUCUGAUUUUGUUCUCUUAUUCCUUGUUUUUGUCCAUCGAUGGCCUAUGAUUGUCUCUUAUAUUUGUAUGGGGAUUUUACAGUGAGUUUUAUUAUUCUUUUUAUGGGCAUAUUGCAUAAACUGGGAUUUUGAUAUUCUUAGAUGAGCUUGUGUUUUCUUAAAGCUUGCUUGCUACUUCGCACGGAAAACAGUAGAAAAUUGCCGUCGGGUGCGUGCAAUUAAAUUUUUUUUUUCCUUUUCUUUUUUUAAUGAAACAUUCUAUUUCGCUUGUGAAUGGCUGUAUAUUUAGCAAACUAUUGGAAAGCCAAUGAGAUAAUACGUGUUUUCCUCUUUAUGUAAGAAUAUGGGACUAAAUGGGAGUAAACGGGAUCAUACGUAAAAGAAUCUCUAUGGUUUCCUCUUUAUGUAAGAAUAUGGGACUAAAUGGGAUAAGAGGGAUCAUACGUAAGGGAAUCUCUAUAUUUAACGAAGAUCUUGCAUAUUCUGAUCGAGAAAUAAAGUUCACUCAGAAAAAAAUGGCAUUGUCGUGGAUUUAUGUCGAUUAAUCUGAAAAAAGCUCGGCAAAAUCUAACUUGAAAGGAUUCGAUCAUCCAUUUCUUUGAGUGGGGGGGCAUGAAUUGAACCCCAUUGAACUUGCAGUCUUUCAGUUCUACCUUGGAACUAGGAAGAGAAGGUCAUGAAUGUGAAACCUAAAUAAUCACAUAUACAGAAAAAUAUCAUAUUCGGGAGAUUAAACAACUCUAUUCACAUUAAUAUCUUUACUCUUAUCUCCUCACCGACACACACCGCUUCAUUCAGGGACGGGGCCUGAGUCCACAAUUUUUUUAGUUACAGUGAAUUUUUUUUAAACUCCACCAACUCUGGGAAGUUUUUCUUUGGUCUACCUAACUUUCGCGUCUGGCUUCGUCUGGAGAGCUAUUGUCCACUAACAAAAAGUCAACGGCACCAAAAAAGUUUCUUUAUCAACUAGGUACGAAAUGCAUCUGCUUUCCUUCUAUUUUCCAAUUUUUUUUCCAGCUCUUUUCAUCAUAUAUAUAUAUAUAUAACAAUUUCCAUGCCAUCACGAUAACUUGACAAGCAAAAACUAAGUACAAUAAUAGUACAGAAAAUGUACUUGCAUCAACUUCGACAAAAUUAUAAAUUCGCACUUCUAUUGGGUAAAAACUGCUCACUUUCCCUAAAAAUAAAAAAAAAAAGAAUAUAUAGGUGUAUGAUUGAAAUGGUGUACUGUGCAUGAUAUAAUUAAUGAAAUACAUGAACAUGUGCAUCUUGAGAGCAAAAUAACACUAUUCUUCAUCUAGGGGUUACCUCAGUGAUUGUGACAGGAACAGAGCUCAUCUGUUGGGUAGUAGAGUCAGCAGAUGAUCUUUUAGUUGAAGAUGGUGGCCCACUAAGGCCCUCUGAACCUUGGAAGAAACCUGGUGGUGAAAGGAGCUUUUCAUUAAGCCGGAUGUUCUUCGACAGCAUGUCAACGACCUGGCUCAUGAGUGGCCUUCGGUUUGCUGCUCCCUGAGCGCAGAAAAAGGCAAUUUUCAUGUGCCUAAUGACUUCCUGCUCUGGAAAUUCCCCCAUCUCUGGAUCCACUAACUCGAGGUGUUUUCCUUCUUCGUGAAGCUGCCAUGCCUAUUGAACCAGACAAUGAUUGUCAGAUACGUAAUUGCCUAUAAUCUCUUACCAUGAAAGAGCAUGUUCAUUACUUGGCAGAAAUGUAAAUUUUCUGAUCGAGAAAUCUGCUAUAUAAUGAACAUUCCACCACAAUUAUUCCAUGGACUAUCAUAUAAAAUGAGCUGAUGCAAAACAAGAUUGCCAACAAGCUGGUGAAUAAAAGAGCAAUGUCUCUGAAGGUACCACGAAGAACAUUGAAAAUUUGGAAGAAAAUAAACGCACCCAUUCUAGUAGGAGCUUCUGCGUUUCUCCCAAGCUGGUUUUCACGGUGCUUCUUCCACUAAUUAUUUCAAGCACAAGAACCCCAAAACUGUAUACAUCAGCCUUCAUUGUUAACUGGCCCCCAAAUGCAUAUUCUGGUGCUAAAUAACCACUGCACGAGGAGGAAGGAAAAUUAGAUUUUUUUUUUUUUCUUGCUUCACUUAUGAUGACAUUUACUUGGACUAGAAAAUACUGCAACUGUUAUGCAUGAUUCCUACUAUUUAACGACCUAAAUGCAUAAUGAUUCUCAAUUUCAACCUUAACAAAGAGGAGGAUACUUUUUUCUUUCUUUUGGGCAAGGCCAGUUUCAAGGUUCCAAUAGACAAAAAUCACAAAUGGAAAAUUUGUAGCAGGUGAUUUUAAGUGGGAAUAAAAAAUUUUAUUAACUCCUGACUAGAGUAAACUAUAAGAAGUAACUUCGCCCCUUAUCGACAAAAAACAGUCUCAUUGGUUAUGGAGAUGAAUGCCAACAAAAUAAUCAUCAAAUAGAAGUUAAGGACAAUAUACGUUGUUCCUGCUAUUCUUGUGCUAAUAUGGGUGAUGUUGUCUGGAAAGAGUUUAGCCAACCCAAAGUCUCCUAUCUUCGGGUUAAAGUCUUUGUCAAGAAGUACAUUACUAGCUUUGAUGUCUCUAUGCACAAUAUGGGGGACAAGUUCUUCAUGAAGGAAAGCGAGGCCCCUGGCUAUACCCAAGCAAAUUGCAGAUCUUUUUCUCCAGUCCAGUUUGAUACAUUGAUUCCGUGGACCUGCAAAGAUAAGCAAAACAAGUAAUAUCACCUUCCAUUCCAAUCCCACCAUGUUCAGAAGUAUCUGACAACUUUUUAAUAUAUGUACCUAGCAAUGCACGAUCCAGGCUGUUAUUUUCUACGUAUUCAUAUACUAAAAUCCGGUUAGUUCCUUGAACACAGCACCCUAUCAGCUCAACAAGGUUUGGAUGCCUAACUUUUGAAAUAGUAUCAAUCUCAUUCAAAAAUUCCCGCACCCCUUGCUUUGAUUGAGCAGCAAGAGUCUUCACAGCCACUUGCCUUCCACUCCUGAGAGUUCCCUAUCAAUAUUAUAAAAAUAAAAUAAAAUAAGCAAAAGGCUUUAUAAACUUGAGACAGACUAUAAAUAUAUAUGGUCAGCUAGUUCAAGGAACAAAAAAUGGCAAACAAGAGGAUUAGUUAAAAUGAUGGUUUUUGCACAUCAAAAGAAUUUUUGUUCAUGAGCUUAAAGCAAACGCAUAAUAGAUAGCAAUGUGAAAAUCUCAAAAUCUAUAUAGUGACAAUUAUAUAUCAAACCAUGACUAUCAAACUUACAUAAGGAAUAAUGGGAAUAAAAAAAGCAGCAGGUAUGUAGUAUUUCGAGUGGAUUCAAAAAGUUAAUGAUAUCAAGUUCAACAGUUUCCAUUAGGCUAACACGUCAAACCAUCUAUAAAUUAUGUGCACCUUGUAAACAGUUCCAAAGCCGCCUCGUCCAAUCUUAUUAGUUGAAUGGAAGUUAUCUGUCGCUGAUCUUAGUUCAUCAUACGAGAUAUAGUUAAUAUCACGAGUUGAAUAUCCUAGCAACAUGAGAAAUACACAAUGUGAAAAAAUUAUAAACAGGAAGCCAAAAAUAUGGUGAUGCAUGAUAAAGGUUAAAGAGGAAAAUAAAAGUGAGAGUCACACAAAAUAUCCGGUAGCUGAAAGUACAAUAAAACUUAGGUAACACAAUUGCAGUUUACAACUUCACUAAAUGUUACAAAAUAAUGUUUCGAAACAGCCAUGAUAUUGUCAAAAUCAAAGGCCAGCUUCAACUGUUGCAUGUUAAUUAACUCUUGAUACAAUCACAAUACUAGUAAAAACCUCUCCACAUUAGCCCCUUGCCACAACUACCAAUAUUAUCCCUAAAACCCUCCACCUUAAUCCCCAGAAAGGAUCAAACACCCUUUCAGUUAUCCGCAGGUAAAGAAUAUUAACAUAGAUGAACAAACUUGAUACAGGUUACACAUCAAUUAGUUUCUAACUUAUCUAGGACUAGCUUCUAUCUGUCUCUGCUUAUCAAUUAGUGGCCUGUUCAGAAAAUAUGAACUUAUACAUAUAUUUACUACACAAAACUACAGCAGAAUUGGCAUUACCUAUGUACGUGUAAUUGUUUGUGUGUGAGAGAGUAUUUUAAGACAGAGAAGUGAUUAAGCUAGAACCUCUAUAGUAUGCAGUUCUUCUUUAAUCGAGUUAAGCAAACUUCAAAACUACUGCAAUAACAUUCUUAAACAGGAGGAGAAAUUCUCACCAUCUGCAUCCCCAUAAGCCCUUCCAGCAGUCUCUUUUGUACCAAAACAGCAAUACCUCAUAUCUGCCUUCAACUUAUCUGCCGCUAACUUCCAGAUCACAUAGUCAUGCCUUCCAUAAAUAAAACAGAAAGCCAAGGGAGAAAGUCAAAGAUUCAAUGUACUUAAUUAUACUUUGGUUGAUAAGAUUAGAACAUUGAAUAACCAGUCAACUUCCAAGAACAAUUAAUUCCACAAUUAAUAGCAAUACACCAAAGUUGGCUUGCUGAACUCAGCUAAAGCCAUUAAACAAUUUAUCACUACAACAAUUCUAUAUAUAUAUAUAUAUAUAUAUAUAUAAUUACUUCAAAAAUCUUGAAAAAACAAAAAUAAUUAAACAGAUAGCUAAUCUUUAAUGAACGAAUUAGUAAUGCAACGAACAAUUUAAAGUCGCAAAAAGAAUCACAGGAAGUGAACUAAUAAUUGUAAUUAAAAAUUCUUAAUUACCUCGUCUGCGAUACAAAACUAGCUGAUUAAGAGCUCUGAGUCCUCGCCUGUGGAAGGCAGUAGUUGUAUAUGUAAAUUUCUCCUUAUCGUUCUUAUCUAAUGCGCUGAAAUGGAGAGCGAGAAUUUGUUAUCUUCUAAUGUUUGAAACAGAGAUUUUAUAUGUAAGAUCGUCCUGACCCGGCUAAGAAUGAGAAUGGAGAAAGUCUGAGAGUUGUAAUUUCUUACGGGCGAGCUUUUGUUUACUGUUUUGAGAAAGUGACCUUUUGCGUGGAAGCCAGACUAGAUUGAUAUCCAACUAACCCAGCUGCCUGGAAUCAAAGUCUAAACAUUGUUCACACCCUAUUUCUUAAGUAUAAUUACAUAAUUACAUUUUAGUAUUUUUGCUGACCAUAUUUUAUUCUUGGAAUUUAAUGGAUUUUUUUUUAUAACAUAAUUAAUAAAAUCAAUUAUACUCGUUCAACGUGAUUCGUUUCUUUUUUUUUUUUUAAUUAUGCCAAUGUUAGGAAAUAGAAAUAAAUAAAAUGUAAUUUAACUAUUUAGAAAUUAAUCUGAAUAAUCAUAUGAGAUUAUACAAAAGCAAUUUAUUUGAAAAAUAUUUUUCAGACAACUCAUUUUUCUAUUAAUUAAUAAAAUAUAAAAAAUUUAUAUAUUAUGAAACUAAAAAUUUUGAAAUUAUAUAAAUGUUUAUAUUUUAAAAUUUAAUUGUUGGAUAUGAGAAAAAAUAUGUAAAAAAUAAUUAUUUAAUGUUUUAAAAACAUUCUUUUAAUUAUCAAUAUUCUAAUAAUUUAAGAUUUUAUAAUUUCUAUAUAUUGAAUUCAAAAUUUUUUAUUCCUGGUGUAUAAAUGAGAGAUGAAUCAUAUUAUUUUAAUAAUUUUUUAACAACCUACUGAUAAGAAGAUUUAAGUCAGACAAACUACACAACCAUUAAAUAAGUUACCAGCGUCCUUUACACGAAUUGUUUUUGGACGCAAUUAGCGACAAAGAGGAGCUGAAAUGUCAAAUUUCAAAAUGAAUUUUUUAAUAUUCUGAUAAUGAUUUUGUUAUUAAAAAAAAAAAACGAUAUUUGCGCAGUUGAGCACUGAUAUCAGGAAAUUUGGGUCAUGAAUGAUUAUCCUAUUUCACUUCGUCAACUCUUAUGUGAUUCUGAGCAUAAUACAUUCGGAUACUUCGCCUUAUAAUUAGUGUUUACUUAAUUUUGGGUUAUACUUUUUAAUCAUUAAAAUUAGAAAAAAAUUUCACCAUAUAAUAUCAGGACCGAAACAUAAUAUAUAUAUAUAUAUAUAUAUAUAUAUAUAUAUAUAUAUAAUUACUUCAAAAAUCUUGAAAAAACAAAAAUAAUUAAACAGAUAGCUAAUCUUUAAUGAACGAAUUAGUAAUGCAACGAACAAUUUAAAGUCGCAAAAAGAAUCACAGGAAGUGAACUAAUAAUUGUAAUUAAAAAUUCUUAAUUACCUCGUCUGCGAUACAAAACUAGCUGAUUAAGAGCUCUGAGUCCUCGCCUGUGGAAGGCAGUAGUUGUAUAUGUAAAUUUCUCCUUAUCGUUCUUAUCUAAUGCGCUGAAAUGGAGAGCGAGAAUUUGUUAUCUUCUAAUGUUUGAAACAGAGAUUUUAUAUGUAAGAUCGUCCUGACCCGGCUAAGAAUGAGAAUGGAGAAAGUCUGAGAGUUGUAAUUUCUUACGGGCGAGCUUCUUCUCAUUUAUGUGAGACUAAUUAGGUGGUAGUAUAAUUGAUUUCUUAUUUAUAUAAUGAGUGAGGUCUCGAGUUUAAAUUUUCUCGACCACAGUUAUUUUCACCGAUUUGAUGAAUUAAUGAAAUGACUACCUUUAUUAUGUAGUCUCAUUCAUAAAUGAAUUUUUCCUAUUUUUAGAUCAUUUAUACCUCACAUGCAAAUUUCAGUGAUGAGUUGGUUUUUAUUAUUUUAUAAGUAGUAUUAUUCUUACAUAUUAUCCUAGCAAAUAAUUAUAACAUUAAAUUUUAUUAUAAUUUUUUAAAUUAUUAUUAUUAUUAUUAUAAAGAAACACAUGUAAUUUGAACAAUUGGUCCACACACAUGAAUUAGAAACAGUAUUAGACUCUAGAUUGUCAACUUCCACGUUGUUAUUUUUUAUUUUAAACUUGUAAUUAAUAAUGAUAAUUCAUUUCAAACAUGCCAAAGACUUCCAACUAAAAUACAUGGAGCUAAAUGGAACACGAAAUAAUUAAUUAGAAAAAUACACAAAGUUGAAAAUAUUUUAACAUUUCUCAGUGGGUCGUGACUAACAGACAAAGAAGUUAGACAAAAAUUUGUUAUUCAAAUUCUGAAAACUAGCGUUCUCAUUAAUCUGACUAAUAUCUUUAUUCUACUGAAUCAAUUACCCCACGGUCGGAAUAGUAAAUAAAAACAAAAUAAAAAUCUAUUUUUCAGAUCCGUACUUACUAAAAAGGUAAAAAAUGUUAGAGAAUCGUUAUAAGCUUAAUUUUAUUUGUAAAUCCGGAUAAUGGGAGAAAUAAUUUUAUUUUUAAAAUAUAUUCCGAACUAAACCUGUAGCUAUGCUUAGGAUCGAAUCUUAAUAAAAACCUAUAUUUUAUUCCACACCAUAAGCAAUUGAUCUGCAACACAUUUGCAAAAUAAUUGAGCUUGAAACUCUAUCCUAUUUAAACAAUAUUUUAUUGUAAAAAUUUUCAAGUGCACGUAUGUAUGUAUAUAUUCAUGAGAGACCAACUAAAGUAAAACUAUAUUAUGAAUAUAUCUUUUUUUUUUCGAAUAAUAUUCACUGAAUGAAUGAAAUUUUUAUGGUCGAAAUAAUUCAAAUUUCAAAUUUCUAAAAAAUGUGAAAAGGAUAAUUGUAUCAUAUUUAAUCCGUCCUGAGUGAGGUUAUUAAAAUAUCACUUGACUUCUGUGUUAAACUACAACGUAGAGUAAUAAAAUUUGAAUGGUUAAGGAUGAUUCAUUUGGAAAGCAAUUGUUUGUGAUGUAGAUAAUUGAAAGCAACAGCUCUGCAAAAUAAUUCAUAUUGGCCAACAAAACAUACCCACGUGUACAAUUGCAUAUACAUACUUGUUUCAUAAGUUAAACUUUCUGGAAACAUAAAUUGACCUUCGGUGACAUCAAUUGUCCUAGUGCUCUAUUUUUCCAAGAUAUCAAUUUGGAUCUAUCUAAGAAUUAUCAGCAUCGUAGUAUAAAAAAAUGUAUAUUUGAUCAACUUUUUUGACAUGAUUGUGCAUUUGACAAACAAUAGGAAAGGACUAAUUGCUGCUGGUAUAUAGGAAAUGGUGGGACUGCUUUUGACCGCGGAUGAUAAAAUAAUUCUUGUAUUGGAUUGCACGUUCAACGAAUUAAAAUAAUACAAUUAUCAUCUUAAUUUGAAUUUAAAAUUUCUUUUUUUUUUCACAAAAAAAAAAAUUAAUCAGAUCACAUCGGUAAGUAAAUUUUUUUUCCGAUCAAAUACGAUAAUGCAAUUGCAAGCUUUUGUCGGGGUAUUCUUUGAGGCUUUUCAUUUUUAGUGUUUUGCAUAUUCACAUGAUUUGACUAAAUUGAUUUAACGUCAUUAAGUAAUUGGAUUGCCCAAAUCAAACUAUGACUUCAGAAAAAAUACUUCUAUUGAUGAUUCCUAAAAUAAAAUAAAAUAAAUACUAAAUGCAAUUAAUAUUUACUUCCAUAUUAUUAUUAUUGUUUUUUUUUACCGCUCAAAUGGAUAAAAAAUAUUAUUAUGAUUCCAAUUUUUAUUAUUAAUUGAGAUGAUUGAAAUAAUUUGAUAAAUUGUACAAUAACCUUUCACUCUUAAUAUUAAUAAGAAAAACAAAUAAAAUAAAUUUGAUUGCUAUGAUUUUAAAAUGUUGAUGGUUAUAUUUUGAUUUAGAAAACAUAUAUAAAAACAGAAACCUGAUUUAUCAAACUCAUAAUAUUAUUUUGAAUUUAUAAUUUAGAAAUCAAAAUUUAAAACAAAGGGUUAUCUUAAUGUAUAAUCGGUUCGAAUAUAAUUUUUUAAAAAACCCUAUUUUUAUAUAGAUUUGGUUCAAGACAACUCCCUGCAAUUCCCCUUCCAGUGACAUGACAGAAAAAAAGGGAGCAGAAAAAAAAAAAAAAGGGAAAGAAAAAAGAAAAACAGUGAGGUGAAGAUGGAAUGCCAAACCCGAAGAAACCAAGCAAGCAGACUCUUUGUCUUGAAGAAACAUCAUCUCAGUAAUAAACAAAUACUAAAAUAUAAAGGCAGUGGUGACGACUGACGCCAAAGAAUUCUCUUCUUUCGACGCCACCAGCAAACAACACCUGGAAUCUGAUUUCUAUCGCACCAAAAACCCUAAAAAGCCAAAUCCAAAAUCACCUCUCCCCAAAUUUCAUUUCUAAAUUUCCCUUAACCCAUUCACAGUCACACCCACACCCACGCUAACCCCACUCUCUCUCUUUCUACAGUGUUACCUGUCGCCCUCAGUUGCGACUUUUGCACCCACUUAGAUUCAUUUAACCUUUCUCUCUCUCUGUCUCUCUCUCUCUCUCUAUAUAUAUAUAGCGGUUAGGGUUUUAUUUGGCAAAUGAAUAAUCAACAACAGCAGCAAGUGGGUUCCGGGGGUAAUAAGGACCACGAGGAGGAGAGUGUGGGCCAGUCUCUGGAAAUAGUGGCCAAGGCGGCCGGCUCGGAGAAGCCCGAGCCAGUUAGUAGCGAGGAAGAGAGUGUUGAGAAACCCGACGACCCAAUGGAGGAGGACUCAAUGAGUCCUGCUACUGUGUUUUGUAUCAGGCUGAAACAACCUCGCUCCAAUUUGCAACAUAAGAUGAGCGUGCCCGAGCUUUGUCGCAAUUUUAGGUAAAUUUGAUUCACUGUGACAAUUUUAUCUCCUUCUUUUAUUAGCCAAUAGAAUUACUGCUUUUGUGAAAUUUGAUGGGGUCCAAUGUAUAUUAGUAGUUGCUGGUCAAAUUCUGAGCUUUGAUUAGAAAAUUUAAGCUAUUUCUCACUGGAAAUUUUGUUUCGUUACCACAACUUGAGCUGUGUAGGAUUCCUUUGGUGAUCGAAGUUGAAAACACCAGCAGAUUUUGUUCGUCCUUACUCUUAGUGUAUUAAGGCUAAGAGUAAGUGAGGAGCUUCAAGACAAAUCCUGCGGUUCCCUUAACAUUGCAGUUAUAUAAUGGCAAUGGAUAAGAGGUUUUACAUGCUAGAAAGUUUUAAUUUUUCUUCAAAACUCAGAUUUCUUUUGCUUUCUAGGUUAUGAGACAGCAUGUAUUUUAGUUUUAGAGAGUGGUGACUGUUACCAUUUUUAGUCUUAUUUCAGGGUUUUUUUCAGUGUUGUAGAUAUCAUAACUUUGUCUGAUAUUUCUUAUCAUUAUUAUUUGUUAUUAUAAAUUAUUCAAUGGUCCUAUUAGUAUGAAAUUUUUUAUUUGGCUGUAUAUCUGUCUUAUGACUUAUGUUGCUCAUCAGCUCAUGUUAAAAUGAGUCAGAUGUUUUCUGUUGAGUGUUUUGCUCAUAUUUUGUUUAUCAUACAAGUUUAAUGAUCUUUGUAACAUUUUUCUCUGAUCCCUAUGUUUGUCUUUUCAGUGCCGUUGCUUGGUGUGGGAAGUUGAAUGCAAUAGCUUGUGCAUCAGAAACUUGUGCGAGAAUUCCAUGGUAAAGUGGCUUUUUUUUGUUCUUUGAACUGCCAACAUAAUUCAGCCAAAAAUGAGAGAGCUUUUUGCUGGCUUAAGUUGCAAGUUGGAAUUCUUCCACCAGCAUGCAAAUGUGCUGAAAAGCUGAUGCUAAAAUGCCCCUUCAAGUGAACAUCAUGUUAUGUGCGAUUUAACUCCCUGGAUAGUUAUUUAUCCUUUUUAAUAUGUGAAAACAUCUAAACUUGUUAAAAAGUAAAUCUUUUAAUGAGAGUCAAUAACUAAUGGGCGCCUGUAAGAUUUCUGGAUCUACUUAAUUUGGCCAUAAAAGAAAUAAUAUUGAACCCAAGAUGAAUGCAAACCUCUGUUUUAAUUCCCUUUUUUUUUGUCUUCAUGAAACCAUUCUAAUCAAGUAUUUAUUCAUGUAGCUCCAAUGCAAAUCCACCAUUCUGGAUCCCCAUACACAUUGUUAUCCCUGAGAGACCAACUGAAUGUGCAGUUUUUAAUGUUAUAGCAGGUAGUUUGAUGCAGCUUGCUGCUUUUACUGGUUCAUUCAGUUUUUAGAAUUGAUAAAAAUCAAUUUAAUAAUUUUUGUUUCAAUGCCUUAUUUUCUAUCUUUGUUGGAUUUUAAUUUUCCAAAUCUUGAGCCACUCCAUUGACUUCCUUGCAGAUUCUCCUCGUGAUUCUGUCCAGUUUAUUGAAUGGUCCCCUACUUCUUGCCCUCGUGCGUUGCUAAUAGCUAAUUUCCAUGGAAGGAUAACUAUAUGGACUCAACCUUCUCAAGUAAGCUACCUUGCUGCAUUGUUUUCAUCAAACGUAUAAGUAGAGGCCUUCUUCCUCUCACAAGCUUGUAAUGGUGAUUUUCGUGUUUUACUCAACUGUAAUUAUAUUAGCUGGCGCUCUAUUAGUAAUAUAUUUUCUCCUCCUCCAUAUACUACUGGUUAUAAUUUGCUUAUAGAUUGUUCAAAUUCUUACUUGGCUUACAGCACAUCUUUUAAUGCAGGGUGCAGCAAAUUUAGUACGUGAUGCUAGCUGCUGGCAGCGUGAACAUGAAUGGCGUCAGGAUAUUGCAGUUGUUACCAAGUGGCUAUCUGGAGUCUCUCCGGUAUGUAUAUUAUUAGCUUUUGUCUGAUUCUGAAAUUAAUGUUGUACUUUGGCUCUGUAUUUAUGAUAUUGUUUUGUGCUUGAGGUGCUAACUUCACAUUUAUCUGAUGUCUUAUUUUAUGAUGAUUUUGAAUAGCUGUCCUGUCCUGAAUUCAAGUUGAUUAUGUUUCGCCCAUCUUGUGUUUAUGUUGUUGGAUAAGCUUUUGAUGAGCAAUGGUUCCUUUAAUUCCUCUUUAAACUUUGGGCCAUGGUGGUGACGUGAUAUUCUCUGCUAGAUUCUUUUCACUUGCGUAUGAUUCUCUUGGGAGGAUUUAUUUCCCUUUAUUUGUUUAACUGCAUUGUUCAAAACACUGUUCUUGUGGUGAUUUAAUUGUAUUGUCCCAAGUUCCAUUAGUAUUAUGUGCAUUUUGAUUAUUGUUUGACCUCUAUUAAAAAAAAUCAGUAUAGGUGGCUUUCAUCAAAAUCCAGCAGUUCUACAAAUUCAAAGUCAACAUUUGAGGAAAAAUUCCUUUCACAGCAGUCUCAAACUUCAGGUUUGUGUCUGAGAGGUGUUUUUCAUAAGCUUGUGUUGAAGCUCUAUUCCUUGUUUUCUGUUAUUGAAAUGUGAAGUGUAAGCCCAUUCUCUGAAUAUCAGCUUUUCAACCUGGUGAUUCGAAUCAUAUUUUUCAUUGUUUUGAACAUGAAUGGUCAUACUAUUUCCAGAAAUAGGAGAUUUCAGAAUUCUUUAUUUAAUAGUGUGUGGCUGCAAUUACUGCAAAUGAUUAUUUUUCCUUCACAUUAACGGAUUCCAUGGUGUAACUGUGGGAAGAGAGAGAGAACUUAAUGAAUGGUUUUUUCAUAGAAAUAAUUGUAAUCAUGCAUGAAAUUUAUUGAUUAUAUGAAAGCCUGCAUUGGCAUAAGACUUGUUGCAAAUUUUGCAUGUACAACGAAUAUAUUCAAACAGCACCAUCACUGAUCUAGUAUCUGGUUUUAUUUCAGCUAGGUGGCCCAAUUUCCUGUGUGUAUGUUCUGUUUUUUCAUCAGGAUCUGUGCAGCUUCAUUGGUCUCAGUGGCCUCCUAGUCAGAAUAAUGCAACACCAAAGUGGUUUUCCACAAGCAAAGGACUCUUGGGUGCUGGGCCUAGUGGGAUUAUGGCUGCUGAUGCUAUUGUAACAGAUAGUGGUGCCAUGCAUGUUGCUGGUGUUCCGAUUGUGAACCCCUCUACUGUUGUUGUUUGGGAGGUUACUCCUGGUCCUGGACCUGGAUUUCAAGCAAUUGCAAAGACUAGUACCAGCAACGGGGUCCCACCUUCUCUCAAUCCACCUACAUGGUCAGGUUUUGCUCCUUUAGCUGCAUAUUUAUUCAGCUGGCAAGAGUAUCUGAUAUCUGAAGCAAAGCAUGGGAAAAAGCAAACAGAUCAAGAUUUCAGUGACGCUGUAUCACUUCACUGUUCACCUGUUUCAAAUUUUUCUGCAUAUGUUAGCCCUGAAGCUGCAGCUCAAUCUGCGGCAACCACAACUUGGGGCUCUGGUGUUACUGCAGUUGCUUUUGAUCCAACUCGUGGUGGUUCUGUGAUAGCUGUUGUGAUAGUUGAGGGUAUGUACAGCAUUCUGACUUCAAAUUUGGUCCUUUAAUAAAAUGUCAUUUCAUGUGCUCUUUUCUCUUCUUUAUUUAUUUUUUCUUCUGAAUUAAUAAUCUACAUAGAUAUACCUAGAUUUUGCUUCACAACUAGGAAAAGAAUGGUAUUGGCCUAAAUUUCAUGUUUCAUUUGGAUAAAUCUUUUCCAGCCUAUAUAUGCUUUUAGGAUAUUAAUAAUUUGUUUCACUGUGCAGGGCAGUAUAUGUCUCCUUAUGAUCCAGAUGAAGGUCCUUCAAUCACGGGAUGGAGAGUUCAGCGUUGGGAAUCGUCUCUUCAGCCUGUUGUUCUUCAUCAAAUAUUUGGAAAUCCUACUUCGAGUUUUGGUGGGCAGGCACCUAUGCAAACUGUAUGGGUCUCCAAAGUUGAUACUAGCAUACAUCCGACAAAUGAUUUCAAAAAUCACCAAGCAGUUGCAGCUGGGCCUACUUCUGAUGUGAGAAAGACAUCUGAUUCUGGAGUUGAGAAGGCUAAGAGUCUCACUUUUGAUCCCUUUGAUCUGCCAAGUGAUGUUAGAUCACUUGCUCGAAUUGUUUAUUCUGCUCAUGGUGGUGAGAUUGCUAUUGCUUUUCUACGGGGUGGAGUCCACAUCUUCUCUGGGCCCAACUUUGCUCUUGUUGAUAGCUAUCAGAUUAAUGUUGGAUCUGCCAUUGCUGCUCCUGCAUUUUCUUCCACAAGCUGCUGCUCUGCUUCAGUUUGGCAUGAUGCUAGCAAGGACCGAACCAUAUUGAAGAUAAUUCGUGUUCUCCCCCCAGCUGUUCCUAGCAGUCAGGUGAAGGCUAACUCAUCGACCUGGGAAAGAGCAAUUGCUGAGAGGUACUUAGAGUAGUUAGUGUAUGUCUGUCAGAAGUUACAUGAGUAGUCUAAAUAUAAAUGCUAGAUCUUUUUUGUGGAUUAAUUCUGAUUUUGCAUUCGUCAGAGCAGGUUUUGGUGGAGCCUAUUGGUAGGCGUUGAUUGGUGGGAUGCUGUUGGCUGCACGCAGAGUGCUGCUGAGGACGGCAUUGGUAUGAAUAUUUUUGUUUUAUGUGGGUGUGGGUAAUAAUAAUAGAAGUGGGCAGGAUUGUGAAAGCUGGAUGCUUUAGCUUUAUCCUGUGUUCACAGGGAUAAUGGAUAGGAAAUAAAGUAAAGGAGAGGAUUAGUGUAUCUUCAUUUCUUACUGAUUCUGUUCUCCUUUUACAACUUGCAUAAUAAGCAUUUUUCUCCUGUGUAUUUUUUCUUUCUCCUUUUGUUUCUUGUGCAUUAAUAUCAAAUUUACCUCCCUUCCUUUCAGUUUCACUGAACAGUGUUAUCGCGGUCUUGGAUGCGGAUUUUCAUUCUCUUCCUUCCACUCAGCAUCGGCAACAAUAUGGUCCUGUAUGUUCCUCUGGAAUUUUCAUCUUAACACCAUAUUAUAUUUUAUCUUGUAAUAGUCAGUUUAAUUAUGACAUCUUGAAUUAAAUUGGUGACAAAGGAGCCUGUCACUGCAUUCUCUUGAACCAUCACCACCUCUAGAUGUUAUUGUUAUUUGUUUUGGAACAGUAUCUUAUGAUUUUCACUGUCCCAGUUAAUAAUGUGAGAUAAGUGUCUUUAUUUUGCUUUAAAUGGAUUUGCAAUAUAUAUUUUUGAAUGCUCCUUGGUGUGAUGUUGAUCUUGGGCUUUUGGGUCUAAAACUUGGCUGUUGGCUAUCUUAAUUUUUCUUUUUUUGAUUUGAUCAUUCCUGUACUAGUUAUUAAACCAUCAGUUGCCAUCCACAUUGAUCUUCUGUCACGUGAAUGCCACUAUAUUCUUUACCUACAAAAACUCGUGCAUUAUAAUUACAUGUGCUGUUAGGAUGAAACUUAUUUGGUUGACUAGAUGUGAUUUGUAUGGUGCAGAGCCUAGACAGAAUAAAGUGCAGGCUUCUGGAAGGUACAAAUGCUCAGGAGGUUAGGGCAAUGGUUUUAGAUAUGCAAGCAAGAUUGCUUCUUGAUAUGCUGGGCAAAGGCAUUGAAUCAGCUUUGAUAAAUCCUUCAGCUCUAGUGCCUGAACCAUGGCAGGCUUCUGGGGAGACAUUAUCAAGCAUUGAUCCAGAAGCCAUGGCUGUUGAACCGAACCUUGUUCCAAGUAUCCAGGUUUGCUUUUGGCUCUUUACGGACUUCCUUUUCUGAUGUUUCAAGUACUGAAAGUUGAGAUAGUGAAGAUUCUCUGAUGCUACUAAUUUGGGUUAAUUUGUAGUGUGAAUGUUGCAUAUAAUGUAACAAGUCUUUGCAUUGCUACUGCAUUUUUUCGUUCUCUCCUUUUUCACUUUCUGAAGAUAUAACUACUGUUAUGGGUUGUGAAGUAUGGAAUAUGAACUGGUCUUUAUCAUUGACUGAGGUGGUGAUGUACCCACUGUCUCAAAAUGUUCUAUUUUUGUUUGUCUUCUCAAACUUGAUGAUGUGAUGCAGGCCUAUGUUGAUGCAGUUCUUGAUCUAGCUUCACAUUUUAUCACACGUUUACGGCGUUAUGCAAGUUUCUGUCGCACAUUGGCGAGUCAUGCAGUUACUGCUGGAACUGGCAGUAAUCGCAGUGUGGUGACUAGUCCCACCCAAAGUUCAGCAUCUCCUGCAGCAAGUCAGGGUCUGUAUGCUUUGGUGCCUUGUAUUUCAAUACCACAAAAUAAAGAUAGGAAAAUGAAUAAAUGAACUGCCAACUUAAUAAAAUAAAUAAGUGAGAAAACUUCCAUUCUCUUUCUCAUUUUGAUUAACUUAGGAUGUCCUCUAAUAGUGAUACUAUGCUUUCCAGGUGGUCAAAAUGGUACUACAAGUUCUACAGGAAGUACUCAGAUGCAAGCUUGGGUACAAGGUGCUAUUGCUAAGAUUAGUAGCACAAGUGAUGGAGUGUCCAAUUCAACUCCAAAUCCCAUAAGUGGCCCAUCUUCCUUCAUGCCAAUAAGCAUCAAUACUGGAACUUUUCCUGGAACACCAGCUGUUAGGCUUAUUGGUGACUGCCAUUUCCUUCAUAGAUUAUGUCAACUUUUGCUUUUCUGUUAUUUCUUUCGGCGAACACAACAACUCCCCCGUUUUAUUGGGGGUGCACAGAGAAAUCCAGAUUCAAAUAUGCAAAAACCUCAGCCUGGUGCUCCUGGCAAGGUGGAGGAAGGCAACUCUGUUUCUUCUAAACUGGCUCCAACAAUGGUAAGAUCAGAUGAAGGUCAGGCUGCUCGAGGUGCUCAGCUUGUACCUGGAGUGAAAGGAGCUGAAGAUGGACCUGCCGGGCGGUCAAGAUUGGGUUCGGGCAAUGCUGGUCAAGGAUACACUUUUGAGGAGGUAUAAAGGGGUUGCUCUACUUCUACGUUUACCAUAUUGCUUUGGAGUUUUUAUUUUCUUAUCUUGCUAAAGACCCAUUUCAUCAUUUCUAAGCUGAGGUUUGGGCAUUGCAGAACAUUUGGAUGGGACAUAGCUGCUAAGGAUCUGAUUAGUUUACCCUAGUUUGAAGCUUCAUGUGCUGGUUUUUUGCAGGUGAGGGUCCUUUUCCUCAUACUCAUGGAUCUUUGUCGGCGGACAUCUGCUCUGGCACAUCCAUUGCCAGUUUCUCAAGUGGGAAGCGGCAACAUCCAGGUGCGGCUGCAUUAUAUUGAUGGGAAUUAUACUGUAUUGCCAGAGGUUGUAGAAGCAUCCCUUGGCCCACAUAUGCAGGUAUCCAUGUUUAUGAUUUAAUUUAGACAAAAGCCAUGGAUUUUCAGGGAGCAAAUGAGAUUUGCUCGCUCUUAUUUAGAUUUGGUUCUAAGUGUUAACUCGAUCUGGUAAAAUUGAUCUUUCUGUUUCUAUAAAUGGGAAUACACAGAACAUGCCCCGCCCCAGAGGUGCAGAUGCUGCUGGGCUAUUGCUCCGUGAACUAGAACUCCAUCCUCCAUCUGAAGAAUGGCACAGGCGAAAUAUGUUUGGUGGCCCCUGGUCUGAUUUAGAGGAUACGAGUUCUGCUGAUGAUACUCCUAGGCAGAGUAGCUACACAGAUUCCCUUGAUUUCAGCUCGUUGGAAAAUUGUGAUGUGUAUUGUGGUGUCAAUGGCCUAUGGCCAAAGAAGCGCAGAAUGUCUGAAAGAGAUGCAGCUUUUGGCUUGAAUACCUCUGUUGGCCUGGGAGCAUACCUUGGGAUUAUGGGAUCUCGAAGAGAUGUUGUUACUGCAGUGUGGAAGACUGGUCUUGAAGGGGUUUGGUACAAGGUCAGUCCCAUUUUUUCUUCCUGGUGUCGUCUUGUUCCUUUUUUCCUUCGAUUGAUUGUAGGCUCUUUUUAUGUUUGCUUGUCUACUUUUGCUGUUUGGUAACUUUUGCUUGAGCUCAACUGAAUAAGAACUGCAGCAUUCGCAAGUUUCAUAUCUAGUACCUGAAAUUAUGUAAUAAAUUCGUGUUAAAGUUCUUAUCCAAAAUAAGUUGCUGCUAGUAGCUACUUAUGAAUCUUGUUUCUGAUAUUCUAUAUCCAAUUCCAAAUUCACCACAAGAUGCCCGAAAAAGCAAAAUUCAAACAACUCAUUUAUAGUCUCUGCAUCAUCAAUGAUCUCUUUUUCUUUACUCCUUUUUGUACUGCUUCUCUUAAAUUAUUUACCUUUUCUACCUUCAUUUGAAUUUCUAUGUAGCAUGUGUGAAGUAUUUGUCAUCUACGUUCAAUACUUAUUCUAUUACUAUCCAGUCUAUGCACCUGCUUGUGGUCUCUAAUUGUUUUUCCUACUCUUAUGAUGUUGAUCAAUUUUGGUGCAGUGCAUAAGAUGUCUCCGGCAGACUUCAGCUUUUGCUUCCCCAGGGGCUACAAGUCCACCGAAUCAAAAUGAGCGGGAGGCAUGGUGGAUCAGUCGUUGGGCCUAUGGCUGUCCUAUGUGCGGUGGAACGUGGGUUCGAGUUGUAUAGACGAGAUUGUUGAUUGUGCUUUAAUUAAAAAUGUGGGUUCAUUCUCCACUCUCACAUCAAAACAAAUUCUUGACUUGUGUACAUAUGAAAAAAAAAAAAAAAANNNNNNNNNNNNNNNNNNNNNNNNNNNNNNNNNNNNNNNNNNNNNNNNNNNNNNNNNNNNNNNNNNNNNNNNNNNNNNNNNNNNNNNNNNNNNNNNNNNNNNNNNNNNNNNNNNNNNNNNNNNNNNNNNNNNNNNNNNNNNNNNNNNNNNNNNNNNNNNNNNNUGUUGGGCCUUCUUGUCUGAUUGGUGAUGAUGCAGCAGAUCGACAUGUUCUAUGGAUAUUUCUAGGACAGGCAUGCAAUGCGAGACACAUCGGACAGGCAUUAUGAGAAGUCCCGCGCGAUAUAAAAUGUGUUUGGGUCGGCAGUUGCUGGUUGGAAUUUGCAAGUGAUGAUGAUUUACAAGUUCAGAAUUUCGGUGGAAUUCCAAGUUCGGUUCAGGAAAUAAUUAGUUUUUUGUACAGUUAUUGUCGUUUAUUGUACCAUAACUCCAUCCCUUUCAUUGAGAAGCGGUUGUGUAUUAUAGAAAAUGAAAGAUUUAGCGAGGUUAGCAUAGCAUGUGUAGGUUGAGUAAACAAACGCAAUUUUGCAUUACGCUUGAGAAAUUGUUCUACUAUAUAGCCUGCUGAAGUUUAUGAUCUAGCUACACAAUUAUGUUGAGGCUUGACAUAAGGCCUGCUCCUAUCAACGAGUAUAACGAUUGAUCAAACGACCGGACAUUCGUCCUCUCCCUCAAUACUGUCUUUUUUUUUUUUUUUUGUCCUUUUCUAUUUGCUCCAUGGAUGAUAAAACAUUAAAACAAUCCAUUGUUAGAAGCUUGUCGUUUCAAAUUCAAUGUUUAAACGACUGGGGUGUCCAGGCUCCGGGUUGGAGCAACGCGAAACGACUUAUUUUUUCAAAUAAGAAUUUGUUUGGGCCUGUUAUCACUAUAUUUUCCUCAAAAACGACAAUUAACUACAUCGUCGUUUAACUUACUGAUUUGGGGAGAGUAGUGGGACCGUUAGAGACUAGGAGUAUGUUCUUAACACCUUCUUCGACUUACUUUCCAGCUUCUGCAUCUCCGGUCACCAUUCCUCCUCUCCUCCAAAUUUCUCAUACAAUUGUUUAAUCAACCAUUCAGUUUCAAAAUCCCACUGUGAACGAGGGAGAGAAGAAUCAUGAGCACAACGCAGGGGACGCACUCGCUAGCCUUCCGUGUUAUGAGGCUAUGCAAGCCUUCAUUUCACGUUGACGCUCCACUCCGUGUGGACCCGGCCGAUCUCAUUGUCGGCGAGGAUAUCUUCGACGAUCCCAUUGCAGCCUCACGGCUUCCUCCUCUUAUUGACGGCCAGGUUUCCAACCUCACCGACACAUCCGAUCUCACCUAUCGCACCAGAUUCCUCCUCCAACACCCUUCCGAUUCAUUUGGUCUCACUGGUCUCCUCGUUCUCCCUCAAGCCUUUGGGUAUAGUAUCAUAUAAUGUUCUCAUUCUUAAUUUACUUUUUUUUUUUUUUUUUUUUUUGGAUGGCUAAUUUAAUUCUUUUUUUCAGGGCUAUAUAUUUGGGGGAGACAUUUUGCAGCUAUAUUAGCAUCAAUAAUAGUUCUAAUUUUGAAGUUAGGGAUGUUAUAAUCAAGGUGAGUUCAGUUUUUAGUAUGUUCUAUCUUUUAUCAACUCAGUUGAUAAUUAAGUUUGUCUUUAAAUGUAGGCAGAAAUCCAAACAGAGAGGCAGAGGAUCCUGCUACUAGAUACUUCAAAAACGCCUGUAGAGACAAUACGUGCUGGAGGACGUUACGAUUUCAUUGUGGAACACGAUGUGAAGGAACUUGGAGCUCAUACGUAUGUUGAAUCUAUUUCGUGGUGAAUGUAAGUGGAUUCAGAUGUUAUUAAUUGCAAAGUUCUUUCUAAUUUGGGUGUUAUGUGGCAUUACAAUCUUUAGGUUGGUCUGCACUGCUCUUUACAAUGAUGGUGAUGGUGAGAGGAAAUAUCUUCCGCAGUUUUUCAAGUUUAUUGUCGCUAAUCCACUUUCAGUUAGAACAAAGGUACAGUACGUUACUCACAGUGCUUGGCAUGUAUAAUUUGCUUACUGUUGAUAAAAUUUAUUCUGCAAAUGGAAUCAUCUUGAUCAAAAUGACUACAUAUAAUUAACACCAAAAGUACCAUUAUUUCCUGGUGUAGCAUUUUUCAUUCUCCAUCAGUUUGAUUUAAAAUAAACUCCCAGUCUAAUUACCUUUUUUUUUUUAUUAUUGUGCAGGUCCGUGUUGUCAAGGUAUGUUCAGCUUGACUACAUUUUGUAUUGUAAGUUUUUGAUCCUUUUCAUAGAAAAAUGCUGAUAUUUUUAGAUUUCACUAAUGAAGAUUGUAUGUAAAUGUUAUUAACAACGAAGUUAGCCAUUACAAUUAGAUUUCCCUAUUUUGAUAUGUUUUCAUUGUUUAGAUCUUGGUAAUCUUGCCUGUUUUCGAAGUUGAAAUUGAUCCUUUUUUCUGUUCUCUUAAAUUCCCUCUUUUUCCUCAUAAAUAAAGGAAAAAAAUAAGACGAAGAAGAAGAAGCCCAAGUGCUGGCUAAGCAGUGAGGCAAUGAUUAAGAAUAAUGUAUGCAUCAUAUAGCUGGCUAGAAUGCAUAUUUUUAUUUUGGGUAUAAAAUCUGUAGAUAUAGAUAAUAGGAGGGGGGAAGUCCAUCAGUGCAAUGUUUGGUUUUGUAAAUGUUAAUCUUUGACAAGUGCAGCUAGGUUUAGCUUCAUUGAAUAUUUCACUGGACUUUUAUGCUACUCUUGACCUAAGAUGAAUUAACAAUGUUGUUUUAAGUUAUGUAGCGUUCCCAAGCAGCAUCACUUGAGCUCAUUGUCCCUUACUGCUUUUAACUGUUUAGCAUUGUCAUGAUUCAAUGAUUCCUUAGUAGAAUUUGUAUAAGUAUAUUGACAUCCAUUUCAAUUCUGUAUCAUAAGUUAUCAAGUUUUCCUAAACCACUUUGGCACUCAUUCUAUUUUAUUAAUCCAUGCUGUAACUGCUGCAUCUUCCAUCUCAGGAAACUACAUAUUUAGAGGCAUGUAUUGAAAAUCAUACAAAAACAAGCCUUUAUAUGGACCAAGUUGAGUUUGAGCCAGCUCAGUAUUGGAAUGCACAAAUACUGAAAGCUGAUGACAACCAAUCUGAGAAAGAUUCUCAUACCAGGUUUGUAUGGUCAUAAUUUUUGGGAUAGGUACUAUCAAUUUAGCAUGUUCUUCUUAUUAUACUUCAUUUUGACUAAUUUCAUUUGGUCAUAUAUCUUCUGUAAUUAUUAUUGCAAUUGAUCUUACGUCAUUUGUAUUUUGCUCAUCAUCAUAUGUUGACAGGGAGACAUUCAAGACUCCUAUCCUCAUUAGAUCUGGUGGAGGGAUCCGCAACUAUCUUUAUCAAUUAAGAUUUUCAUCAAAUGGUUCUGCUCAGAGUAAUGUUCUUGGCAAGCUUCAAAUAACAUGGCGUACAAAUUUAGGUGAACCUGGUCGACUGCAGACACAACAAAUUCUUGGCAAUGUAAGUUUGUCUCUGUAUUUAUAAAAACGAGGAAGCAUCAUCUCUGUGUUGACAUAUCCUACACACACUUACAAUACUUUUUAACAUAUCCAUUUAUUGUAUAAUUCCAAUAUGUUCUUUUUGUUGCUUAAUUGAUGACUUACACGCGUAAUUACAGUUAGAACAAAGUUAUGGCUUCCCCUUUUCAGUUCAUUGUAUAGGAGCCAAAUAGGACAUGCAAUAUUGCAAUUUACUGAAUAUUUUUGGUAGCUUGCUCAUAUUAUCAUGUUCUAUUGUCCUGCCUGCCUGUGCAAGCAUCAAACAUCAAAACAAAUUGGAUAUUGUUGUACUUAGUCUCUAUAACUUCCUUCUACAGCCCAUAACACAGAAAGAGGUCGAGUUGAGUGUUGUGGAGGUUCCAUCUGUCAUCAACUUGGAUAAACCCUUUUCGGUAAUUGCAUUUCAAUUUAUACAUUCUCUUGCAUUUGAAUAAAACAUUCCAAAUGCAAGGUUUAGAUGAUUGACUUUUUAGUUCAAAUUGACAAAGAUUUGGACUGUUGAAAGAUGAGAAUGAAAACAUAUUUCCAUUGUCCAUUGGGAACUGAAUCCCUCAGUUUUAUGCAGGUGCACUUGAAACUCAAAAACCAUACAGAGAGAGAAUUGGGCCCCUUCGAGGUUUGGUUAUCACAAAAUGAUUCACUAGAUGAGAAGGCUGUUAUGAUCAAUGGCCUUCAGUCUUUGGUAAUACUUUUAAAUUGGUUUCAAGCAUCUCCUUUGCUAAAUAAUUACACAGAUUCUAGUUGAAGGCAUUUUGUUGCUAUAAACAAUGCUGAUGCCUGAUUGCUGAAUUUAAAAAUCUACUUAAUAUUUUGCAAUAGCUAUCACACAUAUGAACUGCAUGCUUAUAGUGAACCCCAGUUUUAUUUCAAACUGGGUUUGUGUCCUCAAAUUUGUUGUGACAUUUAGAUUUAACUUUAGGGCUAGGAAAAGCGUUAACUUACAAUAUUCCUGUUAAAAUGUUUGACUCUUCAAGAAUGAUUAGGAUGAGUACAUGGUCUAAUUUGAUUAAAGCAUGUUGGGAACAGGGACUGUUAUGAAGAAACUUACACAUUGGAAUAAUUAUUUUCUAACUAUACAGAAGGGUCUUAACUUUUUGUAUUGCUGAUAUGCGGAUAUGACAUCUGUGCACAGGAGUUACAAGAAUUGGGGGCAUUGGGAACCACUGAUUUCCACCUGGUAUGAAGAAAUCCGACCCUUACCUUCCAAAUCAAUUCAUUUUUUGUAUUAUGGUUGAAUAUAAUUUAUUUGCAACUAAAAAAUUCCAUCACUUUAUGAUGCUGAUUGCUGAGAAUGGAAAACUUGUGUAAGAUUUUGAAUGUAUAGGUUUUGGCCUAAAAAUUAGUAGGAAAGGUUUAGAAAAUUAUUUGUGAAAUUAAUUAUUGCCAGCAAUAUGGUAACUGAUGCAAUGUUUUUCUUUAUUCUAAUAUUUGACCCUUAUCAUCAUUGAGGUUUGUUGAUGGUAGAGAUCAAGUGUGAUUUCUUUAUGCCGCUUUCAUUUCUGCAGAACCUGAUUGCUAUUAAACUUGGAGUCCAGAAAAUAACAGGCAUUACAGUGUUCGACAAAAAAGAGAAGAAAACUUAUGACCCGUUGCCUGAUUUAGAGGUUGGUUUCUAGAGUAGUUUACUUGUUUUGGAUAUCACUAGCAUUUUUUGAAUGCCAUAUGUUGAUUUUUACUGGUCUUCUAUGUAAAAUUGGACGUUCUAGGAUUUAAAUCCUGCAGGUUCUCAUUUAAUUCCGAUUCUUGCAGAUUUUUGUGGACGUAGAUUGAUCUAUUUGUUGCCUCUGAACUGGUUUCAUCCAUGGAGCCAAAGGUGUUGAUAAAUCGAAGUGCAUACUUGGAUAUUGGAAUAUGCUUUUUUUUUUUUUUGCUGAAGUUGGGAAAAGUACUGAACUAGCUUGUUUAAAUGGUCUCUCUUAAAUUUUAUAUAUAUAUAUAUAUAUAUAUAUAUAUAUUUUAAUCCAAGCAAAUCAAAGUGAAUGAUUUUAGAUUUUACAUAAUGCUUUAAAGAAAGAAUAUCGUAUCUGUGUCUAUAAAGAAAUAUUAACAGGAGAGAGGGAGAGAGGGAGAAGAGAUGCUCAAAUGAUAAACUUGAAUUACCAAAGCAUGAUUACAAAGAAAAGAUAAAGUCGAAUUUUGAAAAGCAUCAGAAAAUAUAAACAAGAUUCAGAAAGAGAGACAAAGUAAAACGAAGACAGUAUAAUUAAUUCUAGGUCAGGCUGUUUAUCCCGAUUUGAUUAGUUAAGCGCAAAGCAUUUAGACUUGAGAACCACUGAGAGCCCAAUUGGCUUCACUGCCAACACGAGGCAUGGUGCUUAUCCUUGACUGACUAUCAACCUUGAAAUUAGCUCCGCACAUUACUCCUUCACUAUCAAUUCUUGGCAUUGCCUUCAUUUUGCUCUUUGGAUGCUCAAAACUCAUCAACCCUUGUUCACUAUGGAACAUGCACCCUUUUGGAAAUGGUGCAAAUGACUUUGCACAGCUUCCUUUUAUGCCCUCCAAGUUGUCAGAUAUUACAACAGAACCAUCACCUGCAAUUCCCCAGUACAUUUCCACCCCUUCUUCUGCACCCUGAACCAAACAAGACAUUUCAAUAUUGGUUUUCAUUUUUCUAUUAGAAAAAAGAAAAAAGAAAUGAUACCCAUUUCAAAGAGGAAGACUUACCAGAGCAGCAAAGACAUGUCCAGCUUUAGUGUCAUAAACCACAAAUCCGAAAGUGCCCUCCAAAUCCUUGAGGACUUGAUGGGCCGGGUAUGGCCCACGGUCACGUAAGGUCCUAUAUGCUUCAAUUACAAACAUAGCCUCAUUGGUUCCUUUUGAUAGCCCAUACUGUCUAAUAAGGCUACACAAGUUGUUUAAGCUCCCCAAGAAAAUGCAGUACAUGUCAUUCAAUCCACAGAAUAACCUGCAAUCAAAUCAUUAUAUUAACUCCUAAUCCAAAUACCCAAAUAGCUUCAAAAUCAAAUAAGUUGAAACCCUAAGAGACACCUAAUCACUUACCUCUGGUUAACAAAGUGAUGAUUUUUAGGUGGAAUAUAGGCGAGAGAAGCAGCACCACCAAAGCUAAUACAGAACGCAUUAGAAGGAUCAGAAGAAACAAAAUCUUGAAGAAUUUGCUGAGGAAACUUUGGCUUUCUUGAUGAUGCUAAAGAAGCUGGGCUAUGCAGCUCCUGUGGUGGAUUCACUAACUGUUUGUUGAAUAUUGCCAACAUUUUUUCUUCUUUUCUUACAACAAAAUCCUGAAACAGAUCUUAAAACCAAAACAGAGUACCCAAACUGUAAUAUGCUGAAACAGUUACUGAUGCUUCAAGAAAUGGAUUUAUGCCUUGUAUUUAUAGUGUUAGGAAGAGAGAGAAAAUUAUAAUAUUGCAUAGCGUGGCAACAUUAUCCAAACUCGAAAUCCGAGGCCUAGAUUUAGAAGACGUGUCGCUGGCAGUUUGUUGAGUUGGAUUUUACUACUCUAGUUCGUCAAGAUUGUGGAUUUUAUCAUAUAAGGUUGUUUUUACGUCUAUGUAAUUGUAUUUGUAUUUGGCUCGAUACUUUCUUCAGAUCUAACGGUUCAUAAUUAUUUUGAGCUCAUAUGCAUAAAAAUUAAUAUGGACUAAUACGCAUGGAAUCAAUUUUAUUUUAUAAUAAAAGGACAAUCUUUAUCCAUAAAGAAUUGAUGACUCUUUUAAAUUUGUAAUAGCAUGUGACUGUACUUCGUAAAAUGUUACGCACGUUAUGGGUCGGGUUGGAUGGAUUCGGAUCUUAUAAUGACGAAAAUUUGCGCAUAUAAAGCUUGACUUUGAUAUGGAUCCGGGUCAUAGAAAGAUUUGCUACACACUGGACCGGCUUGUAUUAAACUAUUUUAUUUUUUGAAUUAGGUGUAAAGAUUGAAGAGUGGUCCCCAAAUCUGACGGUGCACCAUGUUGUGAUAAUUAUUGUUGGGAAUUUUUUUAGUUUAUGACAGGAUAAUAAUAAUAAACUAUUUCCAAGAUCGUUCCUCACCAUUUGACUUAGGUAGGGAAUACAGGGGCUAAGGAUCUUAUCCAAUACGGACAACUAAAAGUGGUAAAGUGGUUGAACCAAAAGUGACUGUGAUCUGAGUCAGCAAAUGCUCGUGGAUACGUGUAAUUACCAUUUUGGUUAGAAGUUGAAGCCGGAAAUAAUAUUGAGAGUUGGUUUGGAUUAAUGAAAUUGUAGAAUCCAUGAAUUUUGUAAAAAAUUCAUAUAAUUUUACAUUAUACUCCCAUUUGGUCGAAAACGUAUACUAAUACAUAGAUUUAAAAGAUAUUAUGCCUUUUUCAUUUAAAAAUAAAUAUUUUUUUCUUAAUUGUCUAAUUUGAAACUUUUUCUUGUAUGUUUCACCCAUUGAAUUAUUUUUAUUUCUUUUUUAAUAAUAAUAAUAAUAAUAAUAUAAUAUUACUGGACUCUUGUUGAGCCGUUGCUUUUGUGCUGGGCUUUCGGUUUGGAUAUGGAGAGUAGUUUUAAAUUGGGAAACAAAUGUAAUCCUUAGGCCCAAACUUAAUUAAAGACCGCAUCUUAAAUGGCCGUAGCCUCCUGUGGGCUUCAGAAGGCGAUUGAGAUUGUAUUCAGCUUUGAGAAUGCUUUGGACUUGAUGGAGAUUAUAAGAGGACAGCCCAUAUUUUUUUUUUCACCUUCUUUUCUUAUAUACUUUUUAUAUUAGAAAUUCUUUAGCGUUGAGAAGUUGUUAGCGCUUCAAAGCGGUGGCUUGCGGUACGUUUGAAAACUUUCCUUUCAUUCUCGCUUUAAUAUUGAUAUAUAGGUAGAGAUAAAUAUAAAUAUAAAUAUAAAUAUAAUAAAUUUUACAAUAAACAUUUUAAGUAUGAUUUGUGUCAGGUACAAUUACAGUGCAAACAGAGUAAGAGGACUGUGCAAACAGGUACAAUAUAUCUUUAUUUCAGAUUUGAUAUGUUUUUCCUUGUUUCAAUGUAAUAUUGUAACUUCUCCCUUUUGUUCUUUAAAUUGAUUUAAGCACGUUAGAAUUUGAUGAUGGCGUGACAUAGAUUGAUAUAUAUCAUUCCUUGAGGAAUUUGAGUCAAAUUUGUCUAGCGACCAAGCCAGCCAGACCCACGCCUCGUACGUACCGUACCCAAAAGUCCACACGCGCGGACAAGACCAAACAAAACAAUAGCGAGUCGUUUGUCUCCUUCCUAAUCAAAACGAUUUCCUGCGCUCCUUUUGUCCUUAUAUCAUACCCUCUUAUCUAAUGCCAGCAAACGCGGCAUACACACGCAGUGGACGAUAAGCGGACGCGUGUCCUUUCACCGCCAGUUUGCACAUGCACAGAUAGAUAGAGUGCUUUGGAGUAACGCCCAUUAUUCUGUUGUUUUAUUGUACAUAUUUUUAUCUGGCACGUGGGAGAAACAAGGUAGGCCCACAGAAUUCAGCGCAGAACACGUCACUGCUGACGAGGAAUUGGAUGGAGAAUGGCCCUUACUGUUCAUGUUAAGGGUCAUAUGGACCCUUCUAAUUUUGUGCUUUGGAGGCAGUAGCCUGUUGCCCUAGCCAACGAGGUCAUUUUCGAAAAACAGCCACUAUCUUGUUUAUAGUUUUGAGGAGAUACUAGAUUCGUGUAUAUCUCUACCUUUUCUUUUCUUUUCUUUUUUUUUUUUUUUUUUUUUUUUUUGUUCCCUACCCGUUUUUGAAAAUAGUCUAACAUCUCCAUGGGCCUUAUGAAAUUAUUAUUUUUGUCAUUAGUUAAAUCUACACAUAAAUAUUUAACGGAAUGAUCUGAUUAGUCUUAUUAUAUCUUGUAAAAUAUGUAUAUGAAAAGUCUCAACUUUUAUUAAAUACUAAAUUAAAACUUUCAGGUAAUAAAAAUCAUACACAAAAUAAUUAUCUAAAUCAAUAGAAUAAAAUCGUCGUAACCAAAUGCUAUUAACAACAUUUUAGAUAAUUUGUUAGAUAUCCUUCAUUGUUAGAACAAGCCACUUUAAUUGACAAUAAUUUUGUUUAGACAUUCUCUUUCCAGCGAUCAUGUGGCACGAGAGUUCAUUAGCUGAAAGUAUCACUAGCUUACGUCUUAACCUGAAUAGCACAAGUUUCGAAUCAGUGGAUGCUAUAAAAAUAAAGCAACCAACGGCGAACUUGACUAAGUCUCAUGCCCUCUUUACCUCCCCAUAUUUUUUGUUUUUAUCUAAAAAAUAAAAUUGUAUAUAUUCUAUUGGCUAGUUUUAAUAUCACUUGCGCAAUGAGGUAAUUAAGACUCCAAUCAUAGCUAUCUAUGUAAUUAAUUUGCAAUUAGCUACACUUAAUUGCUUUGUUAUUUAGGAUAGUGAAAAUCCACAAUAAGAAAAGAUAAUCUGGUUGGGAUUUGUUUCACUUUUAAAAUCGUUUGGAUUGGAUUAAAAAUUAGAUUUUAGAAGUUGGGUUGCUGUCAUUUUCUGCUUUCUUCUUCCUCUUGGUAUUUUAUGAAUUCAUCAUUCAUUUUAAAAGUUCUGUUAAGCUAACUGUGCUCCAAGCGGGGAGGAAAUCAACUUUUCUGUUCCUGAAAGGUGAUAAAUAAAUAAAAGAAAAAAGGAUUAGGUCUUUAUUUGGCUAUAAAAUCAGUCAACUUUAUUAGCUAUUAAUAAUAAAAUUCUAUAUUUGGUAUAUAAAUUUAUUCGUAAUUCUUAAUAUUAUUAUAAAUGAAUUAUAUUUUUUAAAAAUUGAUGAAGAGCUUUGUGUUCUAUUCAUAGUCAAAUUUGUACAGUAAAUUAAGAUACACAGUAUCUAUAUAAAAAUCUGAAAGAUACACAGUAUCUAUAUAAAAAUCUGUUUCUUUGUCAAUUACACAAAAUUUAGGUCAAAUCACCAAAGAAUUAAUAUAUACGUCGUCAUAUUUCCAUUCCCUGUGCGAGAUGAAAGUAUGAAACGAAACGGAUAGUUCGUACCUAUUACGUAAUUACAUUGCAUCCAUUAUUAAUUGCUUAAAAGCUGAUUUAACUGAUCAAAAUUUGUCGCUUAUCGAAGAUAAUUGUCGUUUGCAGCUUGAUUGAUGGUAUAUACAUAGAGGACUAAAAACAUAUUGAAAACAGAACUUCAAACGUAAAAGUAUUAUCGUGCAAAAAAAGUGAAUAGUGUUCAGAAACGUUUUAAAAAUAUCUACUUAUACACACACGCACGACACGAGCAUCAUAUUAAUUAAUCGUAUAAAAAUAUACAAAUUUUAAUACGACAUGAAAUAUAAAUGAAUUAUGUAAAAUUAUAUAUAUUUAUUUAAAUUAUUUAUGGAAGUAAUAAAACGCAACACGGCUCAUGGAAUGCCAAAUGUAGAUGAUUGAGAGUUUAGUUAUAUGUGAUGAUAUUAAAGGGUAUAUAGGUGUGAGGCAAUGGAUAUUCAGAAAAGGGGUACUAUUUUAAUUGGUCUUUCACCUAAGAAAUUGAUGUAAGCUUGCUUGGACUUUCUACAUUAUGGAAUUUGGCAGUUGGCAACUUGUGUUUGAUAGUUUGACUAUUGACAAUUACUGUGUCAAAUUACGAGUUUUAAACAAAAGGCUGCUAACUGCCACAGUUGAACCAAUCUACAAAUUGUAAUAAUCUAAUUAUCUCGACCCUCUAAACACCUAAAUUAAUUGUAUUCUAUUUGUUCUUAAAUCUUAUUAAACCUUUUUUUUUUUCUCUCAUCCCUUUGGGUUCUUUAAGUGUUUUAUUUUACAAGUAAAUAUUUAUUACAUUUGAAAAAAUAAUUUAUUUCAAAAUACUUGUCGCAUUUAUAGUUUUAAAGAGUAAUAAAUAUAUUUUUUUUCAUAUUUACCUUUUAUAUAUAACCAAUAAUUUUUAUUUCUAUUUAAUGGUUUUCUUAGAGAAUUAGCAUUAAAUUAAAUGUAAUAUAAUUAAUUUACUCAAUAGUUUAUUGUAACUUAAUGAUUUCUUAAGAGACGUGAAAUUUAUAAGUAUUAUGAAAUAGAGGUAGUACCAAUUAAGAAUAAUAGUAAUACCUAACUUGUAUUUUAAUAAAUUGUACAAUUACCUAAUUAAUUUUAAAUGCAUCCUAAUCAUAUAAUAAUGAUAUAAAUUAAUAAUAGAGGGAAAAUUUUAAGAUUCCAAUGAGAGCUCGCCACCUGUCUCCAAGUUUGUUUUAUCAUUUUUAUGCUGACAUAACUUGUCUAAAGAAGAAAAAACUUGCUCAUCAAAUUUUAAUUAAGGAUAGAUGAAGAUCAUGACAUCAACACGUUUAAAUUCUUUGUCAACUGUAGGAAUUCAUCUCAAAUUCUAAACUGAAAUUUUGAAAAUAGGAUUAUAUUAUACCAUAAAACUUCUAAAUUAAUAUUAUCAAUAACAUCAAAAGACCUUAAAAUCUAUUUCUAUAAUUUUAUUCGUUGACGACGAUGAAGUGUUACAUUCUCUUCCUCCGACUGUCUCUGUGUGAUUAGAUCAUUGAUAUUAAUUAAUAAAGUGACAUUUUUUUGACAUUGUUUAAAUUAAUUAUUUCUUUUAAAUUUUUUCUCUUAUCGCAUAAACCUAAAAACAAAACAUCUAUUUAAUUAUAAAAUUGUAUAGGAAUCUUGUUCAUUAAUUCACUAUUACUUGUCUUAAUUAUAUAGAUUUUGCCAAAACAUCUAAAUUAACAUGAACCACACAUAUUAAUAAUUAGACAUCAGAGCACGAACAGCAUACCAACCUUUGAAAAAACAGGAAAAAAACUUCCGUACAACAAUCGUUUAAAUGGAGAAGAGAAGCAGCAACCCGCAUGGGAAUGCCCCCACUGGAAGUUGUGGACAUGAUUCGCAUAUAUCAAUCAUUGAUUGAAGAAUAUUUAAACUUGUCUUAAUUUAUCAAUCAUUGAUUGAAGAAUAUCCACCGUUCAUCCGCCAAACAGAGUGAAAGAAAUAUUGGUGAUUUGCGAUCGUCAAUCAAAUUUUAGGAAAAAGACUUCAAGGUUUUAACGUGAAUUUUCUAGAACCAUCCUAAGCAACAAAACACAACAAAUAAAAAUUUUGAGUUGCCAAAAAUAUUUAUAGGAAGAGACGGUAUCAAAACAAAAUUAGUUUUAUUUCUAAAAAUAAAAUUCAAUAUGUAAAAAUUCAUAAAAUGAAUUUGAGAAAGAUGCGUUUCAGAUAUUAUGAAAAUGUCAGUUACAAGUUUAAAUAUGUUUGGACUCCAUUUAUUUAUAUUUAUUAAAUGAUAAGUUUUAAAAUUAAACUCCCGGUGUUAAUCUUUAUUUAUUAAUUAUAAUGUUUUUUUUAAAAUUCAAUUAAUUAUAAUGUUUUAAUCAAAGAAAUGUGACCUUGUUGACCCUGGCUUCCUUUUUAAAUUUCAGAAUGAGAAUUGGCAUUACUUAAUUCUCGUUAGUGUAAGUAAAUUAUCUUUUAAUGACAUUUAAAUUAUCUUUUAAAUCAACACUUUUGAGCAAAUUUAGUUCAUUUAAUUUAGGCAGUUAAUAGUUGAUUUGGAUCUUACCUGUGUGUUUAAUGAGAUUUUAAGCAAAUAGUUAAUAAAAGUCUUAAUUAUUGUUAAACAAAAAAGGAUAAAUUAAUAGAAUCUAAUUUCUUUAUGCUAAAAUAGUAGUAAUUAAUUAAAUAAAGCCCAACGACCAACCAUAUAUGAAAAUAUUAGAAAAUAAUACAUGGAAAUGUACUGUUUAUUCUUCUAUUAAUAGAAUUUCCUUCUAAAUCUGUAAAAUAGAAUUCUUUUUUUUUUUCCUAAAAAGAUUUCCCAAGUGGUCCCCGCUGGCACGGCACCAAAUAAUAAAAUCAAAAAGUAAUUCCGUAUAGUGACCGGGUACACCGGUAAAACAUCGCCUAUAAAUCAUCGCAAAAAUCGAUUGCUCUGUCAAACUUCAUCGCUUCCUCCAUUUCUGUUCUCUUAACUCUUGCGAUAUAUCUGUGCAUGGCAGUGAGUCUAUUGGCUCGUGAGGUAUCUGACCUAUGCCUUGGAAAGCCUGCGCUUAGGUCUCUCUCCAUUUCUGCAACCGUCGGUGACGCCUUAUCGGCACUGAAGAGAUCUGAGGACCCGUAUUUGAGUGUAUGGAGCUGUGAUCAUCGCCGUCACGCUUCAAGAUCUAAAAUUGACGUGAAUGGAUGCCGGUGCAUGGGUAAGGUUUGCAUGGUGGACGUCAUUUGCUUCUUGUGUAAGGAGGACAAUUUGAAAAAUCCAAGCAGCGCUCUUCAGGAGCCAGUCUCUGUUCUUCUUCCCAAGGUUCCUGGUCUUGUUAGGCACUUGGAUCCACACGCAAGGUUUGUCAAUUAAGUAAUUAAUAUAAUAUUAUUUUUUUGAGGCCUGAGUUCUGUGAUUAGAAUCUGUAAUGUUUGGUUAAAUUUUUCAUGGAGUUAUGUUUAAAAUAAAAUUCCAAAAUAUCAUUUUGCUUAACGAAUUUAAUUUUUUGAUAGUAAUUGUCUAAUAGUUUUAGUUUAAUUAAGGUUUUGUAUAAUAAUAAAAGCAAUUUUGGUUUUAAUUUUAUAAUUAGCAUCCUCUGACCUUGGAUUAUUCAAUUUCUAGAAUUGAUUUAGAUGGAAGUUACAUUAUUUGAGGCUCCAGAUGAAUUUGAGCUGUUAGUCCAACGUUUUUAGUCGUGUUGUGGCUCUGAAAUGGGUUUUAAUUAAUUAAAUAACUGAUUAAAUGCAGAGAAAAAGAAGCAUUUAUAAUUUUUUUUAAGAGCGAUUUUAAUUAUAUUACAGCAUUUCUGAAUUUUCAUCAAUGAAAGCUAAAAACAGUCGAAUAUUGUUCAAUUCUGUAAGUCCUAAUGUUUUUUUAUCUCAACGAAUUGCUUUCUCUUCUCUUCUUAUAGCUCUGAAAUACAAAUCCAAUGCUUGUUGCUUAGCCAAAAUUGAAUUUUUUUUUUUUUUAAAAAAAAAAAAGAUAGAAACUGCAAUUUUUAUCAAAUCAAAAGAACAUUUAUUUUAAUUUUGAAAACUGGAAGAUUAGUAAAGCAGUUGUGACUUUCUUCAAUGGAAGAUCAAUGGCAUCAACAAUUACAAUUCAAUUCUGUUUCUUGAUCUUAACUGAUUGCUUUCUCCCUUUUUUUCUUGGUUUUCAGUUUGCUGGAGGCUAUAGAUCUAAUCCUUGAAGGUGCACAAAACAUUGUGAUACCAGUUCACAGUCCCUACACAAGAAAAAAGCUGACAUAUAAACCGUCCUCUAACUCCACGCUUCACAACAAUCGUGAAUACUGCUGGCUAACGCAAGAAGACAUUGUUCGCUACCUUCUCAACUGCAUUGGCCUGUUCUGCCCCACUCCUAACCACACAAUUGAGUUUCUCAAAAUCAUCGACACCAAAUCCAGCUCGGCUAUCUGCUACGAUGAGCCUGCCUCCUCUGCAUUACCCUUGAUCUCUCAAUCUCUUGUCAAGCAAACCUCUGUUGCCAUUGUUGACAUAGACGGCAAGUUGAUUGGUGAGAUCUCACCAUAUACACUGAACUCUUGUGAUGAAUCAGUUGCUGCUGCUGUUGCCACACUCUCUGCUGGCGAUUUAAUGGCUUAUGUGGAUUGUUGCAGCCCACCAGAGGACUUGGUACGGUUAGUGAAGGAAAGACUAGAAGAGAUGAAUUUAGGCGCAGCUGUGGAUUUAUUGGAGGAAGCAUCAGUAAUUUCGCCAUCAUCGUCUUGUUCAUCAUAUUCAUCUUCAUCAGACGAAGAGUUUGGGUUGGGACAAUUAGGAAGGAGCGGAAGACUAGGAGGGCACUCAACAAGAGUGGUGAGGAGGACAGAUGCAAUUGUAUGCUUUCCAUGGAGCUCCUUGGUAGCAGUAAUGAUUCAAGCACUUUCUCAUCGUGUGAGCUGUGCUUGGGUUGUUGAAGAAGAUGGCACUUUGGUUGGAGUUGUCACCUUUGCCGGAAUGUUGAAUGUUUUCCGGGAACGUUUAAAAUCAAUGAUGUAGGGGGUACAAACUCAGUAUCAUAAACAUAAUCAAAUGGCUAAAUUAUUUUGAAAAUCAUCGUUGUAUUUAGAGAUGUUUCAUUUUCAGUUUUAAUGAGUAUGGCUAGGUUAGAAGCCAUCAAAGAAGUUUAUGAAACUAGAGUUCGCUCUAAAUCAGAACAAAGCGUAAGGGUUCUCUUUUUUAGCUAUGAAUUUUGGCUGCCUUUCUUCUUUUGUACUGUAUUAACUAUUAAGGGUUCUUUCUGCCAUUGUUUUUUGUCAAUUCGAUAUCUGCCUUCAAAACUUGUUUGAACCAGCACUUGCACAUAUUUUACUUAUCCUCUUAUUUAACCAUUUUUACAAAGUUGUUAUACAUGAUACCACUCCUUUUUAAUCAAAGGUCCCAAUAACAACAAUCUACAAUCGCAAAGUAAUCAUCUUUAGUCUCAGUUGAAUGCUCCCUGAAAGUUAUAAGAGAGGAGAUAGCUGAAUCGCACUGGUUCCUUUAGAUUUGAUGAAGACUAACAGAUGUGAGAAGCAGCAACCUUUGUUUCUUUUAUUCUCAUUUAGCUAAUAUCAUCCUGUAUGUAAAAGAUGUAAGUGGCCACGAAAAAAGAAACAGAGAAAACCUGAAAAAAUGUAAACCAAUGAAAGAACUUUCUUUAUAGCAUCAAAGGCACCUGUGAAGAUGACUAAGCAGGGGAUACAGAAGAGCAAGGGGUUCGAGUGAUGAAGUGAAUUUUUCUUCAUGGUAUUAAAGAAGCCUGCGAUUCAGCUCAGCAACACAUGACAAUAGAGCUUCUCUAACUUGGAGAUUUUUAGAGUCCAUAUCAAGUGCAUCUUCAUAUAGUCGUUUUGCUUGCAUUAGUAACUUCGCUUUCUCUUUACUAUUCCUCGGCCUUAAACGAGAUCUUUGCUGCAGCACCACGCCCCAUCUAAAAAGAGCUGCAACUCACAAAUGCAAAGUUCAGUACACUAAAUACUCAGUUUUUUUGUUCUAUUCAUUACCUGUACAAUCAUAUUGGAUUGCAUAAGACAACCUCUUAUCAAAGGAAUCCUUGCAAUCCAAAACACACUUUGAGAGAGUAUAAACACAUAAGGCAGUGGGGUUGUAUUCUAUUAGAAAUUCUUGAAUACAUCAUAUCCUGCUAAUCAUGGUGAUAAACUUUUCUAGUAAAAGUAUUCCUUUCGCAGUGCUUUACUGCCAUUCAAACACUUAAUGGUUAUGAGUGUUUUGGCAUGAUUUUUGUUUUAAACUAUUGAAAUGAGACUACUUAAUUUCUUGUUCUAUUAACCCAUAGUCCGUAAAAGAUCUUUUAGCCAAGGGAAAAUAUCUUUUACUAACCAUCAGGUGCAUAAACAUUGCCUUUGGACAUCAUAGCAUCAAACUUAUCAAUCGCAGCCAAGAACACCUUGUCAGCAUCAAAAGCAGCUUCCUGAAAUCCAAAAAUACACAAAUAGAACUAGUGAGAUUCAGGAUCAGAUAUUAAAUUGCUCAGAAGUAAGCUGCAAAAUUUGUUAAUUCUAUUGAGACACACAGCCAGGCUGUCCCAAAUGCCUCAUUAACAAGAAUCGAGCAGCAUUUAUCUAACUAUUAAAAGAAUGCUGUGAAUACUUACUGGUCCAAUAUCCGCAAUCAAUUGUGCACGAAAAGACAAAGCAAGGCCCCAAUUAUAUAAUGCUCUUACAUCAUUCCCAUCAAUUGAUAAUGCCAGCCUAUACUUUCUGCCUGCCUCUAUAAGAAGUUCUUCACAUUCUUCACACACAUUAACAAGAGCAUAUGCAAUUUUAUCUUUCUUUCUUACUUGCUCAUCUAAGCCUUUGAGUACUCUACUCUGAUUUUCAAGUGAUAAGGGGUCCCUUCGUGAGAGGAGAGUUCUCAAUUCACGACUAAUCUUUAAUUUUAGUUCUCCAUGAAGGAGAUAUGUGUUGCCCAAUUGGCCAACUGCCAACAAACUCAUGGGCUUCAUGGCUAGGGCUUUAGAUAGUAACUUGGACGACUUGUAUAGAAUGACCUCUGCAUGCUCUUCAUCACGUUUUCCCCUUAUACAUUCCUUAGCUUGUUUCAAAAGGUUGCUAGCUUCAGUAAGAUACCUAUCAAACACCACAUCAUCUGAAAUCAUUGAAGAAGAAGAGGAAUCAACUUCACUCUCAAAUACAGAUUGAUGAUCAGAGCCAGAAUCAUCAUUCAGCCCCUCUUUCCUGAAUUGAGAUCUGUAAAGUUCAUCUUCAUUCAUCUUCCUGCUAUGAGAAGACUUGUAAGCUCCACUAGAUUGCUUCAACGUCUGCUCCUGUGAGAAGGAAGCUUCUGUUUCCAUGUGUUUGAAACUGAAAUUAAAAUCCACUGUAUCAUGCACAUUGCCAUGAGGUUUCCACAUGUCAGUUUCAUCGCUUUUGUCCAUCCUCCAAGAAACACUAUGAUUAUCCACAAACUGCAAUCUGCUACUUUUGUAAGAAUACUCUUCAGCAUCAAUGGAUCUCUUUCCACUCCUAGUUCUUUCUCCCGUGUUUUUCGCAUUUUCUGAAAUCAUUCUAAUUCUUCUUUCACCAUCCCAGUCUCUAUCUAAAGUAGACUUUUUUGUUAAAUCUUGAGAAAACAUGGAAGGCCUAUUACCUUCAUUAUUAUCAACAGCAUUAAGAAUCCCUUCUUCCAUUGUCAGAGUUGACUUGUUUCCUUGACUUUGAUCAUUUGCUAAACCCUGCACAACCCCUUGCUUAACAUUGUCUUUAUCUUUCCCUUUAUUAGGUUUUGAGUCAACCAUUUUCUCUCCAAACAAACCCCCAAGAAAUUGCAACAUUUCAAACCCAGCUUCUCCUAUCUCUUUCUUUUUUCUACCAGAUGAUUUCGGAUUCUCAAUUAACACAUUGCUUGAAUUCCCUACACUAUCAAUGGUGGCCUCAACUUCAUUUCUAGAAUUCAAAGCCGAUGCCUGUACUGAUUCAAGUACACUGAUAUAAUUUUCUAAAUCAACCAAUUCAAUCUCUUCAGUAUGAACAGCUCUUUGUAUAGCAUUUUUCAAAUCAUUAACUUUAACAUCAAACCCAUCAAAAAAACCUACUAAACUCUUCAAUCUCUCACUAUAAACCCUAAUGAUUUCCUCUUUUGCCCUCUUCUUACUCGCACUGCCACUGACCUCAUUAAAACUUCCUCCACGGAAAAACCCAAGCGAAAACCCGAUACCAAAAAUCAAAACAGAAGCAGGAAACACGAUAAUUGACGAAAUUCUAACUCUACAAAUAGCAAAAGCGCAAAUAAUUCCCAAUAAAAACGUAAAGACGUGUUUUUUAUCAUCGAUUCCUCUAGAAACCAGAAAAUCACGAAGCUGACUUGACUUACCCGAGCUAAGCAAAUCACCACCAAGUAGCAGAUCGUCCCAACCACUGUAAUUAGGUGAAUUAGAGAUAGCUGAUGCCUUGAUGGAAGAGAAUCUGGUAGGUUUGAGCAUGCAGAGAGAUUUUGUGUUGGAAAUUCGAAUGAACCUUUCAUUUUCCCGUGAAAGUGAUGGAAAGUGAAAGAGAAAAAUUGAAGGAGAUAAUUGGGAGUUUUUACAGCUAAUUGGAUUUAGAAAGAUUAGAGUUUUCAUUGGGGAUUUAUUCAAAAAAUGGAACGCAGGUUCCUCUCUGUCACAUUAACAACAACAAGAACAGCAGAAUCAGCUCAUGUGAAGCACAUCGACUGGGAAAUGAGAAGUGGAAAACGAUGUGUCGUCCAAUAUGUGGCAUGUAUCCAUACAUAACCCACGAUCCAUAUCCAGAAUAUUAUCUAACUCAAGAUUAGGGCUGUUCAUUAAUUAUUCAGUAAGCUUGCGCUAAGUAAAAGGAAAUGACCGUCACAGCCCACGUUCAAGAAACUGGGCCAGAUUGAGCCCAUAUAAAGGCCUGUCGCAAUAAACCUAACAAAAUAUGUCUUGAGCCCAUAUGAGUUAUGAAACUCACAACAAAGCCAAAAAAAAAAAAAAAAAAAAAAAGAGUAGUGUUAUUAGCAUGCUCGAGCCGAGAGUGAUAUUUAAAUAAAGCAUUUUCUAACGAUAGCUUACUUUAGAUUUUAGAUUUUAAUUUCAUCAUUUAUGCAUUAACUUUUGUUUUUAAUUAAUAAAUUUAUAAAUGUCUAAUUAUCUCUUUUGAAUUUCAACAUGAUAAAUAAGAUUGGAUUAAGCUUUAAAAUUUAUAUUAUGGAUUUAGAAAUAAGAAAGUCUACCAUAUGUAACAUAUGAUUCCACCAAGAACAAAAUAAAUAAAUAAAGUGGCGUUCUUGUUAGGAAUAAAGAAGUAAUUAUCAAAAAUAAUUAUCAAGGACAAAAACAAAUGAUUGAUGUUGAAUAUUAUUUAUUAGGUGAAUUAAUAAAGAGAAAGAGAUGAGAUUGAAAAGACAAUGCAUUAAUGUUGUUAUCUAACAAUUGUACAGAAACAGAUUGUUGGCUAUUGUUAAAUGAUAAGGUUGAUGAGAUAAUAAUAGUUGUGAUGUUGGUUGCCCAGUCGGACAUCACAUUCACUUAUAUCAGAAUAUAAAAUAUCUACAUGCUCUCAACCUAACCCACACACAACAACCCACCUUAUUCCCCUCUUUUUAAGAAAUUUUCUAAAUAUCUUUCUUGUGCUCGGACAAAAAAUGAUAUUCCGAUGAAAUUCUCAAGAUAUUUAUAAUUUCAAAUUUUAAAUUUUUAAUAAUUAUUUAAUUAUAUGAUUUCAUAUAUAAAGAGCGAGAGAUAUUGAGUUCAAUCAUCUUAAUCACAGUUGUAAAUUGAUUGUUAAUGAAAUAGAUCUUACAUUUAAAAUCAUUUGAGAGGUUUUACCUUUUUAGAUAUAUUCUUUCCAUCUCAUUUUGUUUGCUUAUCCUUUUGUUUUUUUUAUGUUUUAAAAUGUUUGCAAGGUUUCUAAAUUUAGAUAUGUAAACAAUUAUUUUUUCUAUGAUAAUCUUUAUGAUUCUUCAUUAAACAAAAGACUUAUAUUAAUAUUUUAAUGAGUUAAGGGUAAAAUAACUUUUGUUAACUAAAUUUUAAAUAUAUGUAUUUUGUCAAACUAUGCAAAUAAAAUGGAACGAAGAGAAUAUAAAAUUAAUUGAAGUUCGUGACUGUACUUUCUCAUAAGUAGAAAUUAGAUUCUAAUGAGAUCAGCACUUGCAUAUUUCAAAAAUAAUGGAUUUCUCCUCUAGAUUAAAUCAUCUAAUUAAUAUUGCAAAUAUUAUUAGCCAUUAAACAUACAUUUAAUGAUGGUUAAUUGACUAUUGAUCAUGAAUAAAUACAUUGAACUGUGACUCCUAAUCACCGGCUGCUGCAUUCUAGAAGGUAAACAUGACACAUUCCCUCUUUCCCUUUUUCUAUUUGUAUCCUCAAUUGACCCAUUAGAAUUUUAUUAGGGUUAGUUGAAUGUUGUUUGUUAACUUAGUAAAUGAUGAUUAAAGAAUAACAUUAGUUAAGUUAUGAUCAAUUAAUUACCUCUAACUCCAUUAAUUGCAUUGCAAGGUUAAUCCUCUAAGAGCAACUCUAAUGCAAAUAUGGAUUGGUCUUAUUAAAUUGUCAUAUCAGAAAAAUGGAAACACUUGUUGAAAAAUGCUCUCUAAUGCUAAUAUUUAUUUAGGAUGUCAAGCUGAUAUGUAAAAAAAAAAUAGAUAGACACACCUUCUAUUUCUAAAAUGUCUUUUAGACAGUGUUAACAUUUAUUAAUCCUUAGUAAUUGGUUGCAUAUUAAAUUAUAGACGUUGAAAAAAAAAAAAAUAAAGAUAAUGGAAGAAAAUUCAAAACUAAUGCAUUGGAGAUAAUUUUUAAAAAUUUAUUAUCUAUAAAUAGACAUUGAACAACAUCAUCAUUCACAUCUCCUAUUUCACAUGACACAUCAACGAAAAUCCACAUUAACACUCUAUACGCUCUAAGUUUCCCAUCUCCAUUUAUUCAAUUUAUUAAAUUAUAUAUAAAUAUUUAAACCUAAAUGGUAAUUCCUCACUCCAUUUGUUUAAAGUUUUUACACUAUAAUUAAAAUAAUUGGAUGACUUUAAUUAUGAAAAGAAGAUGCUUAUUAACUCAACAAUCAUCCAUACUCAAGUUUUAACAACCAUUUCUUGUUACUAAAAUUUAAAAAGUGAAGAAGAAGGAUAUGCUAAGACGAGUGUUAUAAUAAAAAAUAUUAUUCAUUAAUUUAAUAGAUAUGAGAGUAAUAUUUUAAAAAAUUAAUUAACUCUUGAAUUUUUUAAAAACCAUAAAUAAUUUCAAAUAUAGCAAAUUUUAAAAAAUGAGAGAUAAAAACAUUUUAAAAUUUCUCAAAAAAAAAAAAAAAAAGGUUUUUUCAAGAUUAUUUAACCUCUCAAUUUAAUCAUAACUAUAACUUUUUUUUAAAUUGAUAACUAUAUUGAUGAUUCUCUAAAGUUUACUUUCACUAAAUUAUUUAAUCUUUCAGUAGUAAAUUGUAAUUUUAAAAAUUAACUAUUUAGUUACUCAUUUAAAUUUAAUUGAAUGGACUAAUCAACGUAUUUAGCAAACAUAUAAGAAAUAAAGUUAUAAUUAUAAUUAGAAAGAAUAAGCAAUUAUUUUGUAUCUUUUAAACGUAAAAUAACAAACAAAAAAGAAAUAAAAUGAAUUUGAUUAUAAAAUUUUUAUCAAUUUAAUAAAUUAAAAAUAGCAUUAUUUAUACGUGUUAUUUAUGAUAUUAUUUUAAUUCAUUAAAUCGAGAUAAAAAAAUAUUUUGAAGAAUAAAAUAAAAGAAGAGGGCAAAGGCAACCAAUUAAAAAAAAAAAAAAGAGUGCGUGGAGUUAAAGCUAAAUAAAACCGAAAGUGUAAAUAAAGCGGAAAAAAAAAAAGUGGCGGACAAAAACAAGCGCUGCAUUGAAAAAAAUGAGAAAUCCUAAUGGAUAAGCCACAAAUAUACAGUCACGGGCAGGUUGGCUCCUUUCGCUUCCUAUCUUAUUAUUAUUAUUUUUCCAUUUAUAAUUUUUUUAAUCUAUCAUUUAUUUUCAACGCUCCACGAUAUCCUUUUCCUUAUCCACGUGUCCCCUCUUCUUCUCUAUCGGCUUCGCUUUCAAGAAGCACCUAUUAGAACAACCCCACCAGGGAGAGUCGAAAAAAUAGAAAGAAUCCAUUUUUUUACAUAAAGGACCGUAGAUAGGUUGGGAGAGGAAAAAGGGGUUUUGGUGGAGAGGGAGAUAGAAGGGAGGGAGGGCUGGGGUUUUGGCUUUUGGGCGUGUUUCUAGUUUUGAGAGAGAAUAAUUUGAUUGUUUAAUCUCGAGUAUUGUAAGAGAUGUACGUAGCUUCUAUGAGAAAGUCCUUCAAAGACUCUCUCAAAGUGCUUGAAGCUGAUAUCCAACAUGCUAAUACUCUGUAAGUGAGGAAUUUUUUCAACUUUUGGGUUUUUUGAGCUUUGAUUUUAUGAUGCGUUUCAUUUUUUUUUUUUUUUGGAAUUGAAAAUUUUGUUUUAAUUUUUUUUGUGUCGUCAUUGUUGUAAUCGGUGGUUGAAUGUGAAUCAUAAAGCAUACAAUUUUUAAUUUUUGUUGCUGUUUUGGUUUAUGUGCUCUGUUUUUAUUUUUAUUUUUUGCUGUUUUGUUUUGUAUUAUGAUUUUAGGCUCGGGUACACUACGAAGCCUCUUUAGGCCCAGUACUAAUUUUAUCUGUUUAUGUCUCAGCUACUGUGAGUAAACUACGAUCAUUCUUGUUCCUGCAUGAUAAAUUCUUUCUUUUGGGCGUCAUGGUCAAAAUUUGAGUUUAGUGUCUAACAUUGAUACAUUUUUUGAUGGAGAUAAGUUUUUUCGUAUAUUCUUUUGCAUAUCCAACGGUUCUUAUGUUAAAGUUCUAAUCUUCUUUCCCCCUUAUCUUUUCCACUCACCUGAAAUUCAUUCAAAUGUUAUCCAAUUGUGAACUUCUGCGGUGAUUUGCAUUAGCUUUGUCUAUUAGCAGGAUUCUCUGUUCCUCUGUAUGUUUUUUUUUUUUUUUAAAUUUACUAUCUACCAUUCCGAAGAGUGAGAAGAGAGAGAGAGAGAGAGAGAGGAGGGUUGGAAGGGGGCUUCGCUAUUGGGCAGUAUUCACUCCACUUCAUCACAUGGCCGAUGGCUUCCACUUGGUUGUGCUUUUAUAACAUUAUCUUGAAGCAGAUAUGACAUAGAGCGUUGGUACUUCUUUUUUCUACAAACAAAUGCUUACUAUAAAAGAAAGGCCACGCCCAAUUGUUCACUAUGGCAUAUUAUUUUGUCGUUUCUGAGGCAUUCCGAGUUUGAAGAUAAAUAUAUAAAUUUAAUUGUAAAUGUUGCUGUGGGCUACAAGGACAGUACUGACUUUGGUCCUUUUGUCUUGAAAAUACUAUUAACGAAUUCUGUAAUGGGUUUUUAUGUGUGCUCAUGCCUUGACUUUUGUCUCAUUGUCGUUGGGUAUUCUACCAGGUUGUUAACUUGAAGGCCUUGCAGAAUUUUUGCUUCUGUUUAAAUUCUUAUCUUGCAAUGUACUUACAGGGCAUCUGAUUUCCCACGAGAGUAUGAUGGUGCCGGCCUUCAGAUGAGAAUGUCUUACAGUCCAGCUGCCCACCUGUUUCUUUUCCUAGUUCAAUGGACAGAUUGCCACCUAGCAGGCGCGCUUGGCCUGUUAAGAAUCCUAAUAUAUAAGGUUGAAAUUUUUUCUAUUGAUGGCCACAAUUGUAACUAAAUAAAUCAUGGAAAAGCCUUGAUAUGCUGAUUUAUCUAAUAGGUUUAUGUGGAUGGCACCACUACCAUGUCUACUCAUGAAAGAAAAGCAAGUAUUAGGGAGUUCUAUGGUAAAUUGCCAUCUUCUAUGAGUUUUUGUUGUGUAUUAAUUUCACCAUAGUUUGUCCCUUAUUCUCUUACCUUAAUAUCUGCAUUCCUUGUCUGGCCAGCGGUUAUUUAUCCCUCUUUAUUGCAACUUCAAAGAGGGGUCACUGAUUCAGAGGAUAAGAAACAGAAGGCAGUAUGCAUGGAAAGGUACCGAAGAAGAGAUGAUGAAGAACAUUGGCAACAUACAGAAGCGGAUAUUGAAAGAGAAGAGGAAUGUGGAAUAUGCAUGGAGAUGAAUAGUAAGAUUGUACUGCCUAACUGCAACCAUGCCAUGUGCUUGAAAUGUUACCGAGAAUGGUACUCUCUCACUUUCUCUACAGCUGGUUCCUUCUUGUUCUUGGGAUCUGAAGAAAACUUUUUGCUUUUGUAGUUGUUUUUUUCUUUCCAGUUAUAUGUGGUAAUCAUCCUAAAUCAUAUUAGACCUUUUUUUCUUUAUCAUUUUGGACAACAUGAACUCCUAGCUGUAUGCCUAAGUUAAAUGAAAUUGCAUCUACUUUCUUCUGAAAGGUGGAUUUGUUCAUUCUAUUGAAUUCAGAAUUGCAUAAUCUUACGAAUCCAUGAGCGAGGGAAGAAAUUGUCUUUACAGGUGGUACUUAGAGAAAUUCAAGGGAAAUGCAUGCCUUUCUUUGCAAAAUCUUGUUAAUACUUUGUUUUUCAAUAUGACAACCGACUCUGUAUCUACUAAUAAAGCAUCAAGUUUUCAUUGAUUGCCUAAAGACACCUAUGAUAUUUUCUGAGGCUUGAGGGUGAGAGGGACAUCUUGAUAGGGGAUGAGUAAUUGUGUGAUCAAUUUUAAUAUGAUAUUUGGUGUAUUUGUAGAUUUCCAAUUUUAUUGAAGAGUUAAGUUAUGGCUAGUUGGAUACUUAUUAAGACAUUUUUGUUAGAUACUUGAUAUUACCUGCAUUUUGGUCUGGCAUAUUUUUUGCACAUGAUGACUUGUUUAGUCAAUUUAGAAUUAUGUUUUUUAGCUCUUUUUUUUUGUUUUGUUUUUGCCAUUUGUAGUUGGUUGUUGCACACUUGAUGUGUGAUCUGUUUUACAUCUGUAGAUGCUGACAGAAGCUUCUUCGACGGGAAUAUGGAACAAAUUUUACCUGUCCAUUUUAGCCCUACUUUUUAUUUAUCUGUCCAUCUUGGUCCCACUUUUUAGGAAAUUUAUGCAACUCUCAAAGUUUUUGCUUUAUUAUCUCACCCUGUAGAUUGUUGCAUGUGCCAAUGCUUACUCAGUUGAAGGGUAUGCCCAAGACUCAUAAACUACCUUACAAAUUUUAUGUGUAGAACUGGUUUAUUGUGUGCCUUCUUCUUCAUUGUCGUAAUCCUUGCUUCAUGUUCAUGUAUAUGUGCAAGCAUGUAUUUUGGGAUGUUGAGUUGGGUUCUCUCUCUCUCUCUCUCUCUCUCUCUCUCUUGGUGGUCUGGUUUGGGGGUUGUUACAGAAGGGAAGAGUGCUUGAGCAGGUUAUUGGGAUGGAUCACUACUUGCUUUAAGCUGGAUCCUUACAUACCCCAGCUCUAGUUUCAUGUUUGGGUGUCUUGAUAUGUAUCGAAAGUUUUCCCUGGCUAAGAUUUACUUAUGUGCCUGUAUAGUUUAAAGGAAAUGCUAUAAGAAUCGUAUCAUACUUGUGUCAUUUUGGUAUAACUAAAGUUAUUGAUUUUCCAACUUCUAUGAAUUGUUUUAUUUAAAGAUGAUUUCAAUUUUGUACUUGAUGAAACUUAAAAGUAAGCCUUUAGCAUCCGUAUCUCUGGCGUGGUGAUACUCAUUUUUCUGCUUGAGACUAAAAGACAUUGUAACAUGGAAUCAAUAUUGUGUAUUGUCUUUUGGUUGUGUGGAGGCUAAGCAUAUGCAUCAGUCUCGUCUUCCUUUCAUCUGUAAUUUGAAUUUUCAUAUGUUGAAAUGUGGUUUUAUCUGUUAACAUUUGGAUGACAAAUUGAGGAUGUAUUGCUGCCAUGAUUGCAGGCGAUCGAGAUCGCAGUCAUGCCCCUUCUGUCGUGACAGUCUGAAGAGAGUGAACUCUGGAGAUUUGUGGGUUUUUACUGAUAGUAGGGAUAUAGUGGACAUGGCAACAGUGACAAGGGAGAAUCUUAGAAGGCUUUUCAUGUAUGUAGAUAAGUUGCCGUUGAUUGUUCCAGAUGCCCUUUUUGACACUUAUGAUUCUCAUCUUAGAUAGGCACAAGAAUGGUCUGAGAUCUCCAUCUCCCAACGAGUUUGGGUUAGUAGUAUCAAUCCCAAACCCAGAAAAAGAAAAAAAGAGAGAUCUUGAUGAGUAGUUUCCUCUCUGUUUCCGUUGCAUUGCAUAAGGUCACUGAAAUUGAUUUGGCAAAUAUUUAGGCCAAAUUAGAAAAAUAUCAGUGCUUUUCUUUUCUGAAGAAUCCAACUUGGAGUUGGUUGGCGAGGUUGAGAUUAGGUUAGAGAUGGGGUUCAUAAAUUGUAUUUAGCACAUUUGUAAAUCCUUGUAUAGCUUCUUCAUAUUUACUCCUUAAGCUUUUGCUAAUUCUGUGUCACUUGCACCUCCUCUUUCUUCUUCUUCUUCUUCUUCUGGUAAACUAUAAAUAAUUGAAGCUACCAUCAAAUUCAACAUAGAAAAGUGUGGUGGUAAUUUUGGACUAAAAGUUUGAGACAGAUUAUUGAGUUGAAAAAAAAAAAGGUUGGUAAUUAGUAAAAAAUUAAUAAGAUGAAUGGCAAAUCAACCAGAUUCCAAUCAGUGGGGCCGUGUAGCAUGUUCUUCUUAUUGUAAUGUGACCUUAAGAUCCACAGCGGUGUUGUCCAGUCUUUCUAAGCAGAUACUCCAAGAUCCAACCUGUAAAAUCCGGCAGAUUGACCAUCAAGUAUGGUCCACUUUCUUUUUUUAACUUUGUCUUUCUGAUUGUGCGUACAGGCGUUCUCGUUGUAAACGACACCGUUUCUUGCGAUGCAGCUCAGUAACCGUUGGAUUACGUCUGAUUUGUUUUUAGCGCGUCACGACACCGAAUUAUUACUGUCACUUUAUUGGUAAAAAAUAACAUGGGGUGGGAGAAGGAGAGUGCUUCAUAUAUCAUGACUCGUGACUGCGUUAUGACUUAUGCGUAUAUCCCUCUCCCUCCAUUUUUAAACCGCAUCUGUAGCCAUAGCAAAGGAGAGAAUAUCUUUCUGGAAUAAGAGAAGAAGAAGGGGCCAAUAGAGAAAGAGAGGCGGGAGUGAGAGCGAAACGAGGGGAAAAAAUGGGCAAAGGGGGAGAGAAGAUAGAGGACAAGCUCGAGGAAGAGGAAGACGAAGGAGUAAUGGCCACCGACUUCUUCUGGUCGUAUACAGAUGAGCCUCAUGCUUCUAGGAGAAGACAGAUCCUCUCUCAAUAUCCUCAAAUUAAACAACUCUUUGGCCCUGACCGUUUGGCUUGCUUCAAGGUGUCUUUUUCUCUUAUUCUCCAUUUCCAAUUUUUGGUCUUUGUUUAUUUUGUUGUUUAGAUCUGAGAUAAUGUGGGUGAAUUUCUAUGCUUUAUUUGGAUGAUUAAUGCGAUUCUCCAUUUUGCUCAUUGUUGAGUAUUUGCCUUUACACUUGCUGUUGUUUUCUUUCAAAAAAUCAUCAUACAUUCAAUUUAUUGGAACUGGAUCUUUUUCUUUCGAUAUAUAUUGUAACUGUGCCUCGAUUCAUCUUUCAAUUCGUAAUUUUUCCUCAUUGAUUAUGUGAAUCGUACCUUCAUAAAGAAACAAGAUUUACUGGCAAUGGAUUCUUUCGUAACUCCAUGGCUUAUGCAUAAGUUUGGUUGACUGUAACUCUCGUUUUGCAACUUUAUGUGGUAACUUAUGUUAAUUUGACUUGUUUUCUAUUGCAUUUGAGAGCCUGAGAAUCUUGACUUUAACUAUUUGUUCUGCAUAGAAGACGAGGCUUAUUCCUGGAAUCGAGAAGUGCUUGAUAAUGUGCAGAAGAACUUUAUUGUUUAUGACUGUGACUGACGUUUAUUUUUGCACACCUUAGAAUGUGUAAUAUUACUUUUUGGUUAGACAUCUGCAAUUCAAUUCAAGAUCUAAUUUAUAAUUGCAAUGUUUCUAGGUCACUCUUAAUAAUUUUUUAGAUGUGCUUUUCACCUCCUUUAGUUAAAAUCAAACAAGAGUAUCACUCUGCCCAAAUUUAAGGAAAUUUGUAUAGGUUUUAUGAGAUAUCUGAAAGAUGUUUUCGAGAAAUUAUCUUCCAUAUUUUCUACAAGAGAAACAAGAAAAGAAUUCUGGUCUAGGGCUCUACGACUUGCCAUGCCUUCCACACUUUUCCUUGUAAUUGAUUCUAGCUCCAUAUCUUAAUAAGUAAAUGUAAAUGGAUAAAUAUUUCCAAUAUUAGUUAUUUUUAUCCAGUACAUGAUUCCUCUUUUAGGUUGUGCAAAAAAAAAAAAAAAAAGAAAAAAAAAGGAGCUUUAAACUAAAUUGAAAAUCAUAGUUAUAUAUAAGAUUGGUUGGAAAUAUUUGAGUACUGGUGUAAAGAUACAGAGUGAUGUGCAUUUUUUGAUGGAAAUUGUGCAUAUUAUCAUAUUUUUCUUCUUAAUUUUAAUGGUUUAUGAUCUUGAACUUUGUGAUGUUUCAGGUUACUAUGGUUGUCAUGCUUCAGCUUUGGACAGCUACAUUACUUCAUGAUGCUGGCUGGCUGAAGAUACUGACAAUAGCUUACUUCUUUGGUUCGUUCCUCAACCACAAUCUUUUCUUAGCCAUCCAUGAGCUCAGUCAUAAUCUCGCUUUCUCUACCCCCGUCUACAACCGGUGGCUUGGGAUUUUUGCUAACCUCCCUAUUGGUGUGCCCAUGUCCGUUACCUUCCAGAAAUAUCACCUUGAACACCAUCGCUUUCAAGGAGUAGAUGGGAUUGAUAUGGACAUCCCAAGCCAUGCUGAAGCCCAUCUUGUGAAGAAUGUUGUUGCAAAAUCCAUAUGGGUUAUCUUACAACUCUUCUUCUAUGCUCUGAGGCCUCUAUUUCUCAAACCAAAGCCACCUGGUUAUUGGGAGUUCGUCAACCUUUUUAUUCAGAUAGCCUUGAAUGCCUCCGUGGUUCAUUUUUGGGGCUGGCGAUCUUUUGGCUAUUUAAUCCUUUCCACGUUUGUUGGAGGUGGAAUGCACCCAAUGGCGGGACAUUUUAUCUCCGAACAUUAUGUCUUCAAGCCUGAUCAAGAGACAUAUUCUUAUUAUGGCCCUUUAAAUUUGCUAACUUGGCAUGUAGGGUUCCACAAUGAACAUCAUGAUUUUCCUAGGAUCGCUGGGAACAGGCUUCACAAGGUGAAGGAGAUUGCGCCAGAAUAUUAUCAAAAUUUAGACUCGUAUAAGUCUUGGAGCCAGGUCAUCUACAUGUAUAUUAUGGAUAGGACAAUUGGGCCCUACAGCCGAAUGAAGAGAAAGGUGUCAACUACUACAAAGAAAUCUGAGUAGCUGCUAUUUCUUUCUCUUUUUUUUUUUUUUGCCCAUUUUUCCAUCUUUGCUGUAAGAUAGUGCUAUUUUUAGAAAAAAAAGAAUUAUAGUUUGAAACAUUUAUGUAUCUUUAUUUUACUUUUAGGCUGAAAUGUUGAGUUGGUUAUUUAUUCUUGAUCUGGAAAGAGCUUUUCUUUUUCUUGUUUAUGACACUAAAUAGUAAAUACACAACAUGCAAUAACAAAGAUGACAAAGACAACUUCCAUUCUAAGUGGCAUGCAUGAUUUAACCUAAUUACAGUUAAUUCCAACGUUAUUGUUAGAAAACAUCUCUUAAUUUAUUGGCAUUGCAGGCUAGCAGAAUUAGUUUGUUGCCUUCUUGUUGUUUUCCUCAUAAGUUGAUGCUAUUCUCUUCACGAAGGAGUCUGUCUCUUUUGUCUACAAAGGAGGAAAAAAGAAAAAACAUUUCCCAAUUAAAUGAGAAAAUUACCAUUCGCGUACUUACUUGACGGAAGGAAAUUACUAAUUCUGAAAUAGUAAGGACCAAAUUGUGUAAUAUGAUAAACUUAUGGUCUAUGUUGUAAUUAAUCUAAAUAAUUUAAAAGGAAGAUAAAGCUGUUAUAAUCGAUUCUAAAUCCUUACAUUCCAUGAAUCAUUCUUGGAGGCCAAAUGUGGAUCGCCAUUAACCACAUAAGAAGGUGUCUGUAAAUGUUUAUUUAGUAGUGGAAGCCUGGCUGCUGUGUAUUCAUCGUCACUGUCAUAGUUGGAGGGUCCAUUAUAAUUUACUCGUACAGCUCUCAAAGCCAUUGCAAAUAAGAUACAGCAUCCCUGCAUGCAUAUCCAAUUAUGUCUCAGACUUUAAUAAAUUAUUGGAAAUCUGAUCAAAUUGAAAGGAAUUUCUUUUUUAAAAUACCUGAGCUAAGACGAUCAACAAACCUAUCCAUUUGAAAACAUCAAAAUUUGACUCGACAAAUUCUUUAAAAUCAUGGAAUCUCCCUGUUGGAUCCUCAGGUAAAUCCUGUAGAAAAGAACAAGUAAAACAAAGUAAAUAGAACAAAACAAUAUCAAGAAGUUUUGAUUUAUCAAUUAAUUAAUGUACCUUUUCCCAAGCAGAAUUUAGGAGUAUAUCAGCUGCAAUUGCAGAUUCCAGCAAGAAAAGCACAAAGAUAAUUACUGUAUACUGUGUCUUCUAUGAAGGUAAACACUAUUUCUUAAUUUCCUCUGAACUUGCAUAUAUGUUUUUAUUAGUUUAACAAAAUUAUAAGCUAAGCAUAAGAAUUAAUUAUGAUAAAAUAUAAUAAGGAUACACAAGAAAGGCAGAAACUGUUUGAGCUAUCUGCAGAAAUAUGGCCGAGACAUGUAAUGAAGCACAUGGAAACGCCAAUGCUUAGAAAAGUGUAUAUAAACCUGCAGGUUUAUGGACUAUGUCAAGCAAUGAAUGUAUUAAUCAUGAAAGGAAGAGUUAUUUAUGACAAAAUUGACAGUUUAACAUAAAAUAUUUGAUAAAACAAACACAAAACAUAAGUGAAAAGAUAGAAAGUACAUGCCAUGGAGCAGUAGAAUCAUGAACAUCAAGAGAUGAUGAUGAGCCUUCCAUGUCUCUUUGCCACACUCUGGCCAUCCAAAGACUAUACAGAACCAUUGCAAUUCCAAACAUUCCUACAACUGCAUUUACCAUUUUCAGUAUUGACCUCAGCAAAGUCUUUGCAAUGCUUGCCAUUUUUUCUUAGAACUUGCAGAAAUUGGAGAAUCAAAUAAUUCAAAGGUUUAUCUGAUACAAAAUUACAUGACAACUGAUCUUAAUGGAUCCAUCCUGUUAAUAGUACAGUUUCAGAACCCAAAGAACAUGACAAACUUGGAUAUUACAUCAUAAUUGCAUGAUGCAUAAUGAGCAUGGAAAUUUCUUGGAAACUGUCUUUGUACUGUUAAUGCCCUUUUGGCUGGGCUCACUUUCCCUUUGGAAAACUACAAAAUAAUAUCGUACUAUAUUAAAAUUUGGAAUGAUAUGCCAGUAGGUUGCUGUGGUGUAGUGGUUAUCACGUCAGUCUUACACACUGAAGGUCCCCAGUUCGAUACUGGGCAGCAACAUUUUACUUCUCUUCAAACUUUUUUUGACAUUUUUAAUUUGGUUUUGAAAUAUAGUUUGUUUAAGCCACUACUGCCAAUCUCGUUGCUGUGGUGUAGUGGUUAUCACGUCAGUCUUACACACUGAAGGUCCCCAGUUCGAUCCUGGGCAGCAACAUUUUACUUCCCUUCAAAUUUUUUUUGACAUUUUUAAUUUUUUUUUGAAAUAUGUGUUUCAGUCUCAACUCUCAAUGUUGUUGCUGUUGUUUAGUGCUUAUCACGUCAGUCUUACACACUGAAGGCCCCUUAUUCGACGGCGGCAGCAACAUGUUAUUGGCAUUUUGAAUUCCUUUUCUACAAAAUGAAAUGUUCAAAUUUCAGUCUCAAUCUGCAUUUCUUUCACAACUUUGAAACUAUGUCGUUACUUGUUAUUCCUAUUGGUUCAAAGAUGGGCCAUCGUCGUGUAAAGGGACGAUGAUAGGACGAAGUAUUGCCAAAAGUCUAUAUGAACAUUUGAAGUAACUUCAGAUAAAAGAAAAUGUAGUAAAAGUUUAUAGAGUGAUUCUUAUUGGAAAAAAUAAUUAAAAAUUUUGAAUAUCUAUCGCAAUGUGACAGGAAGAUUGAUUCCUAAAUUUCUUCCGAGUAUUACAUUUUCUCAUUUUGUGGUUGUGGGUGAUCUUCUGGAAUAAAUUAUACAACUUGAUGUCCUCUUAUCGGUUUAAUAUUCACAGAGGCCUAUUAUUUUUGUCCUCGAAGAAAUUCUCGCAUGUUCAUGUGAAGUUCUGCCUUGACUGCCAUGCGCAUUUUCUUCGAAUCCUCCCACAGUAAACCACUCCAUUCUCGUGCAAAGUCACAAGCAGCCUCAAAUACAUCCUGACAGAUGAGAUAUGAAAUGAUGACCAAAAAAGAAAAAGCACGACCAAAUUAACAGUCAAAAUAAGAUACUUGACAUACUCUUGAGGGGAAUUCAUCAUAGAAAUGUGCAGGGGUCAUCUCAACCCUGUUCAAAUCUGAUUCCCAGAGUCUUAUCUGUUCAUAAAAGAAUGGGUUUCAAAACAUUAGGAAGUCGAGAAUAAUCUGUGUCUCAGCAUAUGCAACAGCCAGAAAGACUGGUAAUUAAUAUAAGAGAAGUAAUUGGUUUGAUAAUGUUUGUGAAUUUCAUAUUGGAGCUUUUGUAUGAUAAGAGGAAACAAAAUAUUUGAAUUGACACAUGUGUGGACAUGGAAAAUCAUUGUGACCUGAUCUGUCACAUUUUCAGGAACAGUAGGUAUUUUCUCUGCAACACGAGGAUGAGCAUUCUGCUGAAGAAAAGAAAUUAUCUGCAAAGGAAACCAUUCAAAAGUAAACAGUUCCCAAAUGUAAGAUCAGAAACAAACAAUAUAUGUUAAACUCCUAAAAUAUGUCAGGAUCUAUAAGUGCCUCGAAGUGACUUUUUGCCUAAUGAAAUAAACAGUUGAUACAUUCAUACAGAGUAAUCAGGACGAAAAUACUAUUUUUUAAAAUUGUCUAAUUCAUGAAUUUGGUCUUAUUUACAAGAUUCUUGGUGAUCCAGGAAACCUUCUUUCUUUAGGGAAAAAAUAAAGUACUGACCUGCUGGGCCCAUUCAUUCUAAAUAAACGCUCACCUGUUCUGCUGUGAUACCAUUUUCAAAAGCAUUAUACAAGCUUUCUUUUGUUAUUGCUCCAACAAUAAGGUUUGGGAGCUGAUACUCAACUCUGCAUAUAUAAGCAGAAAGCAUAGAACUUUUUAACUUCACAGUCAAACGCACAAGUUUAAGCAGUGAAAUUAUGAUAGUAAAAAGUGAAUGUGAAAAAAGAGUACUUGCCAGAUUGAUAAGCAAAUUUAAGCAGCUGGCAUUUUAUUUUCGCUGUAAGUGUGGGGCAUACCUUGAAAACAAACGCAGAAUUUCACAAUGCAGCUUUGAUUGCGAAUAAGCAUACAUCCUAAAGUUUGUUUCCACAACAACAAAUCCCUGAAUAGAAGAAAAAAAACUGUAAGAGAAAUUUCUUCCCUCGCUCUCCCUUCCUAACUAUAUCACUCUUUCUUUUCUCCAGCAGGACUAUGUCUAGCAAGCACUUUGUCUGUCUCACUGGGCAGACAAUGUCAACCUCAGGCCUCAGCAUAAUGUACCAAUUAGACAAAGGAAGGGUGAUUAAAGUUUUAACUAUUGCACAUUAGUGAAUAUAUUUGAAAAUUGAAGUCAUAUUGUUAUACAGCAUUACAUGCUACAACAACACCAGAUAAGACAUGCAAUCUAAAAUAUUAUUAUUAAAGAGGAAAAACGGAAACUAAAUAAAUGGGGUUAAAGUCCAGGCAUUUAUGCGUAGGGGCUUUACGUUUAUCACACCUGUUUCCGAGAUGAUGAAUCUGUCAAGCUCACUGAAAGAUUUGUAGCUAAUUUAGUAGGUAUGAACCAACUCUCCUUCCUGCCCUGAAAAUCUAUAUAUUAAUAAGAGAUGCAGAAAAGUAAUACUUGUUAUCUGAUAGGUCAAUGGAACAUGGAAAACCUAUAAUAAAACAGAUAGAUAACCUGCUGAAGUUUAAUUAAUCCCAGGUCUGCAAGGUCCUUUAUUGUAUUCCUCUGAAUAUCAGUCAAUGUAUUCAUAUUAUAUGCCUAAAUCAUGAAGAGGAGAAUGUAGAACAUUGUAAGACUUCGGAAACAGUUCAAAAAUGUACUUCUGAGAAAAGGAAAAUGCAUUGGAAAUUUUUAAUCAGACAUUUUUAUUUUGUGCAGAAAGUGUUAUCCAUGAGAAGACAUGUAAACUACAAAAUUACAUGCAGUACCUCACCAGGGGUAUGAAAACUAAGCUCUAGCAGAAAGGAAAUCAGAUCUGGUGGAUCUAUACCACGCUCCUGAACCAAAAGGAGAAAAUAUUAAUCAAAGAUAGAUGAUAAGCAAAACACUUAAGAGAACAAAAUAAGCAUAAAAAAAAUCCUUGCAAAAAAAUAACCAAGAAAAUGUCUGGCUGUUUUGAGUUUAUUUCAAUUCAACUUAAAGUCAGCUUAAGUUUGGAACACUCAUAAUUAAACAAGCUCACUGGCAUAACUUGAGCUCACCAACAAAAUCCAAAAGGAUGAGAAUGACAUAGGCGAUGGCUGAAUGGGGUUGGGUGCUCACUAGAUCCCUGAUUCUCAUUACAACUAUAAUAAACACCACCAAUAUUCAAAAGUUCAAAUAGGAUAUUAAAAUUUUAAACAUUGCAUUUAAAUCCGUAAUUCUUAACCACAGCAUAACAAUGAAUUAUAAGAAUAUUCAAAAAAAUCAUUUUGAGAUUAGCUGAAAAUAAUGUAACGAGUGGACUUUUCUUCACAUAUUAGACGAUUUAUAUUCUUUCAUGUAUCAAGGGAAAAAAAAAGGUGAUGUCAAAUAAUCAUUUUUAAACAGUUAUUUACAUAAUUAACAUGUAAGCCACCUCCAUAGUAGGCUGUGAGGCUUGAUAUCUAACAAUUUAAUUGUAGUUCCCUAUGGCUCAAGAAUUGCUUGAGCUUGUAAGCCUCACACUUGAAUUAUAGGUAGAUUUUAGCUUAUCCAACUCUGUUUAACAUCAUAUAGAAACAAUGUUAUCUUGGUAAUUCUCCAAGCAAACAGCUCUAGACACAUUUCAGUUGUGCCAAACCCAAGCCGGUCAAGGAGAUCGGAUCACCUCAUUUUUUGAAGAAUUGGUUACUGUAUGAAUCUUAAGAAGAGCAAUAAAAAUUAACAAAAGGAUUCAAUAGUUCAAACAUGUUAAUAAGAUGAAAGUAAGGUUCUAUAUAAAUGAUCAAAUGCCACAAACAUAAGAUUUAAAAUAUAUCAGUUUUGAACAAAUCUUAGUUUAGAAGUUCUUUAUACCACACGAUGGGUUUCAUAAAGAAAUGGAUUUGCAAGUAAGAGAGUCGCAUCUGUAAUAGACUUUAUCAGAACUCAGAAGUCUAUUACUACUUGGGAAAAAAAGUAAGAAGAAAAAGCCACCAAAAAGAAUUUAACAAGUUCUUACCUCAGAGUUAGAGAUAUAUUCUCUGAUUAUGUACCAUAGUUGUGCAUUUGUAUCCAUCAGCUGCAAUUGCACAUAUUGAGAAGAAAUUUCAAAUUACAGUAAUUAACAAUAAGAAAGUGCAAAUCACAUAUGAUUAGCAUGAUGCACACCAAAAAUUGGAAACCACCCUCAGUUAAUCGGGCAGCAUCUUUAUCCCUACAGAAAAGGCAAAUAUGUAGCAUGUCAGAGGUAUGAAAUGUAGGAUUCUCAAUGUUCAGAACUAAAGGUGUAUAAUAUGUGUUAACAAAUAUUACCUUUGACUCAAAAGACCCCUUUGGAAAAUUUUAAUCAUAGAAGAGCUAAAGUUGGUCAGCUUUUCUGCUUGGGCCGAGUUUAUAAGUUGUAGCAAGAAACACUGAUUUAACACAAUCACAGGCCACAAGAGAACAGUCAUAAGAGGAAAAAGUAAUAAUAUCAUUUCAUAUCAUAGUGGUUACCAACUUACCAUGAUAAACAAGAACUAGCUUAUAAUUUCUGACAAAGAAAAAUGAGCAAAUGACCCAAAUAAUAGAAAUACAUAGAUGAAGCUCACACCUCCCACUGUCCAAGGGCAUAUGCCUCGAGUUCCUCUGGGCUUGGGAGUCUUACAAUAUUUGGAGGCAUUGGUUCCCUAGGCAAAACUUCACUGAAGUAUGAAAAAUUCAAUUUUCAAGCAUUGGUGAUAAGACAAGGUUAGAAGUUAAACACAAAAUCUAAGAAAUUUCAAGCAAUACAAUACCGUCAAUCAAAGGCAUGAAUGAUAAAUUGACAAUGCUUGAUGUCUAAAGUUUGGAAAUGAACAAGCCCAAAUUUCAGUUUAACUAUUUAAGCAUUAUUUAUCUGUUUAUGUUAAUAAGACGAGACACAGUUUAAAAUGCAGAAGAAAAGUCUACAUAUAAUAUGGUUUUCAAUGCCUAUUUACUGAUAUCGGUACAUUUAUGUGUAACCUUUAAAAUAAUUUACUUCAAUGGAAUACAUUAAGCAAGAUGGGUUUAUUCCUUUCUCCCUUUGAUUUCCUUGUGUUGUGUUUGAUAAAUCCUACCUGACCAAUAAAUUCAUUUAAGCUAAGAAAUACAACAAACAAAGGCCACACAUGUGAAUGUAAAAACUUACCGAUCUAUUAAAUGCUUCUGAAGAUUAGUCUGAAAUGUUAGAUUUAAUCUGUAACUGGCUUCCUUUUUCCUGCCAUUUUAAUAAUAUGAACCAAAAAUUUCAGCAAAAUGCAGAUAGUGUAUUGACGACUAAUGUUUUCAUUAUUAAUAACAUGAAGAUCAACAUGACUGAUCAAAUCUGUCCAAUCAGCUCAAAUCUCAGAAACCAAUAGAAUUACAAAUUAAAAUUCGAAUAAAACAAUUGCAAAUUACCUAUCGACAGUUUCAGUAAAAAUUCUCAACUGAAUCAAGCGAUCAAUGGAGACUUUAUGCUUAGAGGAUCCAUCAGCGAGCACCCACUCCCCCAGCAUCUUGGCUGUUACUGGACCAUCUAUAUACAACAUUUCCAACACAUAUUUCUUCGCUAAAGGAGGCAAUGACCUAAAACCAAACUUAACAAUUUAUUUUUCAGCCACUGUAAUGAUAAAAUAAAGCAAUAAUAGUUGAAAUGUAAAGAGAAGAGAAAAGGAACACCUGAGAAUAGCUUGGCAAAUGAAGGGAUUAGCGUAAAGCUUGUCCAGCUUCAUGGCGGGAAGAGACGCCACCAUGUCCAUGAAAUUCUUAGCAAUUAUUCUUACCUGAGGCAUUUUGUUUUUUCGAGGGAAUUUCAAAUCCUCUUAUUUAUCUCAAACUUGAUAUUUCAGUUUCUUUUUUAGGGUUUUUGAUUGAUGAGGCUUCUGAUCAGUGCUUGCUGAAUUAAUGUAUUGCUGUGAGACGUAAGCAACCGAGUACUAGUGUCCGGUUACUGAAUCACAGAAAUACGACGUCGUCUUUUCGAGUUUGUUCCUGCUCCAGUGACACUGAUAGAGAUGUUUUUAAUUAAUUUUUACUUAGAAAGUAGUUUAAACCAGGGAUAAUGCUAAUAGUAUGCAUUUAAAUUAUUUUUUCUAUUUUACCCUUCAAUAAAUUCACAUUUUACAUGUAGUUGCAUUUAAUUACACCUAUAAAUUUGGAGCUAAUUUAUUAUAAAAAUAAGGGUAGAAAAGAAAAAACACAAAUUAUCACUAAAUUAAUUGUAUUUUCUUAAAAUUUGUAGAAAAAGAAACGAUGACAAUUUUUUUGGGACGAGAAGUAAUUGCUUUCUAAAUUAUUUCUUUUGCAGAUGAUGGAUUAAAAAAAAAAUCAAUUGAAAAAAUUUCUCUAGUAAAAAAUGUGAGGUAACAUUCUAAAAUUCAGUCCCAACUAAUAUCUAUAUUAAGACAAGAAUAUCCACGAAAUUCCCUUUGCAUAUUUGAACUUUUCAAUCAAAAUGUUAAAACAUUAUCUGCUGGCAAUUUCUAAGGAAUCUGAUUCUUAGACUCAAUCUGGUCAACUGUUUUAGCCUUCAAUACAAUGGAAAUUCUAACCAUCUCUGAAUUUCCUUUUCAUGGCCAUGCUAUGGUUUUCCCGUACUGCCUGUUCAGCGUAUUAAGAAUUUGAUAUGUAUCAAUGAAUUUUAGAAGCAAAACCUCCUCAUUUCCAGGAGUUGCUAAGACCUUUAGUACAGAAUCUGCUUACUCAAAUAUACAGGGGCGAUCUGCGCCACUUUGACAGAUCCCAAGCUGCUAAAAUUGUAUCAAAGCGUGAUAAAGCAAACACAAACACUUGCAUAACUGCUGAUCCCACCAUAAAAAAUUUCACCUAUUUCAUCAAAAUGAACAGAAUCAUGGUACAAUUUCGUCUCAAAGUUAUAGAAAAUACAUUUUGAAACUAUGCUACUUCUGAAACCAACUUCAUUGGUCUGUAUCAUCAACCAAAAAUGUGAAGGGAUUGAUUUUGAUUUUACAAAUCGGUUAUCCAAGCUAUGCUGUCAAAAAAACAGAUAUCAACUACAACGUAGCUUCAGACACCCAAUGAGGGAUAAGACAUGGAUAAAAUUAAGAUGCUGCCAACAAAAAAGGACCUUAGGUUGUAAAGAUCCACAGCUGGAACCAAGAAGCAAUAAGAAUCUUCUGGGGCUACAUAAGCUAACAAAAUUGACUGCGUCAUGUUUCUCACCGUGGCUUUCUUUUCUCUUUCUACCUAUUUUCUCUUUCACUCGCUCUAUUUCUGUCUAUGCAGAGGUGCAAGGUAUGUCUUCAGCAGGUUCAUCAGGUUUAGAAGCUAUUGGAGGUGGCUUCUGAAUAUGGGCUGGCUUUACAGAAGGUGGAGGCUUGCUUGGCCUGUUUGGUCGAACCUGAUCAACUUUAUCUGGUUCAAUUUCAAACUGCAGUCCAGAAUGAACAAGCAUCAUAUUAAUGAAAUAAAGAUAUAGCAUAGCACAUGAAUUUAAGGAGAAUGCUACCUAAUCCUACAAGAAUGAUUUUAUUUGAGCUUAAGUUGUAAUUUUUUACCAUAAUAAAUUGGUUGCUUCCUCUUUAAUGACUACAGAAGCUCAAGACAAAAGAACUGGUGGCAGAUGAAGUGGGCUAAGGAAAAGAGAAAAGGAAUCUUUCUCUGAUCAACUUAUUCAGAUUAACAAUAAAAUGAACAGCAAGUAUGAUAUAUGCAUCAAAUUCAGUAACACCACUUGAAAUCCACAACUUCCACAUCAAAUACAAGCAGGAAAAUGUUUUAAUUUUUCACAUAAAUGUUUGCCAAAGAUCCUCUAGAUAAUACAGAAACAAAGAGCUUUCCAAAUAACACAGUAUAUUGAAAAGGGUCCAUCCCUCUGUUAUUGAUGAAAAUCAGCAUUCAUGCAAAUCCUUCUCAUGUAUAAAUUGAACAUGAACCAACAUAGUCAACAAUAUGAUGAGAACAGACUCACCUUGUAACCACAGCCAGCUACACAGGCAUGGAAGCAUUCCUGUAUAAAGAGAAUGAUGAGAAAAAAUUUAAUAGCUGAAACAGAACAGGUAGAAUUGGAAAUGGAUUGAAAAACCAGCAUUUUAUUAUCUAUCCAAAAACAUUUUGAAGAAAAUUUUAUGAAAUUUAUCUAUUCUAAACACUUCCUCAGUCUUAUGGGAGUGAAAAAACUCAAACGGAUCAUGACACUUGAAAUGAAAAACUAAGUGGGGCACUGCACAAAGUCAGGAAAAGAAGGGACAAGGACUUGAAUCACAUCAUAUGAUAUCACUGCAACAGUGAUUGAAAAGUGUGAAAAAGAAUGGAAGAGAGAGAAAAAGUUACAGGUUAAAGGGAUAAAAUACCUCAGAAUAACUGGCAGCUCCAGGUGACCUGUCAAUGUAUGCACUCCACUGCUGAUCCUUAAAUACAGGGUCCUUGUAGCAUAUUUCAUUGCACUCAGACAGACCUGAAGGUUCAAGAACAUCAGAGUUAAACUCGUAAGCUUCAAGUGUAACUCCCAAUAGAAAGAAAAAAUUUACAUCUAAUCUAUGUGAAAAAAUGGCAAUUUAGGGGGAGAGUUAUUCCUUUUUUGGGAGGGGGCGUGAUGGAUACUCACAUUCUUCCCAUGUUUCUCCAUCAGCAUCACAUCCCUUCUUGCAGAACACUCUCCCUGCAAAAUUCCAAACUACCAGUCAGACAGAUCAAAGUGAUAGUUUGAUAUCAGAUCUAAUAUCAUGUCAAUUAUGAGAAAAUCAAGUGCAAUGAAUCCAAAGUUCUCCCUGUGGCACUGUGGCAUACGAUAUUCCACAAAUUCAAUAACAUCUGUGGCAUCUUGAAAAUGUCAAUAACGUUAAUUGAGAACCUAGUAAGCAAUCUCUCACAUGCAACUUGUAUCAUGUAAACAAUUAUUUACAUAUGAGCAUCUGGGUUCAGCCAUUCACAAAGCACUAAGAAAAAGUCACCAAUAAUGAGGAAAGGCGGAGUAAUACAAAGUUAAUAAAUCCAUUACAAACUUCACAAACUAGCACCAUUUACAAUACAUAGGCUUUCCUUCCAAGCAUUUUUCUUAGCAUUUGAGACAUCUUGAAAAUGUCAAAUAACAUUGAUUCAUAAAAUUAUUUUCCUCACAUUUCCCCUGUCCAUUGGUUGUCACCAGAAGCAACAAUGUGAUGUCGAUAUUGACAAUGCAGUUCAUGCAGUAGCCUCUAUAUUUUGUUUCCAUGUAUUACAAAGUCAAGAACAUUGUAACGAACAAUUGAAUAGCCACUUCCAGAUAAAUAAUCAAACAGGAGGAUUACUCCAUUAUUCUUUAAAUUAGAAACAAUAGCAGCUCAUAUUUUUAUAUUUCUUAUUUCUUAAACAUGGUCCAAUUAUGCAACCAAUAAAAGCUAUAAUCAAUCUUUUGAGAGGAGGGAAAUUCAAAAGGGUACAGUAAUUCAUAUUACCAAACAUAGGCAACAUAGGAUACAUUCGUAAUCACAUUCCUGCUUCCCUUCCCCUUUCCCCCAUACCCAAAGAGUAUACAUACGUAUAAUCAAAAAAAUCUAAAAAAUCGAGUAAAUUAACAAGAAAUUCAUCAUUAAUCGUUAAGAAAUAUCAAAUCUAAGUUACAAUAUACAAGUCUUGGUGGACAACGAACAAGAAAAACAAAAGCGAGCAACUAAAAUGAAUUAUAUUUUAAUUUUUUUUAACAAGGAAUAACGAGGUAGAGGAAGGUUACAUACAUGGAAUCUGAGUGAGAGCAGCGUAUUUGUGAGUGCAUUCGUUGCCACAAGGUCGAGCCCAUUGCUGGGGUAGCAUCUUUUACGUCUUCGUUCUUACAAUUUCACAGCUCUCUCUAUGUUGGGAGGAUAGGGAGAGGAAAUUGGAACAGGAGAGAUUCACAAUAUACAGGGCUAAUUUCGUCCUUUCAGUUUUAUGACAGGGUUUUCGGGGACUCCCAAUUCUUCUUCCAACAUCUGGCGCUCAGUUCUCCUCUCUUUUUUAUCUUAAAAAACACAAAAAAAAAAAAAAAAAAAAAAAAAAAGGGCUAUCGCGUGGCAAGGAAACUUUUCCGCCCUUACGGAAACUUUUCGUCCCAGAUACAAACUUUUCUGUUCGAUAAGAAUUUUUUUUGCUGGACAGAACAAAAUUUUCCGGCCGACAGUGAAACAAUUCCGCUGUCAAUCAACCGCAGAAAGAUUUACCAGAUCACACAGGAAGGAGUUAGAAGUAUUAUCUAUUGUCUGCCAUGGCCAAUUAUAAUUUGUAUAUUAAUUAGGUAUGCACAUCCAAAACGUACCUCCUCCCAAAACAGAGCUACCAAAGAGAGAGCCAGAGAAAACUAGGAGAUGGAGAAGAGAAGUGAAUGAAUUUUGAUAUCCAUCUGGUCGGAGAAGAAGCCUCGUCAGAUGUAUUAUCAUUUUAUAUGUUUCAAUUUUUCUGAUCAUGGUGCCUUAAUCGUAAUUAAUCUAGCAAUUAUCAUAAUUAUAAAAGUAAAACCCUGUAAAGGAUUGUAUUCUGUUAAAGCUACCUUCAAUUCAAGUUAUCCAUAACAGCUUGCCUCUAGCAAAAAUUCAACUUACAGUCUGCAACUUCCAUCUACCUAUUCAUUUUUUAUUUAAAGAUAAAUGAUGGCUUAGAGGCAGGUUAGCUUUUUUUUAAUUAAAUUUUCUUUUGAAAGAUUUUUUCUUAAUUAAGUUCUAACGAAAGUUUAACAUUGUAACUCUACAAUUCUGAGGAUGUUUGAAUACUGUUAAUAUUACAUCAAAACUUAUAGUUUAUUACUUGAGAUUAUUAGCACAUGGAUAGAAAAUUAUAUAUUCUUAAAGAUGUAAAAUUGAAAUUCUCUUUUUUUUUUUUUUUUUUUUUUUUUUUUUGUUGUGUCAAAUAAUGGACGGAGAUGGAAUGAAAGUGGAGUGAAUUUUCAUGGAUACUCGAUCCAAAAAAAAAAAUCCAUUUAAAAUAUAUUUGGGUAAGUUUGAGACAUAUAAAUAUUAUAUUAAUUAAAAAAUUAUUUCAUGAUCAAUGAGGUGUAGGUUGAGAUGAUUAGUGACAUUAGUUCUUACAAGAUUGAGAAUACAAGUUUAAUUUCUAAAAUUCUACUUUACUGAAAGAAUAAAAAACUUUUAUGCUCUGUAUAUCCAUUGCCUUCAAAUUUUAAUAUUUUGGCUUAUUGAAUAUAAUUAGACGGUGAUAUAACAUAAAUCCAAAUAAUUCAAUUCAUUUAACAUAUUCUAUUCAUCUCAUUUUAUUUGUUUCAAAAUAUUUGUAAUGUUUCUAAAUUUAUAUUUCUAAAUAAUUUUUUUUAUAAUAAUAUUUAUAAUUGUUCAUGAAUGAUUUUUAUUAAUAUUUUUUUUUAUUUUUGUGGAAAAAAUGCGACAAAUGAAGAUUUAAUAACAUCUUUUUGUUUGAUUUAAUGGUAGAAAAAGGUAGUAUUAAAUAUAAAUAUUAUGAAAACAUCCAUGUCAUAGAAGAUUUAUAAAUAUAAUUAUGGAUAAUUUUGAAAAUUAAUUUUUUUUAACCAUGAUUACACCUCAAUUCUGAGAGUCGAAGACUAUGAUAUUUAGAUAGGUUUCAACCCCUCAAAUAACUUUUAAAAACUCAUAUCUAAAUCUAUCAAAUAACCUUCAUCCAAACAAUAAGUAAAGUAAUAUUACAGGAAAAUAUGGUAAAUAUUUUUUUAUAUAUAUUUAUGGAGAAAUUAUAAUAAAUGGAAGUUUAAUAAUAUUAUUUUAUUUGAUUUGAUACUAUAAGAAGGUAAUAUUAAAUGUAAAUAUUACGAAAAUACUAUUUAUAAGUAUAGUAAUAAAUAAUUUUAAAAUUUAAAAUUUUUAACCAUUACACCCUAAUUUCAGACGUUGAAGAUUGAGAUGUUAAAAUAUGUUUUUAACCCCUUAAAUAACUUUCAAAAAAUCAUAUUUUUCCUUAAACCUUCUUCUCAAACGACUAAAUAACCCUCAUUUACGUUACUUUACUUUUCAAACCUGCCAAAUAAUCUCGAUCCAAACCAUCUGUUGAUGAGCUAAGGGUAAAAAAAAAAAUAUAUAAAAUAAAUUUUAUUGACUAAAUUUUUAAUAUACGUAAACCAUAUAAACAAAAUGAGAAUAGAUAGAGUAUGUUUUAGUCUAUUGAAUAUGAUUAAAUUUCUAAAAAUUUAAAUUCAUAUAAUUGAAUUCGUAGAAUUUAAUACAAAUUCAAUUUUUUUAUGCCAAAUAUAAAAAUUUAGAUUUAUAAGUGAAUUAUACAAAAUUUUAUAAAAUUCAUUUAUUUCAAAACAGGUAAACUAAUAAUUAAUUGUGAUUGUAAAAAAUUAUUACCAUUUUUUUAAUGAUUGGUUUUGUACUGAUUUGGAUGGAUCUAUUUUUAAACUAACAAUAAAAUGUGCUUUCGGUUUAAAAAAUGUUUGCAAGAUGUAUAUUUUAUUGGAUUAUUUCCCACAACAUCAGUCGCACGUGAGUCAGCAACGCAUACAAGCUUUACAUCGUUCUAUGGGAGAGAGAGCAGUAGUAACAGCAGAUAGAACGAGUAGAGAUGGACAAUCUUCAAUGGCGGAUAUUACCUUUGCUGGCACUUUUCGCUUCGUUUCUCUUCUUCUUCUACGUCCAAAAUUCUUCUAAGGUAAUAGUUUCUGUCUUCAAUUUUUCCUUAUUGAUUGGUUCUAUACCUUCUGGUCAACGGGAAUCGCUGUUGUUAGUUGUUACAUACAUAUAUCUCCAACUCCAAGGCGAUGUUAUGCUAAUACGACGACAUUUCUGGUGUUGCAGUUGUCCCACGGCGACUGUAGCCUCCUUCCUUAUAAACAUUAUUGGAUAACCAGCAAGAGCAUUGUGACACCACAAGGGAUCAUUUCCGGCGCAGGUGUGUUUUUAUAGAUAAUAUUUGCUCGCCUUUUCGCUUAAUUUGGAGCAGAUAGUCAUAAAGAUAUGCUGCUUAGGGAUAUUCAUUCCAAUUGCUAUAAUACGUUGUUGUUUAAAUUUAUGAUUGAGCAGUAGAGGUAAAGGAAGGGAAUAUUGUAUCCAUAGUUAAAGAAGAGGAUUGGCAGGGAUAUUCCAAGAGGGGACCGAUACUUGAUUACGGAGAAGCUGUGGUUAUGCCUGGCUUGAUUGAUGUGUAAGAUUAGUGUGUUUCAUUGCCUUGUGUUUUUAUUUUGGUACGAGUUAUUUCGAUAAAGUAAAUUGUAAUUCAAUUAUUUCUCAACUACUGGGGAAAAUUCAGAAUCCAGUUAGCUACUUUGUUUGCUAAAUGAUGAUAAAAUAAUUAGACUCUAAUAACUAUCUUCUUCUGAUGAAGUGCUUCUGGUAUGAUCAUGGCAGGCAUGCACAUCUUGAUGAUCCUGGAAGAACUGAAUGGGAAGGAUUUCCUUCAGGAACUAAAGCAGCUGCAGCUGGUACAGUUUUCUGCCUAUUUGCAUGAACUUUAUUAAAUUUAUAAUAAGGAGAAUCCCUGAUUAUCCCUAUUAAAAGAACAAGGUAAAACAUUCACAAUUAUAUGUUGUCUCCACUUUUUGACUCAAUUGAUGUGAUUUAUAUAUUUUGACAUGGGAUGUCUAUGGAUAUCCACACUCCAGAAUUGUUUUAUUUUUCUUCAUUCCUUUUCCUUAUCUCUUGUGAUUGGCUUGUUUUUCUGCACUAUUAUUUACUAGUACUACUAUAGGAUCUUUUAUGUAUUUAACUAUGCUUGGUCUAUUGCAUUGUGUGAACUAAACAUUUAGAUCAUUAUACACGUACAGGAGGCAUUACAACGUUGAUUGACAUGCCUCUGAAUAGCUUUCCUUCGACUGUUUCUGUGGAGACUUUUAGACUCAAGGUACGAAUGAUCAAACGAGACCUCUAUACUUCUUUUAACAAAUGCACAAAUGUAAGUGCUUUAGACAUGAUAAUUCUACUAAAUUCAAGCCCUGGUAUGGGAUGCCUUUUUCCAGCAUACUCUAGGUGUCGCAAUUCAAUUCCAUUUAUCUUUCUCCUUAUAUUGAACCUAUGCAUGCUUAUAGAGGUUCUCUUGUUACUUGUUAGUUGUUACUCAUAUAUAUCUCACUAACUUUUUUCUUUAAUGGAACGUUUGACAUGCUUGUGUUAGCUUGAGGCUGCAGAAAAGAAUAUCUAUGUUGAUGUUGGUAUGAUCUUGAAACUGCAUGCUAUGAUGCCAAUAUCUUAGAGACCCGUUUCAUGACUAGAUUAUCAUCAGGUUUCUGGGGAGGCCUAGUUCCUGAAAAUGCUUUCAAUGCAAGUUCUCUAGAAGCUCUCCUAAAUGCUGGUGUUCUUGGUUUAAAGGUAAAAUGUCUCUCAUUUAUAAGCUAAUUGCAACAGAUAAUUAUAUCCAUGUCUUACAAGAUGUUUCCUUAUUGAAAUCUUCAUUGUAGCCAAUGAUAGCAUCGUGUCAAUGAUAUCUUAGGCAUUAUUUAUUCAGAUAGGAUGUUAUUAUUUUUAUCAUACAAUAGAAGUAAUAUCCUGUCAUAUCAGUGAAAAGCUCAAAUGAACUUUUUUGCAGUUUGCAAUUUAAUUACUCAAAUGUGAUUUGACCUUUUAUUUAUGUUUGUAUAGUCUAGUUUUGUUUUUGUAUGGACUAAUCUUCUUACUGCUUCUUUUUUUUUUUUUUUUUUUUUUUUUUUUUUUUUUUUUUGUAGUCUUUUAUGUGCCCUUCAGGGAUCAAUGACUUUCCUAUGACCAAUGCCCGUCAUAUCAAGGUCCGUUGCUUGGAGCAUGGUUCAACUUCUCUGAUAUAAAGCUUGAUCUGGUCAAACAAAUGCAGUUGGAGUUUCUAACUUAACAAUCUACACUGAUACACAAUGUGUUCUACCUUUUUUUUUUUUAAUUUCAUUUUUUUUUUUUUAUUUUUAUAAUUGACAAACUCAUACAUAAUUUAUUAAUGCUCUUUGAAAUUUUGUACCCUUGAUAAUUCUCGUUUGUGCAUUGAAAUGAUUUAAACAGGUGGAUGAUGAUUCCCCCUCUUUCAAAGUGCUCUAAUUCCUCCAUUUUUUAAUUUUGAUUGAGUUGAUUUUAUUUGUUUGUUUAAGAUUCAUACCAUUUACUUCUUUAGGAGGGAUUAUCUACACUGGCAAAAUAUAGAAGACCUUUGCUUGUACAUGCAGAGAUUCAGCAAGAUUCUGAGAACUACACAGAAGAUGCUGAAAAUGACCCUCGACAUUAUUCAACAUACCUUAAGACAAGGCCACCAUCAUGGUAAGAUAUUGUCAAUGACUACUCUAUGUGAAGAAGUGGGCAAGUUACAAAGCUCCAUAAUGUUAGUUAAUAUAAUUUCUUUUUGGAGCUAAAAGUUUGCAAUCUUAUUGGAAAUGGAGCUAAAAGAAAGCAUAAUUACAGAGUUCAGUUUUUUUGGAUAUUAUUAGUAAAAAAAAAAACUAUAUAUAUGUAUAUUUUGAUUUGGCUGUUAAAAUUUUUUUCUGAUAUCUCUUGGAUGUCAUUUGUCUAAUUUUUGUUCCUUUAUUUUUCCUUGAAGAAGUCUAAUGAUUUUUCAACGCAUUGCACCCUAGUAUCAUAUUGGCAAAAUUAGCAAUUGAAUAUUCUUCUGCACUUCCUUAAAAAGCUGUGUAAUGCCAAUUAACAUUUGGUGAAAAAUUAACAUUUACAUAUAGGUUUAUUGCAACAGGAAUCAGCUUUCCGUUUACAUUUUAUCAGAAAAUUGUUUGCAGUAGCAUUUCAUAAUGAAUUUAUAAUAAAUGGUUGAUUGACAUGAUCUCUUUUUAUUUACUUAUAUAACUGCUGAUCUUAGUUUUUCCCUGUUCAGGGAGGAGGCAGCUAUUAGAGACCUAGUGACACUAUCAAAGGACACAAGGAUUGGUGGUCCUGCUGAAGGAGCUCAUCUUCACAUUGUUCAUUUGUCUGAUUCAGGUUCGUCCCUGCAACUUAUAAAGGUAAGGAACUUUUCCUUUUUUCAAGUUUCUGGUUGGAAUUAUGGUCAUCAAUUCUCCUUUCAUUGCUCCAACCAAAAUUUUUAGUCCUUGGUAAUAGCUAAAUACUUUUUCAACAUGUUGUCUAUUCUAUUUUUACAGCUAGCAAAAAGAAGUGGCGACAGUGUAACUGUUGAGACGUGCCCCCAUUACCUAGCCUUUUCAGCAGAAGAGAUUAAGGAUGGAGAUACCCGUUUUAAAUGUGCUCCACCCAUCCGUGAUUCAGCCAAUAAAGAAGCACUAUGGAAGGCUUUGUUGGUACCUGUGAUUCCAGGAUGCAUUUGAAUCCUAUGAUCCUUUUUUCUUCUAUCUUAUGCUUAUAUUCUGUUUCAGGGAGGAGAUAUUGACAUGUUAAGUUCUGAUCAUUCACCAACAGUCCCAGAGCUUAAACUUUUUAAUGAAGGUAACUUCUUGAGGGCAUGGGGGGGCAUAUCAUCUUUGCAGGUUAGUGUUUUUUUUUCCUUCUACAACACGUAUGUGUGUCUUUGAUUCAGUUUACUAUUUUGCUACUACUGGUUUUGGAACUCAUUGUUAACAAACUUGAGAGCAUCUGCAGUUUGUUCUUCCUGUGACAUGGUCAUAUGGGCGAAAAUAUGGAGUAAGUUUGGAGCAAUUAGCAUUGUGGUGGAGUGAAAGGCCCGCUAAGCUCGCCGGACAAGAUUCAAAGGUAAAGCAAAUUUCUUUCUAUUGGCUUUCCAACUAAUAAAGGAAAAAAGAUAUUAAAAAGGAAUAAGGACAUGAAAUGAUGUUGCUCAUCUUAGAUCAGGUCAUGUCAACUGAAUCCAUAUUAUUUUUUGCAGGGGGCCAUUGUAGUUGGAAAUGAUGCAGAUAUCGUCAUAUGGGAGCCAAGCACGGUGUUUGAUCUCAACAAUGAUCUUCCUAUAUAUUUUAAACAUCCUGUACAUCUUCUGAUCUCCAUAUAUACUUAUUUUAUAAAUUCCAUUAAUUCUUGUUUCUUUGAAUAAUAUCUUCUUCUUCUUAAUCUUCUUCAUCAUCUACUUUGCCUAAUGACCACUGAGAAUUAGUUAGUAGCAUCAGAACCACUGAUCAUAUUUCAAAUACAGAGUAUCUCAGCCUACAUGGGAACCAAACUUUCGGGAAAAGUUUUGGCAACAUUUGUUAGAGGAAACCUAGUCUACAAAGAGGGAAAACAUGCUUCUGCUGCUUGCGGUUCUCUUAUCCUAGCAAAAUAAAGGGGUAAACUGGAAAUGUAAGCCAUGUAGCCAAUUUCCCAACUUGUAUUUUUUUUCUACUUAAUGUCAUAUUUGUGGUGUUAGUUUUGAAUAAUCUGGUUUUCUAACACUUCCAACUUGUUUUCUUGUACAGAUUUUAAUCAAGCUUGUCCAAUUGACUAUUUGAUGCAAUUUAACAAGAAGUGAACAUCUGGGCUCGGAUGUUGAUAGAUCAGUACUGCAAUUAAAACAAGAAAUAUACGAAUCAUAAGCCAUCUCGUCACUAUCAUCAGUGUUAUCACAUUGUAACUUAUGUGUUAAAUUAGAUACAAACGAACAUUUUGCAACCACAUGAGAUUACUAUUGCUGCUGUUGCUUAGAACGCAUGAAUCUCGACGUUGAAUGUGAAAUUUACGGAUAAAGCUCGAAUUUAUUGUCAUUCGUAUUUUCCAUGGCUAGAUUAGAUAAACGGUAACUCUGUCUUUAAAACGACACCACAUAAAAUAUUUUCUCAUUCUCAUCUGUUAUCAUAUCUACAAAAAUGUCUCUGUCGUCGAACGACCGCGUGAAAGUUGAACCAAUAGCCGUAUUGACGCUAAACUCUCGCUUAGCUUGGCUGUCAGCUGAAAAUGGAUAAGAGACCGCGAGACCCCAGCCAGAAUGCCCACCGGCACUCGAAAAUGAAAAGGCAACUGAAUUUCAAAUUUUAGCAAUAGCGAUAGUCUAUGGAAGUCUCGUAUCACUUCAUCUCCGUCAGCAAAUCCCCAAUUCUCUUCUCCAAACCCUUCAAGACCUUUAAACCUCUCUUUUCCCUCCAAAACUCGCCCGACUCGAUUUCACCUCAGCUCUCUCUGCAAUCCGAAACCUUAAAAGUCCUAGAAUGGAGCUCGCUUUGCGACCGGCUCUCUUACUUCACAUCAACCUCAAUGGGCAAUUCAGUCGCUCGAAAUGCAAGCAUUCCCAUCGGGAAAAGCCUCCAGGAAAGCCGUAAGUUACUGGACCAGACCGCUGCAGCAUUGGCUGUCAUGCAAUCUGGGCCGCUGGAUUUUUCGGAAAUUGAAGAUGUAACUGGAAUUGUGGAUUCUGCGGUUUCUGGGAAUUUGCUUACUAUUGGUGAGCUCUGUGCUGUGAGACGGACGUUGAGAGCUGCAAGGGCCGUGUUGGAGAGGUUAAAAGAUGGUGGAGAUUGCUUAGAGAGGUAUAUGAAUUUUAUUGUCAGUGAUAUGUUCUCCUUAGUUAUAUGUUUUAUUUAUGCCUAUAGUUUGUUAUGAGCAUUUCUUUAAGAAGACAGGAUCUCAUGCGUUUUUUUUUUUUUUAUUUGAAUAGGUACGGUCCACUUUUGGAAAUUCUCCAGAGAUGCAGCUUCCAAAUAGAGUUGGAGCAGAAGAUAGGAUUUUGCUUAGAUUGCAAUCUUUCGAUAAUCCUUGAUAGAGCCAGUGAAGAACUGGAGAUCAUUAGGUCUGAAAGAAAGAGAAACAUGGAGAAUCUGGAUACCUUGCUGAAGGGAAUAUCAACUCGGAUUUUUCAGGCUGGGGGUGCUGACAGACCUUUGGUAACUAAGCGCCGUUCUAGGUUGUGUGUGGGAGUUAGGGCAACCCACAGACACUUGAUUCGUAAUGGUGUGAUUCUUGAUGUUAGUGGUUCUGGUGCAACAUACUUCAUGGAGCCUGAUGAUGCAGUCGAAUUGAAUAACCUUGAGGUCAUGCUCUCAAACUCAGAGAGAGCUGAGGAAAUAGUCAUUUUAAGCUUGCUUACAUCUGAAAUAGCACAAUCAGAGAAGGAAAUAAAGCAUUUAUUGGAUGGAAUUCUCAAAGUUGACCUUGCAUUUUCUAGAGCUGCUUAUGCUCAACAGAUGAAUGCGAUCUGUCCAAUUUUGACUUCAGAGGGCUGUGAAGGUGAACUUUCUGGGGGAGCACAUUAUCCAUUGUUAAUAGAUAUUGAAGGUAUAAGACACCCAUUACUUAUUGGGUCAUCUCAAAGAAGUUUGUCUGAUUUCCUUGGUUCCAAUUCUCAGAAUUCAACUGAAUUGAAUUAUGGAGAUGGUGUAAUGGCUACUGAAAGGUUGUCAGAAACUGUAUCUGAAUUUCCUGUGCCAAUAAACAUUAAAGUGGAAUGUGGAACCAAAGUGGUUGUAAUUUCAGGACCCAACACUGGAGGAAAAACUGCUUCUAUGAAAACUCUAGGCAUAGCAUCUCUUAUGUCAAAGGCUGGCUUGUUUUUGCCUAGUAAAAACAUCCCAAGAAUUCCAUGGUUUGAUCUUGUUCUAGCGGAUAUUGGAGAUCACCAGGUAAUAGUUUCCCUUGUCUAUGGGAAAUGUGCUCUUAGUUCAAUCAGUUGGUCCAUUCCAUUCUGACUGUUUUUCUUUUAUUGAAGUCGCUGGAGCAAAAUCUUUCAACUUUUAGUGGGCACAUAUCACGCCUUUGUAAGAUCUUGGAAGUGGCCUCUAAAGAAUCACUUGUCCUCAUAGACGAAAUUUGUAGCGGAACAGAUCCUUCUGAAGGGGUGGCACUUUCAGCCAGCAUCUUAAAAUAUCUUAAAGAUCGUGUUAACUUAGCUGUUGUAACAACUCAUUAUGCUGAUUUAAGUCGCCUCAAAGUUUGGAAAUUCUCCAGAGAUGCAGCUUCCAAAUAGAGUUGGAGCAGAAGAUAGGAUUUUGCUUAGAUUGCAAUCUUUCGAUAAUCCUUGAUAGAGCCAGUGAAGAACUGGAGAUCAUUAGGUCUGAAAGAAAGAGAAACAUGGAGAAUCUGGAUACCUUGCUGAAGGGAAUAUCAACUCGGAUUUUUCAGGCUGGGGGUGCUGACAGACCUUUGGUAACUAAGCGCCGUUCUAGGUUGUGUGUGGGAGUUAGGGCAACCCACAGACACUUGAUUCGUAAUGGUGUGAUUCUUGAUGUUAGUGGUUCUGGUGCAACAUACUUCAUGGAGCCUGAUGAUGCAGUCGAAUUGAAUAACCUUGAGGUCAUGCUCUCAAACUCAGAGAGAGCUGAGGAAAUAGUCAUUUUAAGCUUGCUUACAUCUGAAAUAGCACAAUCAGAGAAGGAAAUAAAGCAUUUAUUGGAUGGAAUUCUCAAAGUUGACCUUGCAUUUUCUAGAGCUGCUUAUGCUCAACAGAUGAAUGCGAUCUGUCCAAUUUUGACUUCAGAGGGCUGUGAAGGUGAACUUUCUGGGGGAGCACAUUAUCCAUUGUUAAUAGAUAUUGAAGGUAUAAGACACCCAUUACUUAUUGGGUCAUCUCAAAGAAGUUUGUCUGAUUUCCUUGGUUCCAAUUCUCAGAAUUCAACUGAAUUGAAUUAUGGAGAUGGUGUAAUGGCUACUGAAAGGUUGUCAGAAACUGUAUCUGAAUUUCCUGUGCCAAUAAACAUUAAAGUGGAAUGUGGAACCAAAGUGGUUGUAAUUUCAGGACCCAACACUGGAGGAAAAACUGCUUCUAUGAAAACUCUAGGCAUAGCAUCUCUUAUGUCAAAGGCUGGCUUGUUUUUGCCUAGUAAAAACAUCCCAAGAAUUCCAUGGUUUGAUCUUGUUCUAGCGGAUAUUGGAGAUCACCAGGUAAUAGUUUCCCUUGUCUAUGGGAAAUGUGCUCUUAGUUCAAUCAGUUGGUCCAUUCCAUUCUGACUGUUUUUCUUUUAUUGAAGUCGCUGGAGCAAAAUCUUUCAACUUUUAGUGGGCACAUAUCACGCCUUUGUAAGAUCUUGGAAGUGGCCUCUAAAGAAUCACUUGUCCUCAUAGACGAAAUUUGUAGCGGAACAGAUCCUUCUGAAGGGGUGGCACUUUCAGCCAGCAUCUUAAAAUAUCUUAAAGAUCGUGUUAACUUAGCUGUUGUAACAACUCAUUAUGCUGAUUUAAGUCGCCUCAAAGAUAAGGAUACUGGAUUUGUGAAUGCGGCCAUGGAAUUUUCUCUUGAAACCUUACAACCUACUUAUCAGAUCCUCUGGGGGAGAACUGGUGAUUCUAAUGCACUAAGCAUUGCUGAAUCUAUUGGUUUUGAUAGUAGUAUUAUUGAACGUGCACAGAUGUGGGUUGAGAAGUUAAUGCCUGAAAAGCUGCAACAGCGGAAAGGUUUGCUGUAUCAAUCACUACUGGAGGAAAGAAACAGAUUGGAAACUCAGGCCAUGAGAGCUGCUUCACUUCAUGCAGAAAUUAUGCAAAUCUACCACGAGGUAUAGUUUAGACAUUCCAGCUUAGGAUGAAAUUGGUUGCCCCAAUUUUUAUAGUGUGCUUUGUGUCUGUGUUGUUCAGUCAAGUUAUUUUGUUUCUCACUUCAACUAAGUUUCAUGUAAGUACUCUGCAGUAUUAGCCGAAUGAAAUGCUUUACUGUUAGUGCAUAAUUUGGCAGCCCCUUUAGGAUCUGGUUUUUCUAGUAUUAGUCUUGGCCAGUGCUUGGAUCCACAGCAAUUAAAGGCACAAGGCGCACUAAAGUGCAAAGGGCUCUGGAGCCCAGGUGCCAGCCUCUAGGUGAAGGCGUGCCUUUAAUAACUAUGCUUGGAUCAUCACCAUUUCAGCUGCUGUAUCCUGCCAAAAUUUACUUGACCAGUCUUGAUGGUGUAUCCUUGAAUCAACACUUUUAGUUUAGUUGUAGCAUAUGGCAUACAUAUCUUAGAGAUUUCUAGAAAAGAUUGUCAAAAUUGAUUUUUUACAUGGUUUCGAAAUUUGCUCCAUUAGUACCUGAGAAAUUUGAAUUGAUUGUUAGUCUGCAAAUAAGAAAAAAAAAAUAUGUGACAUUCUUGAGUCAAUAUUGUGGCACUAAUUACUGUUCUUUGUUUGCCUUUCCUUUGUUUUUCAUCGAUUUUAUUGAUCAAGAUUCAAAACGAGGCAGAAGAUCUUGAUAGGCGUGUGCCAGCACUCAUGGCAAAAGAAACCCAACAGGUCCAACAGGAAGUAAAGGUUACGAAGUCUCAGAUAGAAAUUGUGGUGCAUAACUUUGAAAAUCAGCUUAGAAAAGCGAGCCCAGAUCAGUUUAAUUCACUGAUUAGAAAGUCAGAAUCUGCAAUUGCAUCCAUUGUUGAAGCUCAUUGUCCUGCUGAAAGUCUUCCUGCCAAUGAAGCAGAUAGUAGUUCAUAUACACCACAACUUGGAGAGGAAGUCCAUGUGAAGGGACUAGGAGAUAAAGUAGUUACUGUAGUUGAAGCACUGGGAAAUGAUGAGACAAUCUUAGUCCAAUAUGGUAAAAUAAGAGUUUGUGUGAAGAAAAGUGAUAUUAGAUCCAUUCAAGCUAACAAGAGGAGAGAUUCAACACAUUUGGUCCCUCGAUUAAGGAAGCAGGUAUAUAUUACACAUUGCUCUCAAAAGAUCCAACUGUUUUGGUAUAGGGCAGGCAUUCCUCAGUCUAUCUCAUUGUUUGCAUUUCCUUGUAUUUGAUUCCAAAAGGCCAGAAACAAUUUUAAUUUUAGCAAAAUUUCCCAUACAAGAUGUAUGAAUGUGUUCUUGGGUUUCAUAUGCACACCACAUGCAACACCAACUCUCAUUUCUUUGAUCUAUUUUUUUCUGGUAUAUGCUCUGCAGAUGCUUGUGAAUUUAAUCGACUUGGGCCAUGGUUUUUUAGUUUAGUAUCGGUCUACUUGUUUAACUUUAACAAUUUCUUGUUCACUUGAGAACAUGUGCUUUUGGCCUGUGGUUGGCUUCUAAUUAUAUUCAAACUGAAGUCUAAAUAUGCUGAUACUGCUUAUCCUGGUCCAUAUUGCAGGGCCAACAGAGUCAUUCAGAGGUCAAUAAAAAUGAGGAGGUUUCUUAUGGCCCUAGGGUACAGACAUCAAAGAACACUGUGGACCUACGUGGUAUGCGAGUGGAAGAAGCUGCCAUUUACCUUGACAUGGCCUUGUCUGAAAGUAAGCCAAAAUCGGUCAUCUUUGUCGUGCAUGGGAUGGGAACUGGAGCUGUUAAGCAACGAGCAUUGGAGAUAUUAGGAAAGCAUCCAUGCGUGGCCAAGUAUGAAGCUGAAGGUCCAACGAAUUUUGGUUGUACAGUUGCAUAUAUCAAGUAAUUGCCAUUUUCUGGCCACUGAGAUGGUUUUCUGAACAAAUUACCCCGGUAAACAUUUUACUAUGUUAUUUCACAAGCUACAUAUUCAUUUAAUAUAUAGAAUAAUAGAAUUGUGUGCAUAAGAUUUGUGAAAUUAAGAACUUCACUGAGUGGAUUACAUGCUUGCUCCAUUUCAAAUAUACACCAAGUGCUAGCGUAUGUAUAAAUGAGACUUUUCAAGUAAUUAAAAGCUGCGACCCUGUAAUUCUGAAGGCCUUAUUACAUAACUUAAGAUCCCAAGCUUAUGUUACUAAUUAUAUUCUUAUGUUUUAUUCUUUGGAAACCAACCUUGAUAUUAGUUGUGCCCUGCAGCAACUUUUUUGGGUUGAUCAUCAGCUUUGUUGUUACUAAAAUCGCCAUUACUACCCUGGACACUUGGUCUAAUUUGACCGCCAUAGCCACAGCUGUUACAUCCUCCACUUCCGCCGCCAGCAUUGGUUCCAUUAUUCUUGCAAGAAUUACAACUGCAACCCCCACUUACUCCUCCUCCUGCUCCUCCUCCAAUAACAAGUCCUGGAAUGGUAAAACCUGGAAUUGAGAUACUACCUCCUCCUUCUGCACCAUUACCAAAGCCAAAGAAGCCACCACCCGCUCCAAUGCUUAUAGAAGGAAUAUCUCCCGAUGACUCUGUCUCUUCAAGUCCCAUUUGGACUCCAUUUUUAGUUGCUUUUUCCAUCUCACUGAGGACUCUAAUACUAGAACCGAGACGAAAACAUAGUAUGAUGAAGAAGAUGAAGCUAAACAAUUUGAGUGCUGCCAUUUUCUGGAUGGUUUUGAUGUCCUGAAUGGCUCCCAUAACACACAGAAGCUGAUUAAUUUAUAUCAAACAGUUGCAUGGCUUUGUGAAACAGGCAUCAAAGGUUUCGUGCAAUUCUUUCCUUGAAAUCCGGAGUCAUUCUCAUAGUGCUUUUGUGAACUGAACAGAAACUGUUGGAUAUGGGGCUAAAAGCGAGCAAAUAAUGGAGGUGGGAAGGAAGUUAUCCUAUUUUAUCAAAAUAAUCACAGUUAAAAGUGUAUCCUAUCUCUGUUUCAUGUGUAUUAUUUUCAGAAUAAGAAUAAGCUCAAUGGGUUCAUUCGUGUAUAUAGUGCGAAUUGCAUUGCAACUGCUAAACAUUUCUAAAUUAUAAAAUAAUUCUAUUAAAUGUUUCAACUUAUAAAAUUAGAUUAUUUAAAUAUUUAUUAAAUAAUUAGAAAAUAUAAAAAUUAUUAAUUAUGGCAAUAACUAUGGUUUUCAAUAUUAAUGACAAUAUAUAGAUUAAUAUUUGAAGUUUCAAACCCAGUAGUCUUGUUGAUACAUAACUUUCAUUUCUGUAUAUAAUUAGAAUGUGUAAUCUCUCUCGAGCCAACACCUUAUUAAUUAUUUGAUAGUAAUAGAGAAUUGAUUCGCAGGAUUGGUGGGCUUUUUCUCUCUCUCUUUUUUUUUUUUCUGGAAAAAAAAUGCAAAAAAGAAAGGAAAAUUAAAAUUUUCAGACAACGAAAAAACUUUCCUGUAAUUCAUGAAAGAAGGGAAAAUUAUUUUUAGCCAAUAUCAUUGUGCUGUAAUAUGUUAUUAUUAUAUAUCAACAUCAUUAAAAAAUAACAUUAUGUGAUGUAAUUAAUUAAUUAAAAAGAUACAAGCUCAAAUAUAUAGGAUAAUUAAUUACUAUUAAAAAAACGUCUCCAAAGUUUGAUGUAAUUAAUCAGUGGUGGAGUCAGGAAUCAGGAUCCAAAAUGGAAGGGGCAAAAUUUUUUUUCAAAGGUUAGGAGGGACUUCUUUUCAAAAAAAAAAAAAAAAAAAAAAAAAAAAGAGUAGGACCGAUAUAUAUAAUUCUUAAUAGUACAAAAAUUAAAUUUGAAAGGAAGGGAGUUGUCCUGUUAGAAGGGGGACUGAGGCUGGAGGGGCUCCCUAUUUAUCCAAACUGCGCACAUCUGUACCGAUGUGCACGAACACUGACCAACCAACCCAACACUGUCUACUAGUUUCAACUUGCGAACAAAUUAAAGCAUCUCUCUUUCAUGUUUAUUAUGUAGGGGAGCAAACACCCAACAAGUUCUUUUGUUGUCAUCCUCAUCUCCAUUUCUCCAUCAAAGGAACAAUCACGAGGAAUUACGAUUAUACAUCAUUAACUAUGGUAUUAUACAUAGAAUGCCUGAAUAGAAUUUAACAUCUGUUGCCAUAAUAUUUUCAAUUCGGAAAUUAAAUUGAAAUUUCUAAUUUAAUAGAGUUGAUUCUGCACUCGAAAUAGAAGUUAACCCUUUUUUUUUUUUUUUAAAGUUAAAUCGGUUCUGAAAACUGAUUGAAUUGAAAGAUGAUACAGUAAGACUUGAUAUCACACCAAUCACCAUUCAUUACAACGACAAUUCCAUGCCACAAUUACAUAUGGGCAUACAUGGAGUUAUAUACAAAGAUAUAGUUAGCUAGCUAGCAAGAUAGAGACUGAGAAUAUAUAUAUAUACACACAUAUGCACAUUGGCAAAGAAGAUAAGGGAAGUGGAUCGUAUAGCACUGCCUUCACAUACAUACAUAAGUAUAGAUAUAAAAUAAACAAAUAAUAAUAAAUGGGAUGGCCCAGCCAAGCCUUAAUUUGUUAUCCCUCUCUCUGUGUGUUCUGAUUUGUAUGUGUAUAUAUAUAAAUAAAAAGAGAGAAAAUGAAGGUGGUGGGGUGUGGGGAAAAAAAAUACACUAUUUUAAGGGAUAAAAUUGAAAAUUUUUAAAAAUUUACAGGUGAAUUUUUGGAAAAGAAUUUUGCUGCCCUCCCUCCAUCAGUGUAAUUAAUGCAAAUUGUUUAAAACUAAAGUAUUUGAAUUUCUAAGUUCAUAUGUGGUGAAAAUAUAUGAAUGAUUAAUUAAUCUUGAACAGAUUAGUUAAUUAAAAGUACUGAAGAUUUUAUUGAAGUUAAAACUCAGCAGUUUUCCUGCUAGCUUAAUUAUUAUUACAAAAGACUCCAAACUCCUAUCUUUAGUGCUUGCUUGGCAUAUAUUUUCAACCUGGCCUGCAGCUUUUGAUAAACUCAGUCACUUCAUUGAUUGCAAGAGCGAGUUGAUUCACAACUUUAUCGUCUAAAUGAUUCGAGCACCCCGGAGAAGGAUUUGUUGGGCACAGAGGAGGUUGUGGUUGACAAGGAGCACAGCCACCUAAACAGUAGGGUUGAUUUACCUUAUUAAAACCACUUGAAUAAUGAUGACUAUCGCGGCCACCGUGCUCUGGUGGUGCUGGUGCUGGUGGCGGCGACCAGAAUGGACCAAGAAAAUGUUGCCGAUGAGUUUGACGGCGAUGGAAGCUGCGACUAGCUAUGUCAUCUGGUGGGGUAACAGGUGCCAUAGCCAUGUUUGUCAUGAUGGCUUCAUGAUGAUAAGAAUCAACAUAUGGUGGGUCUGGAUCAGGCUCGCCUCCUCCUAAGGUCAGUGAAACAAAUACUAGUAAAGCUAGAAAAUGCCCUUUUGUUGCCAUUUUGACGAUGAAGAGACCCAACUCGGUGCCUUUUGGUUUGGCUUUGAUGAUGAUUUAUACAGUGAAUAAUGCAUAUAUGCUAGCUACAAUGGACCAACCUAAUUCUAUUAUAUUAUUUUAAUUAUACAUAUUAAAUAUUAAAUUCUAUUUUCCUUUAAAAAAAAUUAUCAAAUUCUAUUUUUAAAAUAUUUUUUAAUUGACUUGAUUUAUGGGUAAUUCUGUACACCGAGUAUAGAUAAGUCUUAUUCUAUCUUUUAGGAUUAUAUAGACUGAAACCCUAUAUCUUGUCCGCUAUAUUUUUCUCCUGAAAUCUCUUGAGCAUAUGAAUUCACGGUUAUUAGCACGGGCUUCUAGACUUUGUUUCCUCCUGCUGAUGCAUAUACCCUCUAUAAGCAAAAUCUAGAGGGCUUUCCCCUCCAAAUUUACUUAUUAUUUUUGUCUUUUAUAUUUAUAAUAAAUAUUUUUUAAAAACUUUUAUUAACUAAGGUUUUUUUUUUUGAAAGGAAUUAAUUAAUAUUUGGUUCACAGUUCACAAAUGACUGUAUCAGCAUAAUUUUCUAAAGAACUAGACAAUGAAAGUGAAAAUUUCCUUUAAUUUUAGAGGUGUAGUUAGAUUAAUGCAAUUAAUUAAUAAUGCGAGUUCUAUAUUGCAUUAUUAACACGGAAGCAAAUUAUUAGCGCUCAUGCAAUGAAAAUGAACCAAUGUUUAAACUAAGAACAAAAAAUGCAUGAGCUAGAUAAGCUUAACAAAAUUCCUUAUUUUAAGCUGAUUUCUGACCAAAACACAAGAUUAAUGCAUAUCUCUUUCAAUUCCACUAUAAAUAAGUGAUAACCAGAGUAUAGAAUGCCCACCAAACAAAAAAAUGUCAACCAAAUGGUCUUUUCUAGCUUCAUUUGUUUUACUAGUAAGCUUCGAAGUCUCUUCUGCUAUUCAUCUGCCACCAAUUCAAAUCGGCAUAGGCAUACCUGGUCAUGAGCCAGGCGCUCUAGGCACACCGGUGCGUAAAGUUUCUGUCAACAAAGACGAUUCCGAUGAUACAUUAACUCGUCCUGCCAUGCCAGAAAGAGACUCUGUACACACACACCAUGAGUCAUACGCUUUAGGCACACCGGUGCAUGGAGUUACUGUCAGCAAAGACGAUGAUAAUGGUAUGUCAGAAAGAGACGUUGCACGCACACACAAUGACAAAGAGAAGCUUCAUCAUGUUCAUAAGAAGGUAAUUAAGCAAAAUGAUCCACCACCAGGAGCUGGAGGAGUUCUUUUUGGUUCGCAUCAAAUUGUGUGUGACCCAGUUCCUCCUCCUUGUAAUAAUCCGUGCCCACCUCCAGCACAAUGUUGUCCUCCUCCUUCGCUGUGCCCGGGCAGUGGUAAUGGGAUGGGGAAGCAAAAUGAAGCACAUGUAGCUCGUCUUGCUCUUGCAAUCCAACAACUCACUGCAGUGAUUAAGGAUCACAAGUCUGUAAGCCAGAUUGAACAUAUGCCGAACAAGCACUAGACAGUAGACACCUGUGUCUAGUUAAUAAAAAUAAACAUGAAGUCACUGUAAUAAAGCAUGAAAUUGCUGUCUUUUAACUUUUAAUUUAUAAUAAAUCUCCAGCUUUUCUUAUCAUGUUAUUAAUAUUACUGCAUUGAAUUGAAGGAUGUUUGGGCAAGGAAAUUAUUAAAAUCUUCUAGCAUUAUGAUCUUGCUAUCAUCUACCAUUUUUUUUUUUUUUCACUUCCAAGUUAGAAAUUGCAACUAGAAAACGACGAGUAGCAAAGAGAAACGACGCCGAUUUUUUUGUUAGGAAAAAGUUUGAGGCCUAAACCCAACAUGAAGUCCACCACCAUGGCCCAAACCAUCUACCUAAAAUAGGCCGCUUUAAUAUAAAUGGGCCAGGAGUGAAGCGUGUCGUAAACAGUUAAUACGAAUUUAUUUGUUUCUUUAGGACAAACAUUUAAAAAAUGAUCCAUCCACAUGGCAUUACCCAAAAUGGAAAAUUAUGCAAUAAUUCAUUCGAACAAAACAAUUAUUGGCUGAAUCAAAAAUACAAAUCAAUGUUUUUAAUAUAAAUCAAAUUGAUUCGAUCUUAUUCAAAUUUAAUUAUUUUUGAUAGAUUUUAACUUAUUUUUAAUUUAAUAAAAACUGAAUCAUACCAAAAAAUUGAAUUUUUUCUAUUAAAAUCGAAAAUAAAAUCGACUUUCUUGCAAAGAAAUAAAAAUGAAAUUGCCUGAUAAGUGAUACUUUUACAUAAGUAAAUGGAUUAUCGUAAAUUACAAAAUUGGAAUCAACACAACACAACUUCGCAAGAAGGGUUUCUACCAAUUUGUCCUUUAUUCCCACGCGCCGGAAAAGAAAGGCAGAGGUUAGUCCACGCCACGCGCACUCUAUAAUGAACUUGCAAAGGAAGCCAAAUGUAAUUUAUUGCAAAGAAGACGCGUUAAGAAGGGAAUCGAAUCCGACAGUGCAGGUUAGCAAUUGAGCGCCAAAGCUUGUAUUUUGUAUUUUUGCUUUUCUUUUUGUUAUUUUCCUUUUCUCUUUUUCCGAAAAUACCCACAAAAACCUUCUGCCACAGUGCUACUCCACUCAUAUGUUUUCCAUUUCUUUAUCAAUAUAAAUCACUCAAAAGCUCACAUCGAGGUAUCCGCUCCAUUAUCUCUCCAGGUUUCCUCUGUAAGUCACUUUAGUUCUCUUAGAGUUUGGAUAUUUAUGGCAAUUUGCAUUUGCUAUUUGAAAUCCCGAUUCCGUCAAUUCUUUGUAUUGCUUCUUCUAUUCUAAUUUUGAUGCUUGCUUUUGCCAAUUUUGUUUGAAUUGAUUAUACUGCAUUCGAUGGGAAGCAACCAUUUGGUUAGAUAUAUUACAUUGUUGAUUGUUAACGAGUCUCUCUGGGUUUGGCUUUUGUGAUCUAUUUUUGUUCUUUUGUUAUCUAUGUAUUACUGUUAACAGUUUCAGCAAUUUGGCUCUUUUUAAUCGGCAGACAUGCAUUUGAUGUAUGUGUAUCAAACAAAAAGAGAAAGAAAAUUGAUUUAUGUGUGUAAAUGGAUUGAGCUUAUAUUGCUACAUCACUCCUAAGGUGUCUCUGUAUUAGCAAAUAAUGCAGUUUUGCGUUUUUCUUUUUGUAUGUUCUGGUGACUGUGUUGCAUUGCUUCUUGUAGCAGUUUGUGUAAAAUUAUAAAUAGUGCUAUCCUGCUUUCCAACUUUGUAGCCUGAACUGAAUUGCAGAUAAGCCCUGUUCUUGUGACUUUUUCAGUUUCAAAAUAUAUUUAAAUGGAAUCAUCUCUUACGAACACAAAAUAUGAAGACAAUGAUGAAAGUAAAUUGAAAGGUUUGUUCGAGGUCUUUGGGUCUUUUCUUUCUCUUGAAGAUAUAGCUUCUGCUUAUUAUAAGGCGGAUCGGAAUGCAGAUUUGGCUGCUGAAUUCUUGUAUGACAUGCAAGAAACCACCUCUAUGUCUUCAUCUGUUGCAUCCAUAGUAGAGGAAAGAGGUGAAGAAUCUUUCAAAUCAUUCUCUGGCCAUAUUUCUGAGAAAUCAUGCCAUAUUAAUGGAAAGUUCAAAGCUCGAAAGCAGAAGCAGCGUCCAGUUUCAGGAGGCACCGUUUCAAGCAUUAUUGGCAAAGAUUAUAUUAAGUCCAUGCCAGUAGCUAAUGGUACUCGUAUGGGAACAAAACCAAUGAAAUUGGAUGUGAAGGAGUUUCCGAUGUCUGAACUAUGGGUGGAGGAAACUAAGCUGAACCCGUCAAAGAAUGAUCAUAUGCAUAAUAAUAUUGAAGGUUUUUUCUUCAGAAUGCUAGGAGAUGGCUUUCAGUUGGAAAGAGAUGUGAUUCAUCAAGUUCUAGGUAAAUCAUGGUUAAUGUUUGCUAUUUGUUUGUGGGGAAGUGGGGUUUUAUAUUCUUAAUCCUUUGAUUUGCAUUAUAUCAUCUUCUAUCAAGUAAAUGGCUAUUUAUUGAGGCUAAUGAUCAAGUUUUUUUAUGAAUAUGCAGUUAGCUAUGGAUAUGACAUGCAAAAGGUAGGCUGAGGUUAAUUUACUUGAUAAAUUAAUUUAUGAAGAUACUGCAAAAUUUCAGUCUUUAACCAUUGAAAGUUAUAUAUCCUGAUUUGCAUUACUAAGCAUUUCUAACAUUUCUUUUUGUCAUUUUUGGACCUCAGAGCAUGGAGAAACUACUUGAUUUUUCAGGGACGAGUUUGGAUGAAGGGAAUAAAUGCCUUGAUACAUUCACUGCAAAGGUUAGUGUAACAGCCAAAAUUUAAUGGUUGGAUCAUGUUGUUGUUCCUCUUAUUUAUCAGAUGUCAAAGGGAAUGAAAUUAAUUUGCAUCCUAUGGGGUAGCAUCAAGUAUCAUUGCUUUUGGUAAUCUGUAAGGUGUGCAACUGCCAUGUCUAUGAACUUUGUAAGUGUUUGAGAAUUGAUGAUGGGGAGUCAUGGUUUCUAGUCUUGAUUUCUUUUGACGCUCCAGGGGUUGGUUGCUUUCUAGUCUUGGUUUCCAGUAUGCCCAACUUUAGUUUACUAGUUCAGUGAUUUUACCAACAUUCAACAAUAUAGGGUUUCCCUCCUCAUUCAUCUUUGUCUGCUUGCUAGUAUUGCGCCAAGUUUACUUUUUUGUGCUUAAUGUAAAAUGAGAUAAUUACUGUUGUUAAGUUCAUGAGCUUCUUCAACUUUUUAACUAUUAUUUUAUACAUUUAACCAAAUUAUUUCAAUUGAAGUAUGAAUGUCUUAAGUGUGCAGUAACAUUACUAAGCUUCUCGUGCAACAAGUUUUUCUUCCUAUCCACCUAGAUUUGAGCAAUAUUAAACUACUCAAUGAAUGCAUCUUUUUCUUAUUAAAAUAUUCUUUUUAACAGAUUGUAAACGUUCAUUCAAAUUCUGAAGAACCCUCAUUUGGAAAAAAAUUGCUGCCAGUGGGUUCCCAAAGAGGGUAUAAGUUAAAUAUACUGUUACUUUCCAAGAAGGGGUGGUUGCUGAAAUUUCUGCCAUCGACCAUUCUUUUUUCUUAUAACUGGAGAAGAUUACAUUACUCUCUUUUUCUUUAUUGAUUCAGUGAUGGAAAUGAAAUUUCAUAUAUAAAUGAAGGAGGAUCUGCUGGACAAGAGGAGAGAAGUGAUCUCCAGAAGGAAGUGUUAGCUGCAUUAUUUGACACUGCUGACAGAUCUGAUGGGUUAUCUAGAAAAGCAGCAAGAGCUGCAAGGAGGCCUAGAGUAUUAGGAGAACUGGUGGUUGAAUCUCCAAGAGACUUUACCUUAGAAUGCAAAGCUGAUUCCAUUUGUUCAAAGCAAGAAAAUGACAAAGGUAUGUAUUUUCCUCCAUGUUUUGAGAAGUAUAAUGACCAAGCAUUUCAUAUGAAACUCUGAUUCAGCCAAUAAGAAGCUCUGGAUACAGCAAGUUUUUGCAACCUUUGCAAUGUACCAAAGAGAAAAAUCUGUUGCACUUGUAUUUUAAUUUAUAAUUUUAGGAUUCACAAGUUACAAAUUUCUGUACUUCUCCAUUCUUUUUUUUUUCUCUGAAUCUUUUACUUUAGUUUGAUUUUAUUUAGUGUUUAAAAUUUGUUUCGCAUUUUGAUUGUGAGUCUAAGCCAUUUUAGGUGGUGAGUUAUCGUUAAUGUUUUAUAUUUUUAGUAAGUGAAGUAAUAAAACUAAAGAGACUUUACGGCAGUUCUUUGGUGGGAUUCUGUAUGUAUUCCGAUGCUAGAUAUUAUGCUCAAGGAAUUGUAAAAGUGUGAAACUUAGAAUCUCAUUCCUUUUUUCUCUUAGUUUUGCCUGCAAAAUUUGAUACAUUUUAGCCUUUAAAUCUCUUCUAUGAAACCAUAAUUAAGUUGCAUGCAUUUCUUAAAAACUUCCCAAUGAGUACUGUUCAAAGUGAUAAACAUCAAUUGCAAACAGUUUUCUCUUGUUUUGUUUGCCACCUAAUAAUCAUAAUUAUACUCGUUUACUAACACUAAUUCUCCAAGUGCAUUCAAAACCUAUACAAGGCUGUCCUACAUCAACCUUGUAUGAGCACUCAAGCAAUCAAUUGUUCGGAAUCAUGGAACUUGCUGUUUUUUUCUGUCUUUAUAGUUAUCAGAAUUUCUAAUUAUAUUAGCUGUUUAAGUUAUAUAUUUCUUCUUCCAAAACCUCAUUUUUUUUCCAAACUCAUUGCAAGGAACAUUCAAUAUACCUUAGUUUAUACAUUAUUACCAUGGACUUGAUAAAUAGUUUUUGAGAAGCAUAUGCUUGGUUCAUUGGCUGGCAAAAUAGAUCCAGAUCUUGAUCCUUUCAUGUGAAUCCUGACAAAUGGUCUUUUAGGAAUAUAUUUUAGAUAAUAGCUUGUUUCCUUAGCACCCUUCCUACUUUUAAAAUAUAUGAUUCAGUUUGUCAAAUUUUUCAUGGUUUUCUUCCUUGUUGUCAUUACAGAUGAAGAGGAAGAGGAUGGUUACCAGCAGCUUCGUAUAGCUGUAAAGGAGUAUCGGGUUACAAUGAAGGAAUAUUAUAAAGCUGUAAGUUGCUUGUCCCAUUUCUGUUCUCCUUAAUUUUUUCUCCUAAUUUUCAUAAACUGAGUUGUUACUUUGGUAAAAGAAUAUAACAUAUAUUUAGUAAGCUUACUAGCUGAUAGAAUUUAUAUCCACAUGAAUAUACAAUUAUUUAUGGCCUUUUGUGCCUUGCUUUUUGUUUUAUAACAUAAUCUGGGGCAUUGUUUAUGCCAAUUUGGACCUCUUUUCACUGGACAUGAUGAAAUAAGCAUGUUUGUUGCUUGUCAGGCUGUGGAUGCAUUUGCAAAGGGAGAUCAUGAUCAAGCUAACAAACUUAUUGAUAAGGUUAGGCGUCUUACCGUCAUCAGAUAGGAGGAUAACCAGUACCAUUAUUAAGAAACUCAAAAUAUAAAUAAAUAUAAGAGUAAUUACUAUGUAGUCCCUAAGUUUUUGUCAAAUACAUUAAUAACGACUUCGGUUUUCAAAAUUACACUAUUUAUUCCUUGCAUUAUAAUUCUAUUAUACUAUUAGGUCUAGUGGUUAGUUUUUCUGCUCAGUGGUUAUGAAAUAUCAAACACCCAAAAUAAUUACUACCUAGAGACUAAAUAGGGUAAAAUUGUGAAAAUUGAGGUCCUUAUGAGAGCAUUUCAUCAAACCAUAAUGACUACAUAAUAAUUAUCUUUUGAGUUAUUUUUGACAUUUCAUAGUCAUAUAACGGAAAACUAAUGCUUAGACUUUAUAGUGUAAUAGAAUUAUAAUGCAAGGAUUAAAUAGUGUAAUUUUAAAAACUGAGGUUCUUAUUAGUGUCUUUGAGCAAAACCUAGGGACUAUAUAGUAAUUACACCAUAAAUAUAAUUAGGUUUACUUUUUUUUUUUUUUUUUUCCCUCAAUUGGUAAAGUGGGUAAAUCACUAGAUAAAAACAAAUUGUGCCUUCUGGCUGGUAAAGGUCUCAAGGUCUCAAAGAGUAGUACUAGAAUAGCAAAAAUGAUACUUUUUCAAGGGGACCUCAGGGUAUGAAUCUUAGGAGGGAUCUCAUUGAAGAUCCUUGUCGGAUGGUUUAAUGCUUUUCAGAUGUAAGCGUCUUUCAUGUUGCAGGGACAUUUUUUUCAUGAAAAGGCUCGCAAGGCAGAUGAAGAGUCUAGCCAGAAGAUUUUUGAAACCAAGUUAGUGAUUUUCAUUUUAGUGUUUGUGUCUAAUCAGGGUGCAUUUUAUUUUUUUCUUUCCUUUGUGUUGAAUUUUUCCGUCUUUCAACAUUUCUUAUCUUCAUUCCAACAGAAAUGCAGAUAGACAAGACGAAGUAACACUUGACCUACAUGACCAUGGAGCCAAGGAGGCAAUGCGUCUUUUGAAGUUUCAUCUUUCUUCUCUUUCAGGCAUCUCAUGUAUGUCAUCAUUAUCUUGUUCCUUCAAUUUGCUUUUGAAUCAUGUCAAAUAACAUGAAAUUAUCCAAUCAACUUUUUGCAUUAGCAAUUAAGUACCUGAAGGUCAUCCUUGAGACAAAUGAAGAAGAUACCUCAAAAGGGGCACGUAGAAGAUUGGUAAGUUUACCUAAUCAAUUGACCUUGCCUUCAGUCAUUCAAUGGUCCUGAGAUAUUUAUGCAAUACCCUUGUCAGUUAUUUUUACUAGGAUUGUGUUUUUCAACUGAUAAGAAAUUUCAUUUUGCUUGUAAUGGAAAAAUUCUUUGUCUUUCAAAUCAAAUCCUGAGCCCUAUGGCUCAGUGUUGUCUAGUAGUCGUUUUAAUUCUACACGUGAUUCUUCACUAAGAGAGGGACAUUUCAUCUCAAGGAUAAGGCAAAAAUGAAAAUGAUAUAAUUUCAAUUUUAUCAAGAGCUGUAUCUUCCCAACUUAUACAAGUUCUCUAAUUUGCAUGUUGAUUUUUUUUUUUUUUCUGAUACCGUUGUAAAAGUUCUACUUGUGUUAAAAAUCAUGGGGAUAUAUGACUAUAUCUCUCUUUUUGUCUUUUUUAUUGGCAUAGGUUAUGAAGCUGUUAGAGAAGGAAUCAAUUAAGUGGACAGAAGGACAAAAUUCCGGAACGAUAUUGAUUCGUUUGGAUAACAUCAAUCGAAAAUGUUUGAGUUUUGCUAAAAGAUAGCAUACCAGCUUGGAAUCUUUUUUUUUUUUUCCCCAAAAUGUAUUCAUCUUCAACAGAUUGCGAGCCAUUGAAGGUUGAUUGUGACAAGAAAUGGAAACUAUUGCAGUUUCCGAGAUACAUUUUGCAAAUUAGAGGAGUUUCUUUCUGUCUUUGCAAAUUAGCCUCUUGUGUUGAUUAAAACUCAGCUUGGUUUCUUUGUUACAGUUUUUUUUUUUUUUUUUUUUUUUUCACAUUAAUGAAACUGGAGGCACAACAAAACUAUUGGUUUAUCGAACAAACGACAACAUAUGCAAACAAAAGGCAAUGUCGUUGAUGACGAGCGCUAAUGGGUUCAAUGCUUCCACGACUUUCCAUUUUUCAAAAAAGAAAAAUUGCUUUAAUGAAACGACAUUUUAUUCAAGGAACGGCUGCAUUGAAGGACACUUCGUAGCUUUUCCGAAUUCUCGGCCUGCUUGUAGGAUUCUAGGGGUGCGAAAAAUGAUGGCGUCCAUAACAGACUUUGCUAACACGACUCAUUUAUAGGACUAGAGCUGUCGUCUGUAUCGGACGGCUUCCUGUUUUGCGAUUGUGGUAAAUUAGAAAAUAGCACAUUGAUGGGGCCUACAUCGUUGGAUCCAGCCCAUCCAACACAAAUUUCACUAAAUGGACGGUGAUAAGUGCUGAUGUAGUCUACGUCGCAAGAGGUCGAUUGAUUCCUCAACGAGAAAAAAAUUAAAGAGAAAGAAUAAAUAAAAUUGCAUUGAAAUCUCUCUUUCGUCUCUAUAAUCAAUCGCUGCUAGUACAGACAGUGGUGGUUUUUGGGGGUAGGGUUAGUUUCGACUCGGACAGAGCAAGACAAAGGUAAUAAUGGGUGGUACAGUGAAGGAUGUUCAGUCAAAGGCGGAGCUUGAUAACGUGCGCAGCAGUGGCGCACCUGUAGCCGUUCACUUCUGGGCGUCAUGGUGCGACGCCUCUAAGCACAUGGACCAAGUUUUCUCCCAUCUCUCCACCGAUUUCCCCAACGUCCACUGCCUCAGGGUUCUGUCUUUUUAUCUCGCAACUAAUGUCCAUUUUUAUAUAUAAAUAGUUAAAUACGAAUUGGGAUUUGAAUUGGUGAUGGUUAUUGUAGGUUGAGGCUGAGGAGCAACCAGAGAUAUCAGAGGAAUAUUCAGUUUCUGCUGUGCCUUUCUUUGUUUUCCUUAAGGUAACAUUUGUGGGUUUCUGCUUUUUUGCUUGUUCAAAACUCAUGUACUAGAACUAGUGGUGUUUAGAGUGGGUGGUUUAUACGGCAUGUUACCACUUAGAGUGAUCUAUGCGUUUGUAGGCACAAAAGACAUGAUUCAAGAGAUGGCAAAGGACAUGAGGUUGGAAGAAGGUUUCUUAAUUUUUGGAAGUCUAGAAAGGGAGAAAGUAGGAUUUUAUAGGAUAAAGUUGGCGAGACAUGCACAUAAGUUCUGUCUAAGAGGAAGACUUAACUGUUGGAAUGCAAUCUCAUGUCUGUAUACUUGUUUCUACUAAGCAUUCUCAUUUUUGUGUUAUCGUCCCUCCAUUUCAAUCUGAAGAUCUAAUUUGGGUAAUAAAGGAUUAUGGACUGAAUUAAAGUGUAUCUUAAUCUAGGCAAAUGAUAAAAUCCAAUAAUCAAUUCAUUCCGUGAACUUUUAAUUUAGUUCAUUGACACUGUUGUGGUAGAGAUCAUUGGAGAUGGUUCCUAGGAAAUAUUGCCUGUCAAAAGAAUUUGUUUUGUAAUAUUGCUGCUGUGCUUUUGAGGAAUUUUCGUGUUGUUUUAGAAGUAGGAAAUGAGUUCAAGAUUUCAAUUUUGAUGUCUAACUUUUUUUUCUUUCCUGGAAAUACUGCCUCAAAUUGGUAUUGAUGUUUAUUGAAAUUCAUUGUCUUCAUCAGGACGGCAAGAAAGUUGACACAUUGGAAGGUGCUGACCCCUCCAGUUUGGCCAACAAAGUUUCUAAAGUUGCUGAAUCUGUUAAUCCUGGAGAACCUGCAGCCCCUGCCAGUCUUGGAAUGGCUGCUGGAUCCAGUAUUCUUGAAACAGUGAAAGAGUUGGCAAAAGAAAAUGGCUCUUCCCAAGUGGAGAACCAAGUCCAACCUGGCUCUGGCGAUGCAUUAGCAAACCGUUUGCAGCAGCUGAUUAACUCUCAUCCGGUCAUGCUAUUUAUGAAAGGCAAUCCGGAAGCACCAAAGUGCGGGUUUAGCCAGAAAGUUGUUGAUGUUCUGAAUAAAGAAAAUGUGAAAUUUGGAAGUUUUGACAUCCUAUCUGAUAAUGAGGUACGUGAGGGGUUGAAGAAGUACUCUAACUGGCCGACUUUUCCUCAGCUCUAUUGCAAAGGAGAGCUCCUUGGCGGAUGUGACAUUGCAAUUGCAAUGCAUGAAAGUGGUGAACUAAAAGAGGUUUUCAGAGAUCAUGGAAUUAAUACUAAUGAUUCUGUGGAAACAAAAGAGAGUGAAGUUGGAACUGGAAAGGGCGGCAUCUCAGAAUCCACUGGCUUGAGUGCAACCUUGACCUCCCGACUGCAAAGCCUGAUCAAUUCAAGCCCAGUUAUGUUGUUCAUGAAAGGGAAACCUGAUGAACCCAAGUGUGGUUUCAGUAGGAAGGUUGUUGAAAUCCUUAAAGAAGAGAAGGUGAAUUUUGAGAGUUUUGACAUUCUUUCUGACAAUGAAGUUCGUCAAGGUCUUAAAGUUUAUUCAAAUUGGUCCAGUUAUCCUCAACUAUAUAUUAAAGGUGAGCUUAUAGGUGGAUCUGAUAUCGUGCUGGAGAUGCAGAAAAGUGGAGAGCUUACAAAGGUCUUGGUUGAGAAAGGGAUUUUUUCGAAAGAGACUCUUGAAGAUCGUUUAAGGAGUUUGGUUGCCUCUUCACCAGUGAUGCUUUUCAUGAAAGGUUCCCAAGAUGCUCCCAGGUGUGGUUUUAGCUCCAAAGUUGUAAAUGCGCUUAAGGAGGAGGGUGUAAGUUUUGGGUCCUUCGAUAUUUUAUCCGAUGAAGAAGUGAGGCAGGGACUAAAGGUCUUCUCAAACUGGCCAACAUUUCCCCAGCUGUAUUACAAAGGCGAGUUGGUAGGAGGUUGUGAUAUUGUAAUGGAACUGCGGAACAAUGGAGAGCUGAAAUCUACCCUAUCCGAGUAGGAGUGAACAUGUCUGUCAUAAUGCCAGACAAACCUAUAGUUAUAUUUUUGGUCAUGUCAGUGGUGUGUGAGGAUGUCAUACACAAGACUAGAGUUUGCAUGUUAAUUAAUACUUUUCUCGUUGAUGAUUUUUAUGCUUUCUGGUGUUAAUUGUCUCUACAUUAUGCACUUUUCUUUUAGCUAUAUUACGAGGGUCUUCUCUUGCUUUGGGCUAGCUAUAUUACAACUAGUUUUCUGUGUGGUUGCGCCGCUGGAAUGAUGAAAAUUCUGCAGGAAAGUCUGCUAGGUUGAGCUUUUUUUGCAAAUAGUACAUAUAAGCUGCUUGUUUAAUUUCUUGUGAUACAGUAUAAGUGGUGCAGCUACAUUGCAGAAUGGAGUACUUAUUUUGGAGGAAUCUAUAGAACACCAUCUUACCGUUACAUAUUUAAAACCCUUUUAAUUAAGCAGGCCAGAUUAUCUUAAAAGAUUGUCGCUCCUGCUUCAUUCAUCAAAGCAAAAAUUUGAAGAAGUUGAAGCACCAAAUUUGAAUUAGUUGAAGCACCAAAAUUUUGCAGUACUCUUAAACAUGAACAAUGUUUAUAAAAUUUAAUUGUGUCUCAAACCAAGGAUUUUCUUUGUUUCUUCAUCUUCAUCUAUUUUAUCAGUUUUCAUGCGAUCCAAAAGUCCAAAAAUAUCUUUGCCACUUCUUAUAUGUACCUUCAACAAGGCAUGAUAAAUUUGUCUAUUCAUUGGAAUAGCAGUGCUCAAACUGUCAACAAAUGCUUCUACAUCUUCGGUGCAACCUUCAUCGCCAAGCCAACUCAAAAUUUGUUUAACCACCCGCGGGUUUGGCUUCCAUCCCUUGUUCUCCACACGUAGGGAGAGGGCAGCCUUCAUACAUUCAAACGCUUUUGCCAUAUUACCCUUUUCAAGAUAUCCUGCAGCAAUAAUGGCCCAACUGUUCGGGGUGGUAGCUUUUCCUUUCUCAAUCAAUUCUUCUAGCAGUGCUUCAGCUUUCUCAUAUAAUCCUUUUUGGGAAUAUGCAAUAACCAUAACGUUUGGUAUACGAAUGUCGUAAAAGUUCCCAGAUGACUCCCAUUCCUUCAGUACUUUCUCAGCUUCUUCAAGCUCACCAAUCUUCACUAAAGACUCCAGCAUGGUUAUAAAAUCUCUGUUUAUGUGCCUGUUACAUGCAGUUUUCUCCAAAUCCCAUAAUCUUAAGAUCUCAGCUUUAUUACCUAAAGUAGCAUAGAGUGAUAUGAGAUGGUUAUAGCCAAUCCCAUCUUUCUUAUCUAACUUUGCUUCUGAUUUUUUUAGGGCAUCAAUAGCCUUGUCAGUAUGACCAGCUUUUAUAUAGAAAUUGGCAACAACAGCAUAUGUGUUCCAGUCCAUGGCAAUGUCCAAUUGGCACUCCAUCUCAUUUAAAACUUUCUCCAUUCCCUCAAGGUCAGAUUUAGCACCAUAGGAAUUGAUGCAGAGUCGGUAGCUGAAGUUGUCAGGGCAUACCUUAUUCUCCUUCAUCUCAGUUAAUACAUGGGGAACCUUCUCAUACUGGCCAACAUUUGUAUAGAGACACAUAAUGUCAUUAUAAGCAAGAGGUGAUGAGGCAAAACCCAUCUCCUUCAUUUUCUGCAAAUGUAAGAUGGACUUAUCAAUUUGUCGCUGUCUAACAUAACAAUUUAGGAGAGCACCAUAUGUCUUAUCAGUUUUGUCAUGGUCCCUCAGGUUAUUGAAAUAGUUCUCAGCAGAAACGAAGCCAUGGACUCUACCAAUCAGAUCCAAUUGAACAGCAUGUUCAGUUGGUGAGAAUAUGCAAAUGCCCUUUUUAUUCAUCCACUCAGACACCUGCACCCCUGAAAUGUUACGAAUUAGGAAUUAUACCACAAACAGUAAAAUGUAAUCAAUCAAAUGAACGCAUGGUGUUGUGCUCGCAUGAUGUGAAGAAGCAUAAAUAUGCAGUAACUUGUUUGAUCCAUGAACAACUACAUUUACCACAAACACAGAAUAUGUGGCAGCUGAGUCCCCAUCAAGUUGUACUGCCAACAUCAUCUCCUUAUAAUGAAAAAAGAAAUUAAUGAGCAGAACAAUACAAAGGGAACCAAGCUAACAAUAGACUUUCAAUCCAAGUCCUAGACACUUCUGUGGCAGAAAUCCUAUUCCCAUUGCUCCUUUCAAGGCACAUUUUUGCCUAUCUUAUUUGACAGACCAACUACUUGACGUAAUUAGUUCAAGAAGGCUUAAGAAUAUUGAGAUAAGUCCCGAUUCAGGCUGAAUUCCUAUCAGCCUUCACUCACCUGGAGUGAUAAAUUCAACAUUGGGCUCGACUGUCAAUCCUCGUUGCAAUUAAAACCAACAGAGUGUGCAAACACCAGAGUAUUCUUCAAAUAGCUUUUUCAAUUAUCAUUUCCAUGAUGGGGUCAAAUAAAAUAAGACAACUACAUCAGCUCUCCAAAAUCUUCAGGUUAGAAGAAAAGAUUUAAGCUAAAGCAUUACCAGGAUAAUCAAGUUUAGCAAAUGUCUUUCGCAUGGUAGUUUUUGCAUUUGUUUCCUUACAUUUUCAACAAAUGAAAACUCAACCUUCAAUAUGAAAAUUGUUUGACAAUCCUAAUAAAACAUUGAAACCUUGGUGGUUCAUUCAUUGAUCCCCAAGAUCACUCAAGUCCAUGAUUUUAAAAUAAUUCACUCUACGAAUUACUUAUCAAACUCUGAAUUCUCAAUUAUGCACUCUUUUUUCAUUUCCAACAUUUUCUUGGCAAUCAAACAGAACCAAAAGCACAAAGAACCAAAGAAAAGAUAAAAUACACAAACCUCGAGAGCCUGAGCGAACCGAUUUCGCUUGCGGAAAUCACGAAUAAUGCGCUGAAGCUCGCCAACUCGUACCUUGUUCCCAUUUUGGACCCAAUUGUCGAGCACAGGCACCAAACCGGUGCUGGGGUCUCCUAAAGGACUGAGUUUUGAGUACAAGGUCACUUUUUUAGUCCUAUUGGUGUAAUAGAAUCUGCUAAUUAGUGAAUUUUGAUUUUGAAUUAGGGUAUUGGAGAGUAGCUUUGAGGUCAUGUUCUAGGGUUUUGUCGAUUCGAUUCUCCUCGGAGAGAAGAAACGGAGAUGGCAAUUAACCGAUGGACGAUGACAAGGUGGGCCUAUUGGGCAUGUGUUGCGGUGUAGAUUAGGCUCUCAUCAUGGGCUUCAUGACCCAAUCCACUAUCAAAUUACUUGCAUUAGUACAAGUUUUUGAUUUUCUUUUUAUUAAUUUUUAUUGUUGGCUUGUCUCACUGUUACAUCGAAAACUUUUAACUUCUCUUUUAUUUAGAAAGGUCUGAAUCUUAUUUCCAAAAAAAAAAAAAAAAAAAAAAAAAGAAGGUUUGAAUCCUGCAAAUUAAACACAAUUUGAAUUCACUCACAUGUAGUUACACAGUGGUAAAACAUAUUUGUGCUUAGCAGACGAUUCUUAUAAAAUCAGGGAUUCAAUUUAUGAAAAAAUACUUAUAAAAAUAGACAAUUACGGAUCCUAAAACGAAAUUAAUUUUAUACUUAAAUAAUAACAUCGACAGAGUUAAUUUUAGAUAUUAAGUUAGUGUAUUAUCUACAAAACUAUUGACUCAUUGAGAUAAUAGUUCUAAUUAUUAAAUAACCAUCUUCUAAUAUAGGACUAUAUUAAUUCAAAUCUUAAUAACUAUCCAUUUCUUGAAAAAAAUGCAUAAAAAGAUUUUAAAAUUUUGAUUAUCUAAUCUAAAAUUUAUAUCAAAGCAUUUGGCAAGACUAGUCUAGGUUUAAAUGACAAGAAAGACAUAAUAUUCAGGGCAAAGGCAACAUUUACAUCCCAAUGACAAAAAGUUUGAGAUUUUCUAGGGCAAAGGAUAGGUUUUGUAUAAAGAAAAAAAAAAAAAAGAAGCUAUUUUUAUUAUAUAGCUCACUUAAUGAACAAGGAAAAAAGAAAAGAAAAGAAAAAACAAUAUUUGCUUCCCAGCCCAGCCCCUAACACAGCCUCCUAAUUUUGUUGUGGUGGCUUCCCAUGUAUUGAGCAAGAUAAUCCAACAACUUGAGUUCAAGUGCUUUAAAUUGAGCCAAUUCCAUUUGCAAUUCCAAAUUCUCUCUUUUAAGGUUAUUGUUCUGUUCUAAUAGUAUUAAACGAUCAUUUUCAUCCAUUGUAUUCUCUUCAUGACAAGCUUUUAAAUAUGGUGGAAAAACACUUGGUUCACAUUUCUUCCUCGUUAUCUCCACCAGCAUGUGUCUGCUUCCUCUCUGGAAUUUCUCAUGCUUGAAUUCCCAUAGCUUCGAUGAUGUCUUCUUGAAUCCCUGCAUGUAAUUAUUACAGUCUAAUUAGAUCAUUCGCUAUUAAAAAUAUAUAUAUCAUCAAUUCUGAAAAUUCCACAAUUAAAGUCUAAGUUCACAUACAAUAAGUAGUUGUAGAAUGCUUCUUUUGACUGUUACAAAACGGAGAUUUUAGACUGAAAUGGUUCAGUCAUAGAGAAUUCUUUAAACAAAUAUUUUCUGCUGACUAUAAUUAUUAUAAUUACUUAUAAUAGUUAUUCAUUAAUUCUCUAGCAUUAGUUGCGUUUACCUUCAUACACCCACUUUGAAAAACUGAAUUCUGGAGCAGUCAAAACUGAAAAAAAUUGUAAAAUGACUUGAUUGUUUCUUAAGAACAAGAAAAACUGGUGACAUCAUGCAAAGAAAUUGAAAGAGAAAAUUAAAACAGUGGCUUAAAUAUCUCUAUGAAUAUCAGCUUUUGCGUUUUCAAAAUUUAGAAUAGAAAAAUGAAAAGUAGCCGGCGCAAAUCUGAAAACGAGAUUAUUCUAAUAUCCAAUAAGAGUGCAAGGAUUGUUGUGGAAUAAAAAUAAUUAUUACAUGUAUGUAUGUAAUGAAGAACUGAAAUACCAAUUAAUCAAACUAAAAUGAAACUAACAAGAAAAAUUAAAUAAUCUCGAAAAAAAUAUCAAAUAUAGCGAUCUUGAUGUAUGUAUGUAGGUAUAUAUUUAUAUUUGUUUGCGAGAUUGAAAACAUGGAUCAAGCACUAUGACUCACAUAUGUGUUAAGUUGGCGAAUGAAGCUAGAGAAAUUGUUGUGCUUGAAGUAUCUAGGCAAGGUAAACUCCGAGAACUCCGCCGGAGACCAAACUAUGAAUCCAGUUCCUUCGUCAUUCCAAGAAACAAUUUUCUUGCCAUCAUUACUACCAAAAUCUGGUGCUGAUGAUCCUAAUUCUCCAUUUUCUUCCAACAAAUCAUAUGUUUUUGAUAAAAAUGGAGCAGGCGUUUUUGUCCUAGGAGAUUGCUGGCCUGAUGAAGACGAUGAAGCUGAUGAUCUUCUGCUUAUUAUGCUCCUAUUAAGCUCCGAUAGGUUUUUUGCCAUUCUUUGAUUAGAUUUUUUUUGGGUGUCCAAAAGGUUCCUUAAUGCUGAGGCUGCUUCUUAUACCGCACCAUCUUGGAAACUACUAGCAGCUUGGAAACUGGCAGGUGGACUGUUUAAUUUAUUUAUUUAUAUAUUCUUCUAUUCUUUCUGUAUUCUUCUUUAACUAUAUGUCUAAGUUUUAUUUUUUAUUUUUUUUAGCUUUUUACAAAAACAAUUUUAUUUUAGGUUUUUGACUCUUUUUUUUUUUCCAUGAAUUAAAUUCUAAAGACCUUCAAAUUCAAAUAUUUAAGGUGAUGUUUUGUUGGAAUAGAUAGACUAGGGAAAUAUAACAUAUCGGAAAGUGCAUAAAGUGCUUAUAAUUUGUUUGCCUGGAAAAUAGAUUAUCUAAUUUCUCUUAGCCGCUCAGGAAGUUGCACUUUUCUAUUUUAAGAGUAAUGAAUUUAUCAAUUUAUUUUAUUAUCCGAAUAGAUUCAAAUUUAUAUUAUAAAUAUUAUUGUAACUCAUAAUCCGUGAGCAGUUUACUACUUAAGAAGUUAAUUUUAAUAACAAAUGCAUUCAAAUUAUGCUUUCUAAAAAAUAAUUUGCUUGAAAGUGUAUUUUUUAAGAAAUAUACUUCCGGAUGGAAAGGUAAUUUUGAACCAAAUGCAAAACUAAAUUUUUUUUAUUUGUUAAUGGUAGAUGAAUAAUGAAAGGUAAGUAGUUCAGAAUUAAGAGAUGUGACGUUUUCAUAAUGACAAAGGAGGUGAGGAAGUUCCAUGAUGUUUGGGCAUUGAAUAUUUGACAUAUUGCAAACUGUUUUGGAAACGGAAGAAAGAAAUUCCGCUCUCUUUAUUAGUAUUUGUAUCGGAAGACCAAUCCUACAUUUAGCCAAUAAUCUACAGCUCGCAUAGUAAGACAGACAAGCAACCAAUUAAAAGAUUGGAUUGGAAUAUAAUUUUUCAAAUUUCCUUAGUCAAAUUGAAGGUAUUAACGCGUAUAUAUAAAAUAUUAUUUGAUUGGACAUGAACGUUUAUUUGAAUACUUAAUUCUUUUUUAUAGGAAGCUUAAUUAUAUGAAUAAACAUAUUCAUAAUAAAUUUUAAAUAUUAUAAUACAAAUCCAUCAAAAUAAAUUAAUUUAUGGAUAUUGUGAUUAAAUUUAAUUAAAUAAAUAAAUAUUGUGAUUUAUUUUGAGCAUCUAAUAAAUAAUAAAUUAUUUAUGGAUCAACUUGGUCAAGCUAUGGCAUGACCUUAAACAAAAA